rnacentral:lncRNA from 1 species
CCUGUUUGGCUAGAGAAACUCCAUUACUCAUUUCCACACUCUCAAUUUUCACCCCUUUCAUCAAAACACAAGCAUUACUUACCCAUGUUUAGACAUAAUUUAUUUUUCUGAUAUCACAUCAUUCAGGGAAAAAAAAAACAAUUAACUGACUUCAGCACAUAAAUUACAACAAGCUGUUAAUUUACAUAAACAAGUAAAAUUAACUCAAUCAAGUGAAGUAGGCACAAAAUGACCUCAAUGAAGUAUCAAAGGCCUCUAAAAUCAAAUCAAAUUCAGUUGAACAAAGAAUCACUCAUCAAAGAUAAACAAAAGAAAAAAAAAAGCAAUGAAUAACAGAAAGAAAUUCUGGUUAAGUGAUUUCGUCAGCAAAUAAGACAAAAUAGAAAUUCUGAAUUAUACCUAGGGUUUCUAGCUUUGGGAAUUUACCUAAUGAGAAAUCAGUCUCACUGUUUCUAGAUUUGUAACUUCAGUAUCAUGGCGGAGCGACCUCGAUCAGCUGAGAUAAUCAGAUUUCGCACCGGCUACGAUGCAAAUGUUUGGGUUUGGGUUUGGGUUUGACGAUGGACGAAGGAAUGUUGGGGUUUUGGGUGAGUUAAGGAUUUUAUUUUAUUCAAGCAAAGUGACCAAAUUAACCUUUCAAAAUAAUUAAAGUAUCCCUAGGUUUUUUUUUUUAAUACAUAAAGUAUCCCUAGGUUGUUACACAUUUAAGAAUAGUUAAUUAAACUUCUGCUCGUGUAUUUAUGGAGCACGUGAGUUCGUGUGGAGAAAAACGAAAACGGGAUAAAAGGAAAAUUCGACGCAAAAUUUUAUUAGGAUGCAUACGUAAGUACCUUAUCGAAUAUGCCUUAAAACAACUGCCUUUUUUCCUGGGACAAUCAUAUUAUAUAUAACAAAUAAUACAGCAAAAGAAUAGAAGUACAAGUAGAAAGGCAGCAUCUAGGUUGUCUGCUACUCGGCUUCUAGUUCCACCCAAGAAACAUCUUCGUUCCGGUAACCAAGCACAGACUCUGUUACUGCUAUAACUAAUUUAUCACAUGACUAUAAUUUCCAGAACACCUUGCGCUUGUCCAAUGGGUUGUUCAACUUGAGGAGGAGCUAGCAGAUGUGCGUUGACAGAGGUGACAAUGAAGACAGCGAGUAGUCGAAGCCAGUAGAAGAAGUGCUGAAACAGAGAAGCGAACAUUGCAUAACAGAGUGAUAAGACUAUGAGGCACAAAUACGCUACCAAGAACAGAGACGGAGCCAAAAUGACAGAGGCCACUGCCGAGACAGCCAACAGAACAGAGAGUUCUCCACAACUCACGGAAAUGGGUCGGCUCACUUUGAGAGGAACUCUGAUGGGUGUGAGGAUGAAGAGCAGUAAUGGGAUGACAAUGACAGGAAUCAGGAACCAUAACUGAAGCUUUAAAAUUGGAUACAGAAGUAUCUUACUUGCACCAUCUUGGACGUUCCAAGAGUUGCCAUCCUGAGACUUGAGGAACAGAAAAAAGACUAUAAGAUUCAGCAAUGGAAGAAAUAGAAACCUCAAAUCGAUUGAAAAGUCCAUGCCUGUGAAUAAGAUUUGGCGGAGAUGAUUCAGUUUAAUUAUUAUGAAUAAGAUUUGGCAAUGGCGGAGUUGAAUGAAUACGAUGGAGUUUAAGUUGCGUGAUACUAUCAGGAAAUAUUUAUAGAGCCCUUUUGCUUAUUGUUUUCUUUGUAGCUUGAGGGUAAGAAACAAAGCAAGUCAAAAGGAUUUGGUGCCGUCCUGGGUAGAUCGUUAAUACGACGUGUCCCCUUUCUUUGGAGAAAUUUAUUUGUGACCUGUUUAGUAUCUUUCGCAUUUUACUUAGUUAAUAAUUUAAUUAAUUUUAUGCCUUAUUUUCGUUUUACCACUUUAGAAAUUAUAAAAUAAUAAAUUGGGUAAAAGCCUAUUUAGUUCUUGUAUUUUAAGAUUAGUAUCCAUUUAGUCCUUGUAUUUUUAAAAAUAUCUCGAAACAUUCAUGUCAUUAAAGUAUUGAUACCCCUACCGUUACUUUUUAUUUCUUUUGGCUUACUUUUACAAUAUUAUCCUUUUAUAAUAAUUUUUUUAGAUAUUAAUAAAAAGAAAAUAAUUAAAUUACUAAUUUAACCUUAAAAAAUUAUAUUAAUUUUUAAUUGUCAAAAAUUGUAUGCAAACUACCAAGUGUGCAAAUGAUGCUUGCAAAAAAAUUAAUAUAAUUUUUUAAUUUUCUAAGAUUAAAUUGGUAAUUUAAUUAUUUUCUUUUUAUUAAUGUCCAAACAAAAAAAUUAUUAUAAAAUAGAAACCUCAAAUCGAUUGAUAAGUCCAUGCCUGUGAAUAAGAUUUGGCAAAAAUGAUUGAUUUUAAUUAUUAUGAAUAAGAUUUGGCAAUGGCGGAGUUGAAGCUCCGUGAUACUACGAGGAAAUACUUAUGGAGCUAAUUUGAGGGUAAGAAACAAAGCAAGUCAAAAGGAUUUGGUGCCGUCCUCUGUAGAUCGUUAAGACAACGUGUCCUAUUUCCUUAGAGAAAUUUAUAAGUUUAGUAUCUUUCUCAUUUUACUAAGUUAAUAAUUUAAUUAUUUUUAUUCAUUUUACUAUUUUAGAAAUUGUAAAAUAAUAAAUUGGUGCGGGAAGUAAUAGGAUAUAACAUUUUACACCAUAAUACUUUAGGAAUUGUUGAAUAUCCUCAAUAAACCUCACAUUUUACUACAAUUCUGUUACUUAAAAUUCACUUGUAAAAUACUAAUUUUACAUGUAAAAAAGAAUUGAUAAUUAAUCAAUUAAAUUGUUCUUAUAAUCUUUUUUUAAUUAAUUAAACUUUGGUUUGCCAGCUGAGGUUGUUCUAUGGUAAGUCUAAUUUGACCUUUUUUUAAUGAAAUUCCAUAAUUUAACUUAUAUAUACAUAUAUAGUAGUUUUCUAGUCCGGGAUCAUAAAGUGCGGGAAACGUCUGGGAAAUCUUUAAAACCGCAAGAUUUUAAAGACUUAAAACUUAAAGUGCUUAAACCGGACGGUUUAUGCAUUUUUACGGACAUUCUUGCACUUUAAAAUUCCGAACUAAAACAUUUCUUUCUCUCUCUCUCUCUCUCUCUAUAUAUAUAUAUAUAUAUAUAUAUAUAUAUAUAUAUACUUCUGGAUGUGUUUUCGUUGGAAAUCAAAAUUAAGAACUCAAAUAAUACAAUGCUUGGAUUGGGUCGGCUUUGUCAAAUUUUUAAAAUAAAUUACCAGCUUUUGAAUUAAUAGAGUUGCUUUGGAACGCGGUUGGUCAGGUUUUAUGAAAGGUACGUGGCGUUGUAUCUAGAUCGAUGCAGAGCCAGGUCUGCCUUUGGAACCAGAUCUGACUUAGAACAUAUCAAUAUCCUGCACGUUCUAGUUUCCAGCCGAUAUACCAAAUUUAUUUACCAAAUCUUUAUUAAGUUUUUUAAGCAAGCCUAGCAACAAACAUACAUCUAAAGGCUAGGGUGCAUACACAGUACCAGAUCUGGAUCCUAGAAAUGGUGCUCUGAAGGAGUGGGGGGAGAAGAGAAAGAAUACAAUUGAGGAUUGAGAUCUGGUCUCGUUGCCUCAGAGGAACGUAGCAGUUAUAUGACAGAUCUGAUAUAAACCAGUCUGCAAAGGAUGCAUGAAAUUUAAAUGCUUUAAAAUAAAUUGUAGAAUUUAAAGUACAUAAAUUUAAAUUUACAUGGAAAGCUUUAAAUAAAACUGGAAAUAAAAUGCUUACAUUGACUGAUUUUUCUUUGUAGAGAAAAGGGAAAUUAAUCGUGAAGGUAAGGAACUAUUCUGUAAACAGAAAAAUUUCCUUGAACCCUUCGGAUUCCUGAUUCCCAGAGAGAGAGAGAGAGAGCAGAGGAAGAAGAGAGAGAAGUUCUAAACUUAAAAAAUGAAAAAUCUGAGGAGUCUAAGUCUUCCUCCAGAUUUAUAUACAAAACGAGCUUUACACUGUAGACUGUAGCGGAGCUGUAGCAUACAAUAAUCUUUGGAACUCUGCACUGUUCACUGUAGCGGAGUUUGAAGCAAACAGUAAGCUUUGGAUCGUAUGUAACAGUAAUCUUUGGAGCGUAUGUUGGAAUAGUGACUUUGUAAAAAUACAAUACGGGUGAAGAGACAUGUGCGCUCUCACUUGUGUCCAAGGGACCACCCGAUGGUGUAAGAAUAUAAAAUGGAUAUUUACUUUUUUUUUUACAAUAAUUAUUUACAAUGCUUUAUUGGAGAGAAAAUUCUGAAACAAUCAUCUUCAUUUUCAUCUCCAAGGGAAAUAAAAGGCUCUUCAUCUUCAUCUUCAUCAUCAUCUUCAGAGGAGUCAGCCACUGAUGAUCUUGAUCGAGAGGUGAGAAGUUGUUUCAUGACUUUGAAGUAUUCUUCUUCUAUUUUGGCGCUCGCCAAAAGAGAUUGGGCAAGGAAUAUUUGUUGGGCUUUGGAUCUUUUUAAGGUUGGUUGUAGAAAACCUUUGGAAUUAAGCCAAUUUUUGAUGAGGGUGUCAGUCAGUUUGGUUUGCUCAUCAAAUUUUGACCACCAUUUAACUUUAAAGGUUCUUUGAAGGAUAAGCUGGGAAUCUUGGGUGUGAAAACGCAGGUUCCACAUCCAUAUCCCUGGUAGAAAGAAGUUUGUGCAAAAACAGAGAAAGGGGGGAAAUCUUUUCUCUGAGUCAGAGGGUAUAUAAUGAGCUUUGAAGAGGUUUAGACAAUUCGUGGCGUUUGGAGUUAAGAUUUGUGGUAUUGGGUGACACAACUUAAAAGUAAAUUUUAACUCCCAAGUAUAAGAGUGUCUUGUUGUAUUAUAACUCGGUGAGUCCGAGGUCGAUCCACAGAGAAAAGAUUUAAUUAGUUUAUUUUAUUUUAUCUAAAAAUUGAAAUUAAAACUUGAAUAUAAACAAGUUAAUUUAAAUGAAACUAUGGAAUUGAACUAGUUAGGGUUAUGGAUCCACUCUUACAAAUAAAUAAAACUUAAUAAAUUCUUUUUGCCAAUUUGUUUUAGAUUUAUUACCCAAAAGAUUAAUUAUACAAAUUAUUAUUAUUUUCCCUUUAAUUUUAUGAUGGAUUAAGUAUUUAUUGUGCCAAAAUUUAAUUUGUCCACAAUAAGUCAAAAUACCAUUUCACCAUACCUUAUAUUAAGAUCUUAAGAAUUUAUUGUGCCAAAUUCAUUUGUUUGUCUACAAUAAAUCAAAUUUUCAAAAUAUAAAACAUGUAUAAAAUUAAAUAGAAAAUAAUUUAAUUUAUAAAAUUAAACAUAGAAUUUAAUUAAGUCAUAUUUAUUUCUUAAGAGUUUCACCUUCCCCUAACUAAUAUUAUUUAGUUAAGCAUAAUUAAAAUAAAAAGUAGUAAAAUUGAAUUACUUAUAAUUAAAAGAAAUAAAAACAACUAAAAUUGGAAAUAAAACUAAUUUUAUUAAUGAAAAUAAUUAUACAAAAUAUUAAAAACACACCUGGAAAUCAAGAUUACAAGGAGAUGGAGAGAAUUUGAGAAGAAGAGAGUUGUAGAGAGAUGAUUAAAACAUAAAAAUGAGGCUCUAUUUAUAGAAAAAUAAAUUCAUAAUCCAGUGCUUUGCGGUCCAUCAUAGGCUUCAUGCAUGUGCUCCUCACAACCCUUAGAUCAAGAUCCAAUGGCUGGUCAAACUUCAAAAGUCAACAUCACACAUGGCAUCAUUUGACUCGUCUGAUUUACCCAAAGAACGGUUGAGAUUUGGCGGGUUAAUGGGUGGAUUGGGUCGACCCGAAUACAAAGAUUUGGAUCCUCCAACUUGCUUCACCAACCAUUGCCACGUGGCACAAUCAUGGCAUUUGAAUCAUGAACGGUUGAGAUUUAGUCAAGAUUGCCAGUUAUCCCAUGCACUCAUAUCUAUUGUAAGCUCAUUUCAUCAUCCAAUCAGUGCUCGGUCAACAAGAAAAGUCAACUUUUUUUACACAAGCCUAAUUUUAAGCCGAUCUUGACUGAUCUUAAGGUUUUCGGACCUCCGGAAUCCAAAUUUGACCUCCGUUUAUCUGUUUGGAGCCUCGAAGUACGUGAAAUUAAUAAUUUUCCGAAUAAACACAUAAAAAUACACAAAAUUAAAUAUAUUUAAAACAUAAUUAAUAAUUCAUAAUAUAUUACAUAAACACAAAUAUAAAUUAUAACAUAAGCAUAAAAUAACAUAUUAUCGCUUGAUAAUUAAACAAUUUUUAAUACUAAUCAUUGGGCCAAAGAAGUUCCACCAAUGUUGAAAACAGUUUGGGAGGCUCUGAACGGUUAUUUUUGAAUUAAAGAAAAAUAACCAUGAAUGAGAUUUCUUUGGGUUUUGUAAGAAGAAUGUGUUAUACCAGGCUUAUUGGUAAUCCCAGUAAGUGUAGGAUAAACAAUGUGGUAAACGCAUUUGGAAAUUUGGAGGGAAAUGUUUAAACUUGUGAAGUUGAUCACCCCACUGAUUUGGGCUCAAGACUUUUAGAAUGGUAGGCGUUGAAUAGGCUGGUUCUGAAUGGGUUUCACUGAUAAAGAAAUGUUUGAAUUUAACUGACUCAGUAGCUUCUAAAAUGCUUUGAUAGUAAGGCUGGUGUUUUGUUAAAUCCCAUGGUUUGAAAAACCAGCCUUUAGGGAAAAACUUUGAAAUUGCCUGAAAAGGAUCAGUAUGGUAAAAUCCAUCUUCUAUAGAUAAAAUGUUUUGAAAAUGGGUUUUAUCAAACCAAUCUAAAGAUUUCUUUAAAGGUGUUGGCUGAGAAAGCACAAUUUGAGAAGAUGAGCUUUCACCAGAAACAAUAACAUUUUGGGAAGAGGGCUUUGAAAUUUCUUUUGAAACAAGUUUUUCUUCUUUAAUAGGGGUUUGGCUUUGAGAGAGGUUUUGAAAAGCGAGCAUAAGCUCAUGUGAUUUUGUAAUGGAACUCAUCCAUUGUUUUACUUGGUCAUCAGAGGAAAUUGUUUUGUACUGGGCUUCAUGUUCUUCAACCAUUUCAAUCCAUGAUUUGAUAGGCAUGCAGAAGAAAGCAAUUUCUCUUUAGGAGUUGGUUGGGGUUCUUUAGAGGUUGCUUGAGAUUCAGUGUCUUUAAGAACUGCUUUACCUUUAUCCUUCUUUUUUGGCGGUAUUAUCUGUUUUGAAGAAAUUCUCUGGUCAGAAAAUCAGGAAUAGAAUUUGUAUCUCCUUUAAUAAACUCAAUAUCAAAAUAAAAAACACUUAAAAUGGCUUGCCAACGUACAAAAAUCUGUUUUGAUGCAAUAUUUUGAACAUCUUGUUCUAAAACAUGUUUUGCAGCUUUGCAAUCAAUUCUAAGUAAAAAUUUUUGAUUUAGCAAAUCACUUUGAAAUUUGGAAAUACAUAAAACAAUAGUAAGAAUUUCUUUUUUGAUAGUAGAAUAAUUCUUUUGGCAUUCAUUCCAAUGUGCAGAAACAUAUUGGACUAUCUGUUCUUUAUUAUUAUCGAUUUGCUUUAAUAUGCCUCCAUAGCCUAAAUUAGAUGCAUCAGUUUCAACUACUUUAGGUAAUGCAGGAUUAGCAAGAUAUAAACAUGGAAUGCUUUUAACAGAAUUCUUUAUGAGUUUAACAGUUUUAGUAUGCUCAUCAGUCCAUGCAACAUGAUUCUUUUUUAAUCGAUCAUGUAAAGGUUUAGACAUCCUAUUGAUAUUAGGACAAAAAUCAAAAACAUAAUUUAAACUUCCUAGAAACCUCUGUAAUUGAGUUUUAUCUAGGAUUUUGUCUGGGAAUUUGUCUGCAAAGACAAGAGAACGCUCAAUAGGGGUAAUGGUUCCUUUGGAGAUAUGGUGACCUAGGAACCUGAUCUUUGUUUGGAACAAAGAGACUUUAGUACUAGAAAUUGCUAAACCAUCUUUUCUAGUGGCGAAGUAAAAAGUCUUUAAAUAUUUGAAAUGUUGGUCGAUGGUUUGGGAAAAAAUCAAAACAUCAUCUAUAUAAACAAUGCAAAACUCAGAAUAAGGGUUAUAAAUAUCAUUAAUAAUUCUUUGAAAUUCUGAAGGUGCAUUUUUUAAACCGAACGACAUAACCGUCCACUCAUAUUGUCCAAAUGGCACUAUAAAAACGGUUUUAUAACGGUCUUUAGGAUGAAUUUGAAUUUGCCAAAAACCCAACUUCAUGUCAAAUUUUGAAAAUAUGAAAGCAGAAUGCAGUUUUUGAAGCAAAUCCUUUUUAUUAGGUAUUGGGUACCUAAUCCAUUUUAAUACUUUAUUAAGGGGUUUAUAAUUUAUAACUAAUCGAGGUGUUCCUCUUUCAAUCUCGAAAUUCUUAUUAACAUAAAACGCGACACAAGACUAAGGAGACCGAGAUUUUACAAUAAGUCCUUUGGACUCUAAGUCACUUAUUUCAGCUUUACAGUGUUGUUCCAAUUCCAUGUUCAUCUGGAUUGGACGGGCUUUAGUGGGAAUCUGUUUUUCAUCAAAAGAAUUUUCAUAAGGUAGAUCUACCGGGUGUUGUUUUCUAUUCCAAAAAGCAGAUGGUAGAUCAGCACAGAUUUCCUUUUCAAUGAGAGUUUUGAAAUCAGAAAUUUUCUUUUGUAUAAAAUCAUUUUGUAAUUGGCUUUCGAUUCUUUGUAAACUCAAAUCCUUUUGUAAAAACAUUAGGUCACUUUGUCUUGUUCUGAGAAGAUUAUUGAUUUGAUUCUGAUAAACAGAACAAGCUUUGACAAUAUUCAAAUUCCUUGUUUUUGGCUUUUCAAUAAAUGGAAAAACAAAUCUUUUAUUUUUUGCUUUGAAAGAUAUACUGUCGUAAUUGACAAUAUAAGGAGUAAUAAGAUUUAUAAAAGGGGUUCCUAAAAUGACAGCAUGGUGUAUGUCAUUUGUAAGAACAAAAGAGGUUUUAAAUUCAAAAUCAUUAUUAUAAAUUGAAGCCUCGACUUUAGAAUUAACAUUAAGUUUUGAAUUGUUGGCGGCAGAAAGUCUUUCUUUUGUUUUCUCAUGAAAUCUUUUGGGGACAAUGUCUUCUCUUAUGCAAUUCAAAUCGGCACCAGUGUCAAAAAGGGCAAUGGCAUCAAUUGCAAAAUCAUCAGAAAAAAUUAAGGUAAUUUUAAUCAAAUAUUUUCUCAUAGUGAUUUGUUUUAAAACAAAUAGAAAAUCAUUGGGUACAGACUCAAUGUUUUCUAGAUUUUGAUCUUCUUUAUCAUUGUUAUCAGAAUUGGAUUCAUUAUCCGAAUUGUCUUGUAAUUGUUUUUGCAAAAGAAGUUGGAUGGUUUGAGAAUCAUUCUUUUGCUUUUCUUUUAACUCUCUUAUCUCAAAUUUAAUGUCUUUGAUUUCUUUCUGAAGAUCCUGGAUAUUGGGGAUUAUCUUUUUUGUUUUCUUUUAUCCAAAAUUUCAGUAAGAUCAUAAGAACUCUUUUUAACAAUUGGGAUUUUGGAAGUCUCUGCUUUAUUAAAAUCCAGAGUUUUCAAAAGCUUAUCAAGAUACUCCUUUUGAAGAUUUGGAUCAGAAAUAUGCUUUACGAGUUCAAGAAAGGUUUCUUGAUCUUUAGUUAAAAUAUUGAUUUUCUUUAAAUAAGAAUUUGUUUCAGAAUCACUACUGCUAGAUGCAGAGGUAUCUGAGUCAAAAAGCUCAUCGACCUGAAGAAGGUCACUAUCUCCUGACAUGGAAGACUCAGAGUCAGAGGACUCUACAAGGAGAGGGGUGACUUUGGAAAGGAUAUCUUCAUCAAGGCCAAGCUCCUAGAGCUUUUUGUUCAUUCUGCAAUAUUUUACAGUAUGGCCUUUUAUACUACAAUUAUGGCAUAUGGCUUCUUUGUAGUUGAAAGGGGCUUUGUGUUUAGGUUUAAAUUCCUUUUUCUUAGAGAAGUUGAGCUUCUUAUAAGGCCUCUGGGGUUUCUUAUAAAAAGAUUCUUUAAACUUCUGGAAUGGCUUUCUAUAGCUCUUGGAUUUGUAAUGUCUCUUGUGAGGUUUGGAAGAACAGUCACCAUUACAACCUUUGGAAAUGGAAGUUUUAAAGGGGUCAUAAUUGAAUUGUUUACAGAAACUACCUAAUUCUUGCUUAGACUUCUUAAGCUCUCAUUUAAGUCGUUUCUGUAAUUUCAAAUCUUGAGAGAUCUUUAAACCUUCUUUGUUGACAAAACUGACUAACUCGCCAUAAGUAAGUUCGUCAUAGGGAAUGCGAUUGUCAUAAAGGGCUUUUAUGUAAUUCCUAACCUUUUCUCCUAAAAGGGUAGGUAAACCUACUAAGAAUUUUUCUUUCCAAGUUAUAUGAUUUGCAUCAUCUCUUAGAAAGAGUCUGGUGAAGAAGGUGGUUUUGUAAUCUUGAAAUUCACUAAGUUUUCUACAUCUUAAAUUAUGUAGUAACUCAGCAUUUUUAUCUCUAAGGUGAGAAGGGUCACCUAUGAAAUGGAGGGAUAUGGUUAGAAUCAGGGUAGCUACGGCAGCCUAAAUUGGGUUAUUAAACUUGUCAAGAAUGGGGGAUCCAUUCUCGUCUAUUUGGAUAGCAUUAAGGAUAUCUGACUGUUGCUGCUUAGUGAGAAGGUGAUCCUACCAACCUUUAAGUUGACCAGUAAAACCCGCAAUGAGAAUUUCUGCAAUGGCUUUGUCAGAAGUUCCUGACUGGAUUUUAUAGGCAUUGGCUGCCAUGGUCAUCUGUUGCAACAAUCCUAGGAUAUUAUACUCGGACAUUCCAUCUAUAUUCCCCUCAUAGACAGAGGAUGCAUUAUAUCGAGACUGAUUUAAUGCACUAGGCCUAUUGUCUAUGGUCAAAUCAGGUGGAGACUUGACAGUGGGAAGGGCUAAUUCCCAAUGGAUUUUAUUGGCUUUAGAAACAGGUUCUUCUGUGAAGGCUUCUAUAUUAGAAGAGGCUAUAGACAUUUGGUCUUGUUCUAAUACUCCAAUCUUGCUAGAUUGGGGAGUAUCAGGGACUAUUUGAACUUUGCUAGAUGAGGAAGAAGCUACUUCUAUCCUAUCUAAUUGUUCUCUAAUGGCUUUAGCAAAAUUUGAUUUUGACUCUUGGACAAGCUUUUGACUAGUUUUCGAAACCUGAAAAGGUUUGAAAAUAGGCUCCUUGUGCUUUUUGUCAGAAUCCGAUUUUGAUGGAACAUGGGAAAUGGAAGAAAUAGCUAUGGUUGACUUUUGGAAUUGAUUUUCUAUACGGGUCAAUUGCUUUCCAAUAGUAUUUAAGUUAGUAUUACAGAAAUUAUUCUGUUGGAUAAUACUACUUAAAUUUGCAGUUAGUAUUACAGAAAUUAUUCUGUUGGAUAAUACUACUUAAAUUUGCAUCUGUGUCAUUUGGCUUUGGGAUUUUAUAAGGUGAAGCUCUAAUUUGAACAGGAGGUUCACUGUGAUCAACGGUUAAACUCCGAAGAGGUGGAUGCUCAGAUUUUAUGAUUCUCUCACUAUCAGAAAGUUUCCAUUCAGGAAUCUUCUUUUUAAUGGUAAUAGGGUUUGAUUCUUUAAAGGGAUAGUAAAUGUUGUUCUCAAAAGAAUAUAUUUCAAACCAAUCAAAAAACAAUAUAUGAACUUGAUGUAGAUUUACAAAUUCAUAAUAGAUUUGUUGGAUUUCUUUUCUUUGGUUCAAAAAAUGUUUGAAAAACCAAGUUCUUUUUUCUUUAUUAUUUUCCGAAUAAAAAUCAUUAUGAAGAAGAUUUUUGUCUAAUUCAAAAUCCUUUUUAAUGACAUUAAUAACAUUUUCGGUGAUAGCAGAAAAUGUUGGGGAAGUUGGAGGAGAAGGUUCCUUCUUUUCCUGUCUUUGUUCAUGUUGAUUGCUAGUAUAGAUUGAGUGUGGGACACUAGUGGUAUAGUCAACAGAACGUAUGGAAGAACUAGGUACAUCCGAGGUGGAAAACCUAGGUUGACUCUUUACUGUUUGGUAAGGGAGAUUUAUGACAGAAGGGACUUUUGUGAAUUUCCUUUCUAAUGAAGGAAUGCUUGAGCACGACUCUUUAUCAGAAAAUCUGGAUGAAGUAGAUCUCCUGAAAGAUAGUUUUACUCUACCAUCAGAAUACUGAGUCACAUUUUGCAACUCUGUAUUAGGCUCAAGUUGUUUCGGAAUCGCUGGAGGAGCGGCUCCUUCAAGAAUCCAUUCUUCUGGAAGAUUGACGUCUUUCCACUGGAUUGGUUUUAGAAUGACAGUGUUGGCUUUGGACAAAUCAGUCUGCAAGAGAAGAGUCUCAUCUCUUUUUGACUGGAAUUUGUGUUACGUACUAAAUGCAGAAAUCAUGGCUUUAUAAGAAAUUUUAAAAAUUAAUGCUACUGGGACAGAUCCCUCAAUCAUAUUAUAAUUGUGGGUUUUGAUUUGUAAAAUCAUGCUUUUCAAAAUGUUUUUGUCUUUAAGGGAAAUUGUUAUGUUUGGAUAACAAUCAAAAGAUAUGGGACCUUUACAGAGACUCGAUUCAAUACUAUUUAGUAAAGAAUCAUCAAAAGAGAUGAAUCGGCCAUCUCUAAGGACAAUGAUGAUAGAAGUAUCCAAGCCUUCUUUGGUUAAUGUUUUUAUGCCUACUUGGAUCAAUCCUAUAUGAACAUAAUUAAAAUUCUUUUCUUUUAAUUUCUUUAAUGAAUGUUCUAAAAAUAAUUGGAUUGUUUCAAAUGGCUUUAAAAGAGUUAUGUCACGUUCUUCAGUCUUUAUGACAUAAUCAUUUUUGAAAAAAUCAAGUUUUUUUGUUUUAUAAAUCUUUUCUUUAGAAACUCUUGGAAGUUCCCAACAAUCAAUUGCUUUAUCAAAGUUCUCAAUAACGAAUUCUUCUGAACUCACAACAUGCUUUGAAUCACUAGUCUUCCCGGAAGAAGAGCUAGAAAAGGAUGAUGUUCUACAGAGUAGAGGGUCCAUGGGUAAAAACCUAUGGUCUAUUUUUGGUUUUGUCAGGAUGGCUACAGGUAUGGUUUUACAGCCCUAAGGGGAAAUCUUUAUCCUAAAACGGGACUUACUACCAGUAAGGAAUUCACCACACAACAAAACUUCAAAAUAAAACACAAGUCUUUAAACACGUUGACUCUAAAAAGUAAUACACUAUCCUCCCCUUGGCUCUGAUACCAGAAGGAAAUAGGAUCGAAGGAUGGAUGUGUUUUCGUUGGAAAUCAAAAUUAAGAACUCAAAUAAUAUAAUGCUUGGAUUGGGUCAACACAUUGUUCAUGCAAAAACUUUGAUACCAGAAUUUUAAAUUAUGUUCGAAAUUUUAAAUCCAAGCAUUGUAUUAUUUGAGUUCUUAAUUUUGAUUUCCAACGAAAACACAUCCAUCCUUCGAUCCUAUUUAAACCGGGACAUUCCAUAUAUAUAUAUAUAUAUACUGACACCUUAAUCCGAAAUUGGCUCUUUGCCAAAGGAUUUCUUGAACCAACCAUUAAGCACUCCAAAGCCCAACAAACUUUUCUAACCCAAAAAUCCAAAGCCCAAUCUCUUUUAGCCAGUGCUAAAACUGAAGAAGAGUAUUUUAAAGUUAUACAACAACUUCUCGCCACGAGGUCUGAAACAUCUGUUGCAAGUUCCUCCUCAAGCACCUUCGGAGAUGAAGAGCCUUUUAUUUCAAAGCCGACGGUUUAAAAUGUCAUUCAUACUUUAAAUGUUCUUUGUAGAAUAAGUUGGGUGUCUUGGGCAUGAAGUCUGAGAUUCCACAUGCAUAUGAUGGCAUUAAGGAUAUCUAAUUGUUGCUGCUUAGUGAGAAGGUGAUCCCACCAACCUUUAAGUUGAAGAGGGGCAACUUUAGAGAGGAUUUCUUCAUCAAGGCCAAGUUCAUGAAGCUUUCGAUUCAUUCUACAAUACUUUGCAGUAUGGCCUUUUAUACCACACUUAUGGCAUAUGGCUUUUUUGUAGUUGAAAGGGGCUUUGUGUUUAGGUUUAAAUUCCUUUUUCUUAGAGAAGUUGGGUUUCUUAUAAGGCCUCUAGGGUUUCUUGUAAGAAGAUUCUCUAAAUUUCUGGAAUGGCUUUCUAUAGCUUUUGGAUUUGUAAUGUCUCUUGUGAGGUUUGGAAGAACACUCACCAUUACAAUCUUUGGAAAUGGAAGUUUUAAAGGGGUCAUAAUUGAAUUGUUUACAGAAACUGCAUAAUUCUUGCUUAGAUUUCCUAAGCUCCCAUUAAAGUCGUUUCUGUAAUUUCAAAUCUUGACAGAUCUUUAAACCUUCUUUGUUGACAAAACUGACUAACUCACCAUAAGUGAGUUCAUCAUAAGGAAUGCGGUUAUCAUAAAGGGCUUUAAUGAAAUUUCUAACCUUUUCACCUAGAAGAGUAGGCAAUCCUGCUAAGAACUUCUCUUUCCAGGUUAUAUGAUUUGCAUCAUCUCUGAGAAAGAGUCUGGUGAAGAGGGUGGUUUUAUAAUCUUAGAAUUCACUAAGUUUUCUACAUCUCAAAUUAUGUAGUAACUCAGCAUUUUUGUCUCUAAGGUGGGAAUGAUCACCUAUGAAAUGGAGGGAUAUGGUUAGAAUCAGGGUAGCUACGGCAUCCUGCUUUAAAACAAACAGAAAAUCAUUGGGUACAGACUAGUUGUUUCGGAAUCGCUGGUGGAGCGGCUCCUUCAAGAAUCCAUUCCUCUGGAAGGUAGACAUCUUUCCAUUGGAUUGGUUUUGGAAUGACUGUGUUGGCUUUGGACAAAUCAGUCUGUAAGAGAAGAGUCUAUUCUCUUUUUGACUGGAAUUUAUGUUGCGUACUGAAAGCAGAAAUCACGGCUUUAUAGGAAAUUUUAAAAAUCUAGGCGACAUGAAUUGAUCCCUUAAUCAUAUUAUAAUUAUGUGUUUUGAUUUGUAAAAUCAUACUUUUCAAAAUGUUUUUGUCUUUAAGAGAAAUUGUUAUAUUUGGAUAACAAUCAAAAGAUAUGGGGCCUUUGCAGAGACUGUAUUCAAUACUACUUAGUAAAGAAUCAUCGAAAGAGAUGAAUCGACCAGCUCUAAAGACAGCGAGGAUGGAGGUAUCCAGGUCUUCUUUGGUCAAUGGUUUAUUUCGACUUGGAUUAAAACGAUGUGAAUGUAAUUAAAAUUCUUUUCUUUUAAUUUCUUUAAAGAUUUUUUUGAAAACAAAUGAAUUGUUUCAAAUGGCUCAGAAAAAGUUAUAUCACGUUCUUCAGUCUUUAUCACAUAAUCAUUUUUUAAAAAAUCAAGCUUUUUUGUUUUGUAGAUUUUUUCUUUGGAAAUUUUUGGAAGUUCCCAACAAUCAAUUACUUUAUCAAAGUUCUCAAUAAUAAAUUCUUCUGAACUCACAACAUACUUUGAGUCACUAGUAUUCCCGGAAGAAGAGCUAGAAAAGGACGAUGUUCUACAGAGUAGAGGGUCCAUGGGUAAAAACCUAUGGUCUAAUUCUGGUUCUGACUGAAUGGCUACAGGUAUGGAUUUACAGCCCUAAGCGGAAAACUUUAUCCUAAAACGGGACUUACUACCAGUAAAAAUUCACCAUACUUGUUAUAAAUUAUAAACCCCUUAAUAAAGCAUUAAAAUGGAUUAGAUACCCAAUACCUAAUAAAAAGGAUUUGCUUCAAAAACUCUAUUCUGCCUUCAUAUUUUCAAAAUUUGACAUGAAGUCGGGUUUUUGGCAAAUUCAAAUCCAUCCUAAAUCAGUCUAUAUCGAGACUGAUUAAUGCACUAGGCCUGUUGUCUAUGGUCAAAUCAAGUGGAGAUUUGGCAGUGGGAAGGGCUAAUUCCCAAUGGAUUUUAUUGGCUUUAGGGGUAGGUUCGUCUUUAAAAGCUUCUAGAUCAUAAGAGGCUAUAGACAUGUUGUCAUGUUCCAAUAUUCCAAUCUUGCUAGAUUGGGGAGUAUCAGGGGCUAUUUGAACUUUGCUAGAAGAGGAAGAAGUAGCUUCUAUCCUAUCUAGUUGUUCUCUAAUGGCUUUAGCAAAAUUUGAUUUUGACUCCUGAACAAGCUUUUGACUAGUUUUUGAAACCUGAAAAGGUUUGAAAAUAGGUUCUUUAAGCUUUUUGUCUGAAUCCAAUUUUGAUGAAACAGGAGAAACGGAUGAAACGGCAAUAGUAGUCUUUUGGAAUUGGUUUUCUAUUCGGGCGAAUUGUUUUCCAAUUGUAUUUAAGUUAGUAUUACAGAAAUUAUUCUGUUGAAUAAUACUACUUAAAUUCGCAUCAGUAUCAAUUGGCUUUGAGAUUUUGUAAGGUGAGGCUCUAAUCUGGACAUGAGGUUCUCCGUGAUCGACGGUUAAGCUCCAAAGAGGUGGAUGCUCUGAUUCUAUGGUUCUAUCACUAUCAAAAAGUUUUCACUCAGGAAUUUUCUUUCUAAUAGUAAUAGGGUUUGACUCUUUAAAAGGAUAUGAAAUGUUGUUCUCAGAAGAAUAUAUCUCGAACCAAUCAAAAAACAAUAUAUGAACUUGAUGUAGGUUUACAAAUUCAUAAUAAACUCGUUGGAUUUCUUUUCUUUGAUUUAGAAAAUAUUUAAAAAACCAAGUUCUUUUUUCCUUAUUAUUCUCUUAAUAAAAAUCAUUAUGAAGAGGAUUUUUGUCCAAUUCAAAAUCCUUUUUAAUGACAUUAAUAACAUUUUCGGUAACAGCAGAGAAUGUUGGAGAAGUUUGAGGAGAAGGUUCCUUCUCGUCCUGUCUUUGUUCAUGUUGACUACUAGUAUAGAUUGGGUGUGGGACACUAGUGGCAUAAUCAACAGAAUGUAUGGAAGACAUAGGUAUAUCUGAGGUGGAAAACCUAGGUGGACUCUUUACUGGUUGGUAAGGGAGGUUUAUGACAGAAGGGAUUUUUGUACAUUUCCUUUCUAAUGAAGCAAUGCUUGAGUACGACUCUUUAUCAGAAAAUCUGGAUGAAGUAGAUCUUCUGAAAGAUAGUUUAACUUUACCAUCAGAAUACUGAGUUACAUUUUGCAACUCUGUAUUUGGCUCAAGUUGGUAUCAACUGACACCUUAAUCCGAAAUUGGCUCUCUGCCAAAGGAUUUCGUGAACCAACCAUUAAGCACUCCAAAGCCCAACAAACUUUUCUAACCCAAAAAUCCAAAGCCCAAUCUCUUUUAGCCAGUGCCAAAACUGAAGAAGAGUAUUUUAAAGUUAUGCAACAACUUCUCGCCACGAGGUCUGAAACAUCUGUUGCAAGUUCCUCCUCAAGCACCUCCGGAGAUGAAGAGCCUUUUAUUUCCCUUGGUGACGAAAAUGAAGACGACUGCUUCGGCAUAUUCUCCCCAUUAAAGCAUUCCAAAUAAUUAUUGUCCUGAUGUGAAAAAAAAAAGUAAAGUAAAAAGUAAAUACAUUUUGCUAUUACUUUGAUUAUAUAUCUUCGGGUGGUCCCCUGGACACAAGUGAGAGCGCUCAUGUCUCUUCACCCGUAUUAUCCUUGUAUUUGUAUUUUCUUGUUACAAAGCUACAGCUCCGCUGCAAUCUACAGUGAAGAGUUCCAAAGAUUACUGUUUGCUACAGCUCCGCUACAGUGAACAAUGAAGAAUUCCAAAGAUUACUGUACGCUGCAUCUCCGCUACAGUCUACAGUUUAAAAUUUUUUGUAUAAAAACCGAAAGGAAGACUUAGACUCCUCAAGGUUUUCAUUUUGCAAAUUUGAGAGCUUCUCUCUCUUCCUUCUCUUUCUUCUUUUCCUCUCUCUCUCUCUCUCUGGGAAUCAGGAAUUCGAAGGGUUCAAGGAAAUUUUUCUGUUUACAGAAUAGUUCCUUACCUUCAAGAUUAAUUUCUCUUUCUUCUCUACAAAGAAAAAAGCAAUUGAUGUAAGCAUUUCAUUUUCCAGUUUUAUUUUAAAAGCAUUAAAGCAUUUGUAAAUUUUAUUUAAAGCUUUGCGUGUAUGUUUAAAUUUCUGCAAUUUAUUUUAAAGCAUUUAAAUUUUUGCAUGCUCUGCAGACUGAUCUAUAUCAGAUCUGCCAUACAACUGCUACGUUCCUCUGAGGCAACGAGACCAGAUCUCAAUUCUCAGUUGUAUUCUUUCUCUUCUCCCUCCAUUCCUUCAGAACACCGUUUCUGGGUUCCAAAUCUGGUACUGUGUAUGCACCAUAGCCUUUAGAUGUAUGUUUGUUGCUAGGAUUGCUUAAAGAACUUAAAAAUAUUUGGUAAAUAAAUUUGGUAUAUCGGCUGGAAACUAGAACGUGCGGAAUAUUGAUCUGUCCUAAGUCAGAUCUGGUUCCAAAGGCAGACUUGGCUCUGCAUCGAUCUAGAUACAACGCCACGUACCUUUAUUAAAACUUGACCAACCGCGCUCCAAAGCAAAUCUAUUUAUUUCAAUGGAUUUUACACUCUUUAUUUCCUUCUGGUAUUAUAGCCAAGGGAAGGAUAUUGUAAUCUUGUUUAGAGAUUUCGUGAUUAAAGAUCUAUGUUUUAUUUUGAAGUUUUGUUGUAUGGUGAAUUUUUACUGAUAGUAAGGCCCGUUUUAAGAUAAGGUUUUCCGCUUAGGGCUGUAAAUCCAUACCUGUAGCCAUUCAGUCAGAACCAGAAUUAGACCAUAGGUUUUUACCCAUGGACCCUCUACUCUGUAGAACAUCGUUCUUUUCUAGCUCUUCUUCCGGGAAGACUAGUGACUCAAAGCAUGUUGUGAGUUCAGAAGAAUUUAUUAUUGAGAACUUUAGCAGUGGGAAGGGCUAAUUCCCAAUGGAUUUUAUUGGCUUUAAGGGUAAGAUCGUCUUUAUAUAAAAAGCCUUUAAAGUAUGAAUGACAUUUUCUCAAACCGUCGACCAACAUUUUAAACAUUUAAAGACUUUUUACUUUGCUACCAGAAAAGCUGGCUUAGCAAUCUCUAGUUCUAAAGUCUCUUUGUUCCAAACAAAGAUCAGAUUCCUAGGUCACAAUAUUUCCAAAGGAACCAUUACUCCUAUUGAAUGCUCCCUUGUCUUCGCAGACAAAAUCCUAGACAAGACUCAAUUACAGAGGUUUCUAGGAAGUUUAAAUUAUGUACUUGAUUUUUGUCCAAAUAUCAAUAGGAUGUCUAAACCUUUGCAUGAUAGAUUAAAGAAGAAUCAUGUUGCAUGGACUGAUGAGCAUACUAGAACUGUUAAACUCAUAAAGAAUUCUGUUAAAAGUAUUUCAUAUUUAUAUCUUACUAAUCCUGCAUUACCUAAAAUAGUUGAAACUGAUGCAUCUGAUUUAGGUUAUGGAGGCAUACUAAAGCAAGUAGAUAAUAAUAAAGAACAUAUAGUCCAAUAUGUUUCUGCACAUUGGAAUGAAUGCCAAAAGAAUUAUUCUACUAUUAAAAAAGAAAUUCUUUCAAUUGUUUUGUGCAUUUCCAAAUUUCAAAGUGACUUAUUAAAUCAAAAAUUUUUACUUAGAAUUGAUUGCAAAGCUGCAAAACAUUUUUGCACGAUGGCAAGCUAUUUUAAGUAUUUUUGAUUUUGAUAUUGAAUUUAUUAAAGGUGAUAAAAAUUCUAUUCCUGAUUUUCUAACUCGGGAAUUUCUUCAAAACAGAUAAUGCCGCCAAAAAGAAGCAACAAAGGAAAAGGCAUUGCCAAAGACAUUGAAUCUAAAGCUGCUACUAGAGAACCCCAAUCCUCUCCUCCUAAAGAAAAACUACUCUCCUCUGCCAUGCCAAUCAAGUCUUGGAUUGACAUGAUCGAAGAUGAGGAGGCAAGAUCUAAAGCCCUUUCUACCCAAGACCAAGUUAACCUAUGGAUGAAAGCCAUUUCCAAAUCUCCUGAGCUUAUGCUUGCAUUACAAAGCUUCUCCCAAAGCCAGGAAUCUCCAAAAGAGAUCUCUGAAAAAGAAAGCUCCAAAGAAAUUACAAAAUCCUCUCAAAAUAUUAUUGUUUCUGGUGAUAGUUCAUCAUCACAAAUUAUUCUUUCACAACCAACAAAGAAAACCUCGGUUUGGUUUGAUAAAGCCCAUUUCCAAAACAUUUCAACAAUCGAAGAUGGGUUUUACCAUACUGACCCAUUUCAAACACUUACGAAGUUUUUCCCUAAAGGCUGGUUUUUUAAACCAUGGAAUUUAACAAAACCUCAGCCUUAUUAUCAAAGCAUUUUAGAAGCCACUGAGUCAGUUGAAUUCAAAAAUUUUUAUCUCAGUGACUCCCAUUCUGAGCCGGCCUAUUCCACGGCCACUGUUAUGCAAAUUUUAAUGUACUCGCAAACGUACGAAUCUUUUGUAGUAUAGAUCAAUGGUGGCGAGUGUCGAUCCCACGAGGAGGUGGAUUUUAAUUAUAUGUAGAAUUAAUUUUGUAAAUAGGUGGUUGAAAUUGUGGUGGAAGUGAUUUAAAUUAUCCUAAAAUUGGAAUUGAGAUUCUAAAAUUGGAAUUGCAAUGACGAGAAUAAAUUGAAGCGAAAUAUAUUGAAAUGACGUACUUGGGUGUCUAAAUCCGUAUCAACAUGCAUCAUGGGCUAAAUAAUCCGUAUUAAUGCCAAUUAAAUCAUGAGGGGGGAAUCCACACCUCAUGAACCACGCUCUAAUCAAUAUGGUGCUAAGGGCUUAUCGUGCCAAAUAAUAAUAACCUUGUACUAGAGGGCCGGUGAAACCAAGACGGUACUAGACAAGAAUAUUAUUAUUUGUCGACGAGAAGUCAAAACAUCCACAAAAACUAAAGGGGAAGAGAAAAUAAAUUUAUCAAAUUAAGCCCAUGACACAUGUUGAGAAUUCACCUUCAACCCAAGCUUGAAAGAAAAUUAGCCACUCAUAAUUGAACUAGGGGCAAAAUGGGAAUUUAUUAAAAUAUGAAGAAAAUACAAGAUGGAGAAGGAAUUACAGAAAAUGGAUCCCAAAAAUGGAUUCAGAGAUAUCAAAUUAGGGGGGGAGGCCCCCUUUUUAUAGAUACAUGGAGUAAAUUAUGGCCAUCAGAUUAAAAACAGUUUGGACGCUCAGGAUUGCACCACGUCAUCAGUCAACAGUCCACGGUUUGACCACGCGGAUGAACAGUAACACAGUUUGACCCGGAUGAACAGUAACACGGUUUGGUUGAAAAUAAUCUUGUGUGAUGCAUGCACCGUACGCGAGAUUUUUCGUCCACUGAUAUGCUGCCACGUCACCAUCAACAGUACAUAAGAAUUUUAGUCCAACAGGAUCGUGACACCUCAUCAGUCAAUGCCACAUCAUCGGUCAAUGCCACAUCAUCGAUCCGUCUAUGUGAACAGUGCUAUGAACAGUAACGUAUACAAUACCGUAUACGUGAAUAGUACCGUACAUGUGAAUAGUGCCAUUUUUCCUUUUAUGCUCCUCCUAAGGUUUUCGACCGUCCUGAGUUCAAAAGUGAUGUCCAUUUUGCCGUCUGAUCUCUCCUUUAUUGUGAAAUGACUAUAAUGCCCCUAAAAUACAUAAAUUACUUAAUUAAAAUAAAAUACACGUAAUUAAAUCACAAGAAUGUUAAAAACAUAAAAGUAAGGGUUGUUAGUAAGACUUGAAAUAUAAAAUAACGGUUUUCUCCUUUAUAAAUAUGCAUUUUCUAACACUCAACAGCCACUAUCUUAAAAGUCUUGAGCCCAAACUAGUGGGGCGACCAACUCCACAAAUUUAAAUCUUUCCCUCCAAAUUUCUAAAUGCGUUUACCACAUUGCUUGACUUUUUCCUAUUGGGAUUAUCCACAAGCUUGGUUUAACACAUUCUUUAUCCAAAAUCCAAAGAAAUCUCAUUCAUGGUUAUUUUUCUUCAAUUCAAAAAUAACCGUCCAAAGCCUCCCAAAUUGGUUUCAACAAUGGUGGAACUUCUAUGGCCCAAUACCCCAAAUCCUAACUCCAAAUGCCACUCAUUGCUUAAACCUCUUCAAAGUUCAUUAUGUCCCUUCUGAAUCAGAGAAAAGAUUUCCUUUUUUUCUUUGCUUCUGUACAAAUUUCUUCAUUCCAUGGGUAUGCAUGUGGAAUCUCAGACUUCAUGCCCAGGAUACCCAACUUAUUCUACAAAGAACAUUUAAAGUAAAAUGGUGGUCAAAAUUCGAUGAACAGUUUAAAUUGAUUGACACCUUAAUCCGAAAUUGGCUCUCUACCAAAGGAUUUCUUGAACCAACCAUUAAGCGCUCCAAAGCCCAACAAACUUUUCUAACCCAAAAAUCCAAAGCCCAAUCUCUUUUAGCCAGUGCUAAAACUGAAGAAGAGUAUUUUAAAGUUAUGCAACAACUUCUCGCCACGAGGUCUGAAACAUCUGUUGCAAGUUCCUCCUCAAGCACCUUCGGAGAUGAAGAGCCUUUUAUUUCCCUUGGUGACGAAAAUGAAAACGACUGCUUCGGCAUAUUCUCCCCAUUAAAGCAUUCUAAAUAAUUAUUGUCCUGAUGUGAAAAAAAAAGUAAAGUAAAAAGUAAAUACAUUUUGCUAUUACUUUGAUUAUAUAUCUUCGGGUGGUCCCCUGGACACAAGUGAGAGCGCUCAUGUCUCUUCACCCGUAUUAUCCUUGUAUUUGUAUUUUCUUGUUACAAAGCUACAGCUCCGCUGCAAUCUACAGUGAAGAGUUCCAAAGAUUACUGUUUGCUACAGCUCCGCUACAGUGAACAAUGAAGAAUUCCAAAGAUUACUGUACGCUGCAUCUCCGCUACAGUCUACAGUUUAAAAUUUUUUGUAUAAAAACCGAAAGGAAGACUUAGACUCCUCAAGAUUUUCAUUUUACAAAUUUGAGAGCUUCACUCUCUUCCUUCUCUUUCUAAUUUUCCUCUCUCUCUCUCUCUCUGGGAAUCAGGAAUCCGAAGGGUUCAAGGAAAUUUUUCUGUUUACAGAAUAGUUCCUUACCUUCAAGAUUAAUUUCCAUUUCUUCUCUACAAAGAAAAAAGCAAUUGAUGUAAGCAUUUCAUUUUCCAGUUUUAUUUUAAAGGCAUUAAAGCAUUUGUAAAUUUUAUUUAAAGCUUUGCGUGUAUGUUUAAAUUUCCGCAAUUUAUUUUAAAGCAUUUAAAUUUUUGCAUGCUCUACAGACUGAUCUAUAUUAGAUCUGCCAUACAACUGCUACGUUCCUCUGAGGCAACGAGACCAGAUCUCAAUCCUCAGUUGUAUUCUUUCUCUUCUCCCUCCAUUCCUUCAGAGCACCAUUUUUGGGUUCCAGAUCUGGUACUGUGUAUGCACCCUGGCCUUUAGAUGUAUGUUUGUUGCUAGGCUUGCUUAAAGAACUUAAAAAUAUUUGGUAAAUAAAUUUGGUAUAUCAGCUGAAAACUAGAACGUGCGGAAUAUUGAUCUGUCCUAAGUCAGAUCUGGUUCCAAAGGCAGACUUGGCUCUGUAUCGAUCUAGAUACAACGCCACGUACCUCUAUUAAAACUUGACCAACCGCGCUUCAAAGCAAAUCUAUUUAUUUCAAAGCUGGUACUUUACUUUAAAAUUUUGACAAAGCCGACCCAAUCCAAGCAUUGUGUUAUUUAAUUUCUUAAUAUUUGAUUUCUUACGAAAGCACUUUCAUCCUUCGAUCCUAUUUCCUUCUAGUAUAUAUAUAUAUAUAUAUAUAUAUAGCAUAUGUAAUUCAUUCAAAGAUUGUAAUAAUUUUAAAUUUUAUUACAAAGCAUGUAUGUUUUAAAUUCUCGUAAUUUAUUUAAAGCCUAUUUACAUUUCUUUAUAAACUGUUACGUAUCCUCGAAGGCAUAGAGACCGGAUCUCUAACCUUCGUUGUAUUUCUCUUCUCCCUCCAUCAAAUCAGAGUACUACUUUCCUUCUAGUAUCAGAGCCAUGUACUGCUUUUUGUNNNNNNNNNNNNNNNNNNNNNNNNNNNNNNNNNNNNNNNNNNNNNNNNNNNNNNNNNNNNNNNNNNNNNNNNNNNNNNNNNNNNNNNNNNNNNNNNNNNNGAGGGUUACCGUGCGAAACAUCGGCAUCCAAGGGUGGAUGAGUUUUAUGAAGAAUUAAUAAAUUAAAACUAAUAAAGCAGAAAGUAGUACGUGGCGUUGUUUUACCAGAUCAAUGCAGAACUUAAUCUGCCUUAGAAACCAGAUCUGACUUAGAACAGAUCAAUAUCUCGCAUGUUCUGGUUUCCAGCCGAUAUACCAAAUUAGUUAAACAAAUAAAUUUAAAAUGCUUUAAACAAACCUAGGCAACACAAAGGCUCAUAGAUAGUACUAGAUCUGGAUCCUAGAAAUAGUACUCUGAUUUGAUGGAGGGAGAAGAGAAAUACAACGAAGGUUAGAGAUCCGGUCUCUAUGCCUUCGAGGAUACGUAACCGUUUAUAAAGAAAUGUAAACAUGCUUUAAAUAAAUUACAAUAAUUUAAAACAUACAUGCUUUGUAAUAAAAUUUAAAAUUAUUACAAUCUUUGAAUGAAUUACAUAUGCUUUAAAAUAAAUAACAAAUGCUUACAUGAGUUGCUUGAAUCCGAAAGCUUUAUAAACAGAAAGUGUUUUACAUAAGGAGAUAGAGGGGAAAAUCAGAAGACAGGAAAAUUUCUUCGAUGUCUUCAGUUCAUGUUUUCCCAAGGAAAGGAAAGAGAGAGAGAGAGAGAGAGAGAGAGAGAGAGAGAGUUCUAAAAGAAGUGCCGAGUAGAAGAAGAAGUGAUAAGUCUCAGUCUUCAUCCACUCUUUUAUACAAUAAUUAUUUUUCAAAAGAAAAUGCUACAGCUGGUCUUCACAUGCGUUGGUGGAGAGUGGGGCUAACAAUAGUAAAAGUAGUAUGAGCUUUUGGAACGUGGGAGACAGCAUCAUUUGAGGCAUCUUCUGCUUUAGGAAAGCUUCACAUGGGAGUAGUAAAAAAUAAAAGAAAACGUAUACUGUUAUAUAAAGAAAUGGAAAAUUACACUUUUUUUUAAAUUACAUUAUUUUAUUUACAAUGCUUUAUUGGAGGCAGGAUCCCGAAGCAAUCGUCUUCGUUAUCAUCUCCAAGGGAAAUGAACGGCUCCACUUCAUCUGAAGAACUGGCAACGGACGGUUCAGAUCUCGAGGCAAGGAGCUACUGCAUUACUUUAAAAUAUUCCUCUUCAGUCUUUGCACUGGCCAACAGUGAUUAGGACUUAGAUCUUUGGGCGAGGAAUGUGUUUUGGGCUUUAACAUUUUCUUGUCUUGGGACAAGAAGGCCUUUUGAAGAAAGCCAGGCUUGGACUGUGGCUUCAGAUAGUUUUGACUGUUCGUCAAACUUGGAUCACCAUUUGACUUUGAAAUAUCUUUGAAGGAUGAGUUGGGCUUCUUGAUUAUGGUAUUGAAAAUUCCACAUCCAGACCUAAGGAAGAAAGAAAUUUGUACAAAAGUAGAGAAAAUGAGGAAACCUCUUCUCGGACUCAGAAGGAACAUAAUGGGCUUUAAAAAGGUUUAAACAAUUUAUGGCAUUUAGGGUUAGAAUUUCUGGGCUUGGCCCAAAGUAUUUCCAUCAUUGUUGGAACCAAUUUGGAAGGCUUUGGACAUUUAUUUUUUAGUUAAAGAAAAAUAACUAAGAAUAGGUCUUUUUGGGAUUUUGAAUAAAAAAUAUGUUGAAUCAGGCCUAUUGGUAAUCCCAGUAAAAAAAAAGAUAGGCAAUGGUUUAAACGCAUUUGGAAAUUGACGGGAAAGGUCUUUGGUUUGUGGAGUUGGUUACCCCACUGUUUUGGGCUCAAGACUUUUAAGAUGGUGGCUGUAGAGUAAGCCGACUCAUGGUGAAAUUCACUAAGAAAGAAAUGUUUGAAUUUUACAGACUCAGUGAACUCAAGAAUGUUUUGGUAGAAAGACUGGGGUUUUGAUAAAUCCCAUGGUUUGAAAAACUAGCCUUUCGGGAAAAUCUUUGUAAUGGCUUGAAAUGGAUCAGAGUGAUAAAACCCAUCUUCCAUAGAUAAAACAUUUUGAUGAUAGGUUUUAUUAAUCCAAUCCGAAGAUUUUUGUGAAAGUUUCGAUUGAUAAAUAAUAAUUUGUGAAGAAGAGCUUUCACAAGAAAUAACGUUUUUAGAAGAAGAAGGCUUUGAAAUUGCUUUAGAAACAGAUUUUUCUUUCUCAGGAACUUGAGAAAGAGCUUUAUUUUGGGAAAUACUUUGUAAAGCUAACAUAAGUUCAGGGGACUUUGUAAUGGAGUUCAUCCAUUCUUUACCUGCUCAUUGGAAGCAAUGGCUUUAGACUGUGCUUCUUGCUCCUCGACUAUUUCAAUCUAUGAUUUAAUAGGCAUGACAGACGAAAGUAAUUUGUCUUUAGGAGGGGUUGUUUGGGUUUCUUUAGAGAGUGUUUGUGGUGCAAAGUCUUUAAGAAUGGCUUUGCCUUUGUCUUUUUUUUUUUUGGCGGCAUUAUUUGUUUUGAAAAAAUUUCCUGGUUAGAAAAUCAGGGAUAGAAUUUGCAUCUCCUUUAAUAAACUCAAUUUCAAAAUCAAAAACACUUAAAAUGGCUUGCCAUCGUGCAAAAUUUUGUUUUAAUGCAAUGUUUUGAACAUCUUUUUCUAAAACAUGUUUUGCAGCUUUGCAAUCAAUUCUAAGUAAAAAUUUUUAAUUUAACAAAUCACUUUGAAAUUUAGAUAUGCAUAAAACUAUAGAUAAAAUUUCUUUUUUGAUGGUAGAAUAAUUUCUUUGACAUUCAUUCCAAUGUGCAGAAACAUAUUGUACUAUCUGUUCUUUACUAUUAUCAACUUGUUUUAGUAUUCUUCUAUAACCUAAAUCUGAUGCAUCAGUUUCAACAAUCUUAGGUAAUGCAGGAUUUGCAGGAAAUAAACAUGGAAUAUUUUUAACAGAAUCCUUUAUCAGUUUAACAGCUUUAGUGUGCUCAUCAGUCUAUGCAACAUGAUGUUUCUUUAAUCUAUUAUGCAAUGGCUUUGAAAUCCUAUUGAUGUUCGGACAGAAAUCAAGAACAUAAUUUAAACUACCUAGAAAUCUCUGUAAUUGAGUUUUAUCUAGGAUUUUAUCAGGAAAUUUAUCUGCAAAUGCAAGAGAUCUUUCAAUAGGUGUUAUAGUUCCUUUGGAAAUAUAAUGACCAAGGAACCUAAUCCUUGUUUGAAACAAGGAGACUUUAGAACUAGAAAUGGCUAGACCAGCCUUCCUAGUGGCAAAAUAAAAAGUCUUUAAAUGCUUGAAAUGUUGAUCAAUUGUUUGGGAAAAGAUCAAUACAUCAUCAAUAUAAACAAUGCAAAAUUCAGAGAAAGGAUUAUAAACAUCAUUCAUAAUCCUUUGAAAUUCUGAAGGUGCAUUCUUUAAUCCGAAUGGCAUAACAGUCCAUUCAUACUGUCCAAAAGGAACAAUAAAAUCAGUUUUAUAACGGUCUUUGGGAUGAAUUUGAAUUUGCCAAAAUCCAGAUUUUAUAUCAAAUUUUGAAAAAAUAAAUGCAGAAUGUAGUUUCUAGAGCAAAUCAUUUUUAUUAGGUAUGGGAUACCUAAUCCAUUUUAAUGCUUUAUUAAGGGGUUUGUAAUUUAUGACUAAUCUGGGUGUCCCUUUUUCUAUCUCAAAAUUCUUAUUGACAUAGAAAGCAGCACAAGACCAUGGAGACCUAGACUUGACUAUGAGACCUUUAGAUUCUAAAUCUUUUAUCUCAUCUUUGCAAUGUUGUUCCAAUUCCAUGUUCAUUUGGAUUGGACGGCUUUAGUAGGUAUUUGCUUUUCAUCAAAAGAGUUUUCAUAAGGCAAAUCAACAAGAUGUUGUUUUUUGUUUCAAAAAGCAGAUGGUAGAUCCGUACAUAUUUCUUUUUCAAUGAGGUCUUUAAAAUCAUAGAUUUUUCUUUUUACAAAUUCAUUUUGUAAUUGGUUUUCGAUUCUUUGUAGACUCAAAACCUUUUAUAAACAAACCAGGUCAUUUUGUUUUGAUUUGAGGAGAGUAUUGAUUUGGUUCUGAUAAAUAGAACAGGCUUUAACAAUAUUCAAAUUUCUUAUUUUAGGUUUUUCAAUAAAAGGGAAAACAAGUUUUUUGGUUUUUGCUUUAAAAGAUAUACUAUCAUAGUUAACAGUAUGGUGUAUGUCAUUUGUAAGAAUAAAAGAAGUCCUGAAUUCAAAACCAUUGUUAUGAAUAGAGGCGUCAACUUUAGAUUUGACAUUAAGUUUUGAAUUAUUAGCAGCAGAAAGUCUUUCAUUCGUUUUCUCAUGAAACCUUCUAGGGACAAUAUCUUCUUUAAUGUAAUUUAAAUAAGCACCAGUGUCAAAAAGGGCAAUGGUGUCAAUUUCAAAAUCUUUGGAAAAAAUCAAGGCAUAUUUUAAUCAAAUACUUUCUCGUGGUGAUUUGCUUUAAAACAAACAGAAAAUCAUUGGGUAUAGAUUCAAUAUUUUCAAGACUUUGUUCUCUAUUACCACCAUCAUCAGAUUCUGAUUCGUUAUCAGAAUUAUCCUAGAGUUAUCUAUGUAAGAGAAGUUGAAUGGAUUCAGAAUCAUUCUUUUGUUUUUCUUUCAACUCCUUAAUCUCAAGUUUGAUUUCUUUAAUCUCUCUUUGAAGGUCUUGGAUAUUGAGAAUUAUUUUCUUUGUUGUCUUUUUAUCCAAGAUUUCAGUUAGGCCAUAUGUAUCUUUUUAAUGGUAGGGGCUUUAGAAGUUUCUGCUUAUUUCUAAUUCUAAGGGUUUUUAUAAGCUUAUCAAGAUACUCCUUUUGAAGAGUAGGGUCAGAAAUGUGUUUAACUAGCUCAAGAAAAGUUUCUUAUUCUUUAGUCAACACAUGAAGUUUUUUUGUCUUUAAAUAGGAUUCUGUAUCAGAAUCACUAUCACUAGAUACAGAUGUGUCUGAGUCAAUUAACUCAUCAACCUGUAGAGGCUCACUGUUUCCUGACAUGGAAGACUCAGAGUCGGAAGACUCUACAAGCAAAGGGGCCACUUUAGAGAAUAUCUCUUCAUCUAGGUCAAGUUCAUGGAGCUUUCUGCUCAUUCUACAGAACUUUGCAGUAUGACCUUUCUUUCCACAUUUGAAACAUGUGGCUUCUUUGUAAUUGAAAUGAGCUUUUGAUUUUGCUAUGGUAUCUUUCCUUUUAGAGAAAUGAGGUUUCCUAUAAGGCUUCGAUGGUUUCCUAUAGGAAAGUUCUCUAAACUCAUGGAAGGGUUUCCUAUGGCUUUUAGACUUAUAAUGUUUCUUGUAAGGUUUCGAAGAACACUUACCAUUACAAUCUUUAGAAGUGGAGGCUUUAAAUGGGUCAUAGUUAGAUUGUUUACAUAAACUACCUAGUUCUUGCUUAGACUUUCUAAGCUCCCAUUUUAAUCGUUUCUGUAGUUUCAAGUCCUGACAAAUCUUUAAACCUUCUCUGUUAAUAAAACUGACAAGUUCACUGUAGGUGAGCUCAUCAUAGGGAAUACGGUUGUCAUAAAGGGCUUUAAUAGAAUUCAUAACAUUUUCUCCUAAUAGGGUAGGUAAACCUGCAAGGAAUUUUUCUUCCAAAUUAUAUGAUUUGCAUCAUCCCUAAGGAAAAGUCUGGUAAAGAAUGUGGUUUUGUAGCUUUGAAAUUCACUAAGCUUCCUACAUUUUAAGUUGUGUAGUAACUCAGCAUUCUUAUCCCUAAGGUGUGAAGGAUCACCUAUGAAAUGAAGGGAUAUAGUCAGAAUCAUGGUAGCAACUGCAUCCUAAAUUGGACUAUUGAAUUCAUCAUAGAUGGGGGCUCCAUUCUCAUCUGUUUAAAUUGAAUUUAAAAUAUCUAAUUGUUGUUGUUUGGUGAGGAGAUGAUCCCACUAUCCUUUAAGCUGACCAGUAAAGCCAGCAAUGAGAAUCUCUGCUAUGGCUUUGUCAGAGGUUCCCUGUUGGGUUUUAUAGGCAUUAGCUGCCAUGGUCAUUUAUUGUAAUAAUCCUAGGAUAUUAUACUCAGACAUACCAUCUAUGUUCCAUUCAUAGACAGAGGAGGCAUUAAAACGAGAUUGGUUUAAGGCACUCGGUCUGUUGUCUAUGGCUAAGUCAGGUGGAGAGCUAACAGUAGGAAGAGCUAAUUCCCAAUGGAUUUUAUUAGUUUUAGGAACAUGUUCUUCUUUAAAGGCUUUUAUGUCAGAGGAGACUAUAGACAUUUGGUCUUGUUCUAGUACACUAAUUUUGCUAGAUUGGGCACUAUCUGGAGCUAUUUGAAUUUUACUAGAAGAGGAAGAAGAAGCUUCUAUUCUAUCUAGUUGUUCUCUAAUGGCUUUAGCAAAAUCUGAUUUUGACUCUUGAACUAACUUUUGACUAGUCUUCGAGACUUGGUUUGAAAAUAGGCUCUUUAAGUUUCUUUUCAAAGUUAGCCUUUGACGUAAUACUAGGAGAGAUAGCUAUGAUUGACUUUUGGAAUUGGUUUUCUAUCCUAGUCAACUGUUUUCCUAUUGUAUUUAGAUUGACAUUACAGAAAUUAUUUUGUUGAAUGAUGCUUUCUAAAUCUGUUUCUGGAUCUUUGGGUUUAUGGAUUUUAUAGGGUGAGGCUUUUAUCUGAACAGGAGGUUCACCAUGAUCAAUGGUUAGACUCCUAGGUAGAGGAUGUUCAGAUUCUAUAAUCCUAUCACUAUAAGAAAGAUUUCAUUCAGUAAUUUUCUUCCUAACAGUAAUGGGAUUUGAUUCUUUAAAAGGAUAAGUAAUUUUGUUAGCUGAAGCAUACAUCUCAAACCAAUCAAAAAACAAUAUAUGAACUUUAUACAAAUUUACAAACUCAUAAUAGACUUGUUGGAUGUCUUUCCUUUGGUUUAAGAAAUGCUUGAAAAACCAAAGUCUUUUUUCUUUAUUAGUGCCAGAAUAAAAAUCAUUGUGAAGAAAGAGUUUUAUCUAAUUCAAAAUCUUUUUUAAUGACACUAAUUACAUUUUUUGUGACAGUAGAAAAUGUAGGAGAAGUUGGAGGAGAAGGUUCCUUCUCUUCCUGUCUUUAUUCAUGUUGACUGCUAGUGUAGAUUGGGUGUGGAACACUAGUGGUAUAGUCAACAGAGUGAAUAGAGGAACUAGGUAUAUCUGAUGUGGAAAACCUAAGUUGACUCUUUACUGGUUGGAAAGGGAGAUUUAUAACGGAGGGAAUCUUUGAAAAUUUCCUUUCUAAUGAAGGAAUACUUGAACAUGAAUCUUUAUCAGAGAAUCUAGAUGAUGUAGAUCUCCUAAAGGAUAGUUUGACUUUACCAUUUGAAUACUGAGUCACAUUUUGUAACUCUGUAUUUGGCUCAAGUUAUUUUGGAAUCACUGGUUCAGUGGCUCCUUAUAAGAUUCAUUCUUCAGGGAGGUUGACAUCCUUCCAUUGGAUUGGUCUAGGAAUAACUGUAUUGGCUUUAGACAAGUCAGUCUGCAAGAGAAGAGUUUCAUCUCCUUUUUACUGGAAUUUAUGUCGCAUAUUGGUAAACUCAGAUAUCAUGGCUUUGUAGGAUAUUCUAAAAAUUAGGGCAAUUGGUACAGAUCCUUCAAGCAUGUGAUAGUUAUGGGUCUUGAUCUGUAAUAUUAAGCUUUUCAGAAUGUUUUUUUUGUCUUUAAGGGAAACUGUUAUAUUAGGAUAACAACUAAAAAAAAGGGGUCAUUUACAAAGGCUUGAUUCAAUACUGCUAAGUAAAGAAUCAUCAAAAGCGAUGAAUCGGCCAUCUCUAAGGACAGCUAGGAUUGAAGCAUUCAAUCCUUCUUUAGUCAAUGGUUUUAUUCCAACUUGAAUUAAACCAAUGUGAACAUAAUUAAAAUGCUUUUCUUUUAGAUUUUUUAAAGAUUGUUCUGAAAACAAGUGAAUUGUUUCAAAAGGCUUUGAAAGGGUUAUGUCACGUUCUUCAGUUUUUAUGACAUAAUUAUUCUUUAAAAAAUCAAGCGUUUUGGUUUUGUAAAUCAUUUCUUUAAAAAUCUUUGGAAGUUCCCAACAAUCAAUUGCUUUAUUAAAGUAAUCAAUUGCUUUAUUAAAGUCUUCAAUUAUGAAUUCUUCUGAAUUCACAACAUUCUUUGAAUCAUUAGUUCUUCUAGAAGAAGAGCUAGAAAAGGAUGAUACUCUACAAAGUAGAGAAUCCAUGGGUAGGAACCUAUAAUCUAGUUUUAAUCCUACAGGUAUGGCUACAACCCAAGGCUAAGAGUUGGUUUUACUGCCCUUCAACCAAAUCAGGACUUACGACCAAAUACUACCAAGGCACCAGAAGUAACACUCACCACACAAGUAAAAUCUUAACUAAACUACAAGUCUUUAUACAAGCCUGUUUACAUUUCUUUAUAUAUAUAUAUAUAUAUAUUACUGAAAUUCAAUAAUUUUCAGUUCUCCAUAAUUAAAUAAACAAAAUUAUGAAUGCCUUAUAAAUUUCAUAAGUAUAAUGUCAUAAAUAUAUAUUUCAUAGUCACAGCAAGCUUAGUUUACAUGUUCAAUUAAUUCACCCUCAACUUUGAUCUCAUGAAACCUCUAAUGAAAUUACUAUAAAAGAUAGAUGCUGUGUUGAUAUUUACUUACCAUUCAAGCUCAACCUCCCUAGAUUUUUUGUUACAUGUACUAAGCGUCAAAUGUUCUUAUCUUUGUGGAAAUAAAAUAUUCCAUUCAUUCGACAAGGCUUUGACGACUGGCGAGAAAUACAACACAAUCUUAGAUUCUUAAUAUAUAUUGUUGAUGCUGAAAUCUGGUCGCCCUUUGCCCGACCAAAUUAUUCCACCAACGCUCGUAUUGACAACGGAGAAGAGGUUGCACUCUCCCUGUUCUAGUGAUUGCCCAAGCUCCUGGGAGCCAAAUCACUCUUUCUCUUCUAUCCAAACCUGCGUUCACAGAAACAAGUUAGAGACGCCGGUGGUUUGCCAGUGUAAACCCUCCGAUGCUUAAGUUAGUACAAGGUGUUUACGGGAAAAUAAUGUGACUUAAGUUGAAUAAACUCACUGUAAUAUUUUCAACUCAAUGUGUAUCCAAAAUCUGUAUAGAAUAAAUUCUGGUUUCAAUUUGGCAGAGUUUUCCCUUCUCCCCCUAUUUUUUCGUCCCCUGCUUCAUCGGUUUCUUGGCCUUUUAUAGGCAAUCAUCCCACGUUUUUUGUUAUUCUUCAUGUCCCAUAUUUUAGGGUGAUGACAGACCUUUACGGGUCUCCUACCAUCGAAUCGUGGGUAAACGUGGGAUAUCAUGCUCUCCUUAGCGGCUUGGGGCAUUGUGAAACUGUCGUGAGUUCAUGAGAUCGUGUCCUUUUUCUUUGGGUAAUAAAUAUCUGGUCGGUACGCACCUUUGGUCGGUACUCGUUUAUAGUUGGCAUAUACCCCAUACAAAAUGUAUUACCAGAACUCUGCUCGUGCCGUUUAGCUGAGGAGAUUCGCCCCAGGGUUAAGGUGAGAAGAUAGCUGAGCUCGUACUUUUCAUUUAAUUUUCAGUUUCUUCUUCAGUCUAAAAGAUUGAACUUUAUAAAUAUACUAUUUUAGCCCGGGGUUCAUAGGCACUUUAUAUGAUAGAUGAUCAACCUUUUAAAAAAAUAAUAAUAAUAAUAAAUGAUAAACUUAUAUAUGAGAGUAUUGUGUGUCGAUACAAAUCUUUAAGAUAGUGUUUACUUUCUGGAGUGGGAUUGUGGAGUGUGGAGUGUGGAGUGUAGAUUCCUUCUACUCCAAUGUUUACUUACCAUUUUUAAGGAGGGAGUGAGAUUCUCACUCCGUAGGUCCCACCUAAUUUUGGAGUGGGGGGAGGUGGGAGUGGGAAUCCACUCCUCCCUCUUCCCUUUUUACCCUCAUAAUUAAAAUAAGUAAAUAAUAUCAUAUUUAUUAAAAAUAAUAAUUAUAAACAUAUUUAUUUUAUUAAAUUUAAUAAAAUAAAAAUAAAUAAAUAUUAUAUUUAAAUUAAUAAUAUUAAACAUUAAUUUUAAUAAAUAUUAAUUAUUUAUUUAAUUAAUAAUAAUAAAUAUUUUAUUCUAAGAAAAUAUUAAUUUUGUACUAUAUUAUCAAUAAUAAUGUUUCAUUUGUGUUGCUAUUAUUAAUAAUUUUUAUUCACAUAAUUUAAAUUAAAAUUAAUAAAAAAUAUGAUUUACAUAAUUAAGAAUAUUAUUAAUUAUUAUUAAUUUAUAAAUAUAAUAAAAUAUUUAUUUUAUUUUCCAAAUAUAUUUUUUAUUAAUUUUUUAAUUACAAAUUAUAAUUCUUUAAAUAAGGGUAAAAUUAUAAUUUAAAACUAUUUACUCACAAUUCAAGACAAUGUAAACACAUAAAUUGGAAUUAAUAAUAUUACUAUAUACUCUUUUUAUUUGAAAAUAUAAUAUUAUUAUAUUUAUUUAAUAUCAGUAAUUAAUAAUAAUCAAUAUUUUAUUCUAAGAAAAUAUUAAUUUUGUAUUAUAUUAUUAAUAAUAAUAUUUCAUUUGUGUUGCUCUUAAUAAUAAUUUUUUAUUUACAUAAUUAAAAUUAAAUUUAAUAAAAAAUUAUUUACAUAAUUAAGAAUAUUAUUAAUUAUUAUUAAUUUAUAAAUAUAAUAAAAUAAAUAUAUACUCCCAAUUCUAUACUCUCAUUCCAAUAUAAGUAAACAAUCUACUCCCAUUUUCACUCCACACUACUAAUCUCAAGAUUCUCACUCCAAUUUAAAAUGUAAACGCAGCGUAAAAGAAGAGAGAGAGAGUGAGUGACGACACAAAUGUUGAGACACACACGGAGAGGGUGAUGAUAGAGCUGGCAAAACGGGUCAUCGAAUCGUGUUCGUGUCGUGUCGUGUCAGAUUCGUGUCGUGUCAAAUUUAGGUUGACCCAAACCCAACCCAUUUAAUAAUCGUGUCAAAAUAUUGAGACCCAAACCCGACACGGAAAAAUAAUCGGGUUACCCAAUAACCCGCUUAAUAUCUAUAUAUUAAAUAAAAGUUACAUCAAAUAUUUACACUUUGUUAUACAUAUGUAUGCACAUACAUACAUACAUCCAUACAUACAUACAUAAUUUAUCAAUAUUAUAAAAUAUACAUAUCUACUAAAAUAUUACACACAUUAUUGAUGUUUUAAUUAUAUAUAUGUAAAUAAUAGUAUAUAUCAAUAUUAUAAAAUAUACAUGUCUACCAAUAUUUUAUACAUUUACACUAUUAAAGCUCUAAAUGUAUUUAAAAUUUUAUAAAUAAACUAUUGUGUCUAUAUUCAUCCUUUUAAAGAAUAAAAAAAAAUUAUCCUAAUAUUUGAGUUUUGAUGACAAGAAUCUGUAAAUUAUUUUAAAAUAGAAAAUAUAAUCGGGUCAUUGAUCGGGUAAAUGGGUCAAGAAUUUUAACCCUAACCCGAUACGGAAAAAAAUCGUGUUGACCCGGACCCGACCCAUUUAAUAAUCGUGUUAAAUUCGACGACCCAUACCCAUUUAUUGGUGUCGUGUUCGUGUUGGGUAAUUGGGUCGUGUCAAAUUUUGCCAGCUCUAGGUGAUGAUACAAAACGAGAGAGAAUCAUAGAAGGGUAAUUCUGGCACUCAGAGAAAAAAAAUUGUAUCGACGAUUCCUAGGCCCGCCUUUCUCAAAUAUCCGCUUCGUUAUUUGAGGUAGAAGGGAGAUUAUGGGAUUCAGAGAAAAACAUACACAAUGAAAGGAAUAAAUAACAUUUGUAGACACAUAAUAAGUGAGAAUUUUCUUGUUUAUUUCUUCUCUUAAUCUUGCAAUUUAUUUUGCUACAACCUUUCUGGCACCUUGUUCCAUUUUUUCUAGACCGAUUGUUUGCACAGUGUUUAUAAAAGUCAAAUCGGUUCUGAAGCACAAAAUCUACUCGACUACAUUAUAUUAUAUGAAGUAAACUACCAAACAGACCCUCUUGAAAGUAUGUAUUUCCAUAAAAACCCUCAUAAAUUGAAAUAAUAAUUGUUAUUAUAGCUAAGUGUUCUUAAUGUCAUUUUGAAGCUAUAAUAUAUUAUGAUGUGAUGGGUAUAAAAAAAAAUGCACAUAACACGCAUAUUGUGAUCCGAUGGAUAUGAAUCAAAAUGAUUAAACUACCAAGCCCAUUGAAAUUUGUUGAUGCGAAAAUUUGAGAUGAGUGGUGUGUAAUUGACAACUACUUGAGUUGGAUUGUAGCCCAUCAACAGUUGUUUUUUUAAUGGAAGUGUCUCUCUUACAAAAGCCGAAGCAAUUGAACGGGGAAUAUAGGAGACAAUAAAUUAAUGUACACCUAUCGACAGUCAUUUUUUAAUUUAUUGACUUGGCAAACUCGACAGUCCUUUUUUCUUACAUUUAUAUAAGUUCACCAGAUUAACUCGACUCAUAAGCUAGCUCAAAUACUGAGGAUUAUCUCGAACUUAUAUUAUUAACCUAAUAACUCGGCGAAUGUAUGAUAACGUCUUCAAUAAGAAUCCCAUAAAACGGUGCCGUUAGGCGACGAUACAUGUAAUGGUGGGCAAUCUGUGUGGCUGAAUCCAGUACCGUCGCGUUAAGGUUGGCUCAAAUUAAAUGUUGAUGCUGCAAUGAAUCUGACGGCUGGGAUAGCCGGACUUAGGAGACAACUCUCUGCUUAGGUUCUAGGCCUAUUCCCUUCUUGGGCUUCUCUCCGUCUUCAAACCAGUGUAAAGAUACUAACACCCCUUCACUAUCCUCAUUACACCCUUUUCUUGGAAAUUACAUUUUUAGACAAUCAUACAAUUCUAAUUAAACUCAUUUGUUGUUCCUCUCUCUUCUAAGAAACCCACACAUUCUAUUACUUAUUUUAUCUGCAAAUUCCUUCAUUACAUAGACAUGUCAUUUUCUUUUCUUUUUAAUGUUUGUGACUCGUCAUACAUCCGAUAUUUUAUCGAAAUAACCUUUGCUUCUUUUCUUUUCUUUUCUUACAAAUUUAUUAUUCUCAUGUUUUUUCAAAAAAUAAUUAUUCUCAUACUUAAAGUACACUUUUAAACUAAGGAAAAUUCAAAUAUAUUUAUUUUAGAUCAGGGUUAUCACCCAGAAAUAUUAUUUGUGUGGAGGUAGAAAAUAAGAUUGUAAGAGAAGAAAGACUCCAUUUUAUUUUAGGAGUGAGAAAACACCACCAAAAAAAAAAAAAAAACAACAACAACAACAACAAACAAACAAACAAACUAAAUAGGGUUUAAGAAGAAAAGUGUAUUUUUAGUAUUAAAACUAGUAAAAUUGGAAAUAGUUUCAUCAGGAAUUUAGAAGGGUGGUAGAAGCUCCACUCUUAAAACUAGUUGUUUUUCAUUGGUUAUGGACCUUUUCGUCUUCUUCCGGGGCUUGUUGUAAUUUUCUUUUAUGCCGGGUUUAACCAAUUGUAAUAAAAUGAAAUGCCAUUCAAGAGAGUGAGAUUUCAAUACGAUCCCACAUCUACAAACAUACAUCAAAAUUGAUUAACAUAUGGGUCCGCCUACGUUACAUUUAAUGUAACGUACAGUCAGCCUGUGAAAUUUCAUCCAGCCCCUUAUACUCUAUGUUAUUUAUAUUUUAUUCAUGAAUAUUAUAAAUUUUUUGAAAUNNNNNNNNNNNNNNNNNNNNNNNNNNNNNNNNNNNNNNNNNNNNNNNNNNNNNNNNNNNNNNNNNNNNNNNNNNNNNNNNNNNNNNNNNNNNNNNNNNNNAUAACAAUUUUUAUUAUAAAAAUAAGUUUUAUACCAAAUAUUAAAAAAAAUCUAGAUAAUCAUUAAUUAUUAUUAUUAUUAUUAACAAUUUAAUAAAAAAUAUUAUUAAUUAUUGUUAAUAGAUUAAUUAAUUAUAAUGCUUUUUAUUAUUGUUAUUAAUAAUAACAAUAAUCUAUUUAAAAAAAUAUUUAUGAUUAUAAUAAAUAAUUAUAAUAAUUAUAAUUCAUUUAACAAUAAUUAUAUUUUUUAAUUAAAUGGAGGUUAUUUUGAGAAUUUAAUAUUAUAGGGGCGAAUUCAUACUCUAGGGUUUUAAUAAAAUAAAAUUGAGUAUAAGGGGUUAAACGAAAUUUUAUAUUUCAAAAAAUUUAUAAUAUUCAUGAAUAAAAUAUAAAUAACAUAGAGUACAAGGGGCUAGAUGAAAUUUUACAGGCUGACUGUACGUUACAGUAAAUGUAACGUAGGCGGACCCUUAACAUAUUAUUUAUUACAAGUAGACAAUGGAUUAUAUUAAGGUAUUUUCAACUGAGUAGACACAUUCUAAAUUUUUUUAUGUCGAAAAAUUAUCUCAAAUGAUGUGACAUUCAUUAAUUAGUUAGUGAAACAAAUAAUCAAUUCACUUAAAUCUUAUAAACAUUUACUAACCAACCACUCAAUAAAUGCUAUAUCAUUGGAAUGAAAUUUUGUAUAAAAAAUUUGGGAUGCCUAUCAUUAUUCUUUUUAAAUAUGACAAAAAAUAUAAUUGUACUAUAUGAACAAGUGAUACACUAAAGAGAUACGAAUGAAUGAUUCAUGUUCCAACAAAAUGGAUUCAUAUAACAAAUUAGAACUAAUUAGGAGUUACAACUCUUUCUAAUUAUCCGUCACCUUCAGAUUAGUGGUACAUGAAUAGUAGUGUUGAGAAAGGAACAUACCAAAAAUAAACUACAAUAAUGAGCAAUUAAGCUACAUUUUUUCUCUAUCAGCGCGUAUGUACAACAACAUAACUAUAGGAACUAAUUGAUAUUAUUAUUAUGCGAAUAUGCUUUCCAUGACAAUAUCACUAGUCGCAUGACCAAAAAAUACCGACAUUCACAAUAAUCUCUCAGAGCCCGUUCAGAAGAAAUCAUUCAGUGUGGAGAUAUGAGACAUGAAGAAAUCAAACGUCUCUAACAAUAUAAAUAUGCUUAGUCAUCAAUUUACCCCUUACUUACCAACUAAGAUUUUUUUUUUUUUUUUUAGUUUGGAGAAUAAUAAAGAAGAGAGAAUCUUGAAAACUCCUUCAUUUGCUACAAAACGUGAACUGUUUUCACCUAUACGAGAGAGACGUGAUCUUCUCUUUUAUCUUCAAAAAUACAACGAUUCAUUUCUUUAAUUUGCCUAGUAACAAAAAAAAAGAGGUAGAACGUCAUCAUACUGCCCAGGAACCUUACUAGCUUUCUUUCCUUGCCCAAAAGGAAAAAUAUUAUUCUCCAUUAACAAACAGCUACAAAGCUUGGAACAUCCCGAAACAUUGUUCUCCAUUUCCCCAUCUUUUUAUUAUUCAUGGUAGCAUUGCACUCUAAUUGAGAUAAAUGCAUGUAUCCGCAACUAUAUUAAUUGAGGAGACAAAUUACAAUUUCCCAGGCAUGAUGAACCAAUUAUCCACAGGUACAAUUAAAAUUUCAAAUGGACAUAUUUAUGUAAUUCCUAAAGCCUACCAAGCUUCUUAGUUAAUCUGCUCAAAAUAGAAUAUUCUAUAGCCACAUUUUGAUAAAUUGGGGUUGUUCAAGUCCUAUAUUCUUUGAAAGCUGAUUCUUGGAAUUGGUUGCUGAGUUUCCAAUUAUUAAUUGAACUAUAGUGAUUAACACACACACAUAUUUAUGAUUAAGGUACAGUCACAUGUAAUCUUUCGUUUACUAAUAAACUACAACAUGUUUCUUUUGCUAGCUAGCUAGUUGGUUUUUAAACAUAUAUAUGAAUUAUCUAACAGUAUAUAACAAUACGCAUAAUCCAGGUUAAACUAGAUUAAAUUAAACCGAAGAAUUAUGAAGCUUAAAAGUCACAAAGUAGGCUUUUCUAUUACAGUACUGCAAAGAAUGCAAAUUCAAUUUACCUUCUCAGAUCUCGUAAAGCUAUAUCAUUAAUUGGACCUUAAUAAAUAACCGAAGAAGGAAUUAUAAGAACCCAUAGAUGUAUUAAGUACUUCUCCCCCGAAAGCUUAUAUUCAUGGAACAAAGCAACUUGAGACACUUCCCAAUAAGCCAACAGAGGGACAAAUCCACAAGUCAACAAGAUUUUCCUUUUUCAUGAAUUAAUAGGUCUACCAUUACUCAACAUGCAUUAUAAAUCAUCCAAAAACUAGGAUAAGUAUGGAAAGAAAAAAGAGUGUGUGUGUGUGUGAGAGAGAGAGAGAGAGUUAAAAGGAAUCUGCAUUCAAAAAAGGAAAAAAGGGAGAAAAUAUCGAUCAAACCUCUUCUUCAGGUGAUUUCAAACGGGGGGCAUUGGUUUUUGAUCUAAAGAUGACUCCAUGGAUAAUUAAUUUACUGAAACACCAACACACUAUUUGAAUAUUUAUUUAUUUAUUUAUUGGUUAUGUAAGAAUUAUUUUCAAUAAAAGAACUCGAAUACGGGAAGAGAAAGCCAGGAGACGACACAGAUAAGAGAGUGACUUACAGUCCUGAUGUGCAAUAUGGUCCAAUUCUUCUCAAUGAAGAAAACGUACGACUCUUGUUAUCUUCAAGAAUUAUGGACCAACUUAAACUUGUUAACUGUCACAUGCAUGCGGGGCCCUUUUUUUUAUAUAACACUGUUAUGCCAAUGAUAUUAUAAAUUAAUAAUUUGCUAAAAUAUUAAUGUAAUUGUUAUGAUAAUUUAUUUAAUAAAAUAUGGUAAUAUUAUUAUUAUUUUUUCUUGAAACUUAAAUAUAGUUGAAUUCCUUAUUUAAUUUUCUUAUUGCAUCUAGAAGUUUUGGGAUUCAACUCUCAAAGUAAAAAUUUUGAAUUUAUUUUUUGAAUAAUUUAAUACAUAUUUAGUCGAUUAAUCCAUUUUUAAUGGAAUAGAUUGGUAAAUAUAAUAGAUUUCUAGUUAAUUAAAUACAUGUUUAUUGACUUGCAAAUACAUCAAUUAACUAAUACUUUUUUAAUUAAUAGAUUUUAUAUGUUUCAACACGUUUUACUUCGUUACUGACUGUCGCCAGGGUGCUGGAUAAAAAUGAAAAGCAGAAUAAAUCUGACGCAAAAUUUUAUUAAUAUACCGGUCUCCAUGUCAUAGCCAAUUAAAACAGCCGCUGCUUUCUUGGAAAAUCAUAAAUAUUGCAUUUUAAGAAAUAAGUGAAUAAAUAUUGAAAGAAGUAAAAGAAAGCAGACAGCGUCUAUCAUCGUUUCGUUUUGCUUAUAGAAAGGUGCUUUUCAACUCUUUUCUUCAAAUCAAGCCGAAAUAGUAACUGACAACAACUGCGAAAUAGAAACCUUUCCUUUUUUUCUUUUUUCUUUUUUCUUUUUUGUUGUUUGUAUUCCACGUUGUCGUUAUUAACUAUGAAAAGGAAAGAUAACAUGAAACUCACAAUUCAAUAUUUUGUUGCCCUAAUAGAUACUAGGAGCUUUGCAGUGGCACCAGCUAAACGGAAUAUUUAAUAUCAAAUGACGACCACAACUUCCAGAUUAUCUUCAGACUUUGAACUUGGCUGCAUGUAAUUUUGAAUCUUGUUAGUUUACUGCUAUUAAAAUGUUACACAAGAAAAUAAAAUAAGCAAACAGGUUGUGGUUACGUACCUUAUUUAUAAUUACACUCGAAUAAUGUUCACUUCAACUUGGGAAGGAGCUGGUUUGACAGUACAGGCGAUGAAGAUAGUUGGAAUGGAUGUUAUUACGGUGCUCGUGAGACGUAGAAACCGGUCGAAGCAGCGCUUACACGGAGAGGCUAACACUGAAUAACAGAGUGAUAAGAUUAUGAGACACAAAUACGCCACCAAGAAAAGAGAUGGAGCCAAAAUGAGAGAGGCAAGUGUUGAUAUUGCCAAGAGAACGGAUAGUUUUCCACAGCGUACAGAAAGUUGGCGACCGAUCCUGAGGUGGAGUUUGACGGAUAUGAAGAGGUAGAUCAAUAGUAACAGCAGGACAAGAAUCUGAGAGAAGAAGGGGAGCUUCAAAAUGGGAUAUAACAGAAUCUCACUGGUACCAUCCUGGAUGGCCCAAGAAUUACCAUCUUGAGAUUUCAGGAACAUAAAGAAGAUUAUAAGAUUUAGUAAUGGCAGAAAUAAAUACCUCAAAUCAAUAGAAAAUUUCAUGCUUAUGGUGAUGCUCAAGUUUUCUAGGGGAAGAUGUAUUUAAUUUACAAAAAUGCUAAAUGUUAAGAGAAGAAUGAGAGAAAGGUGAGAGAAGAAGGCAUGUGCUGAGAGAAGAGACAGAGAGAGAAGCAAAACGGCAGACUCACUUUUCUCUCAUUCUUCAAUUUAUAGUGAGCUUUUUAUGUCAUGAAAAAUUGGAAAUUGCGUGGCAAAUUCUUUUGACCAGUUGCACAUGCUGUCCUGUUGAUUGGUUGGUUUUUGGAAACUCGAUCAUCACCGUUUAUUCAAGCAAAGACCCAAAUGGUGAACUAACGGUGAUGAUCGAGUUCAAAAAGAGAAAAAGAAAAAGAAGUAAACAGUGAUGUCUUCAAACUUUUUUUCCCCCCUGAGAAAAAGGCUUUUAAUACAGUUCUUUUCUUUUUCCACAGAUUGGUAUUAUUUCUCAGUGUUUGCUUAAUUUACUGCAAUCAUUUUUCAAAAAGUGUUCAAUAAUAAUGAAUUUUCAACCAUUAUCCUAUACGAAUCAUUAAAUUAUUAAUACUGAUGUUAAUCAAAUAUCAAGUAGAAUUUGUUUUUAAUAGAUCAAUUAGUUAAAGCACAUUUGGUACACUAUUUAGAACUUAUUUUUAUCUAAAAAUUGAUAAUAGGACCAAAUGAAGUAAAUUGUAUUGCUCAUGUCACUGGUACAACAAAUAAAUGAUGUAAUACUAUAUGUUCAUGUAUUUUGAAAAAGUAACAUAUAAGUAGUAAUUAAAUUAAAUUGUACUACUCAUGUCACAUAUUCAAUAAUUUAUUAUAUUACCUCUAAUGUAGGAUAGAUUUUCUCAUUCUCAAUAUAUGCUUAAUUGUAAUAAUUUUUUAACAAUUGUUCAAAGAUAGCUUUGCUCCGGCUGUGGAUAGGGAUGGCAAAACCCGGGUCCGGGUCCGGGUUUUACCUUCCCGGUUCCGGACCCGGACGAUAAAUUUUAAUACCGGACCCGGAUGUAAACCCGGAUAUUUUUCAUCCGGGUCCGGACCGGGUUAAACCCGGAAAAAUCCGGGUUUCCGGAUUCCGGGUUUAUAACCCGGAUGAUUGCUAAAAGAUGCAAUUUCCCAUCUCUUUCUUCAGUGAAGAAUUCCUUUCUAAUCUUCUAUUUAUUAACACCAAUAAUGGAAAAUAAUUCAAAAUCAAAUACUUAGAUCAAAAAUAACAUAUUACACAAAUUCAAUUAUCAAAGAUAAUCAUGAUGUCUCAACCUUGAUGAUGACAAAUUUGGCAAUGAAUGAGGAUGACAAAUUGGGCUUUGUGGGGUUAGGUCAAGAAAAGGGGAAGGAUAAAUGGCGGCUGAUUUUUUUUUUUCCUUCCAAAAAGCAAAUGAACAAACACUGGGAAGGUGUAAAUGAAGAAACAGAGACAAACGCAUUCAUAAGUUCCUGUCAAUUUAUCACAAAGAAGGUUUGGAGGACAAAGCAAAACACCAGGGGGUAGAAGUGUUGGCGGCCAAAUCGAGAUCCCGAUUUGCGAAGGUGGACAAAUGGAAACGGCGGCCAAAACUCGUGACAUAGCUGGACAAACGGCAGCUGAUGAUGAAGAUGAAGAUGAACACGACGAAACGAUGAUGGGCAACGAUGAUGAUUUGUUGAAAAGAAGGGCUAAAGAGAGAGAGAGGAAAUGUCUGGGUUUGGUAGUUUGGCUGCCGCGGCUGUGGAAGGGCAUUAGGGCUGAUUUUUUCUAAUUUUUUUAAUUUUAAAAUGAUUUAAAAAUUAAUAUUAAAAUAGUUAUCCGGGUCCGGGUUCCGGAUAUACGGGUUUAUCUAAAUCCGGACCCGGAUCCGGAAACGUCCGGGUUGAAAAUAUUAAAUCCGGAUACCGGAUUUUAUUCACUCCGGUACGGGUUGAACCCGCCCCGGAUUUUCCGGGUUCAUCCGGGUCCGGGCCGGGUCCGGGUUAAAUUGCCAUCCCUAGCUGUGGAUGUGAUUGACAAAUUUAUUAUUAAAUUGUACAACAACGAAAAAGACAUAAGUUGAAAUUGUUCCCAACGACGUCACAUGUUGACAAUAUGCUGUCCAAAAUUUGACUAUAUCAAAAUUUUCUGUUCAGUAUUAGAAUAGAUUGUGCAUGAUUGGAUGCUAUAGGCUGCUUUUUGUUUUGCAAGCGUUAAUUUAUUUACAAUGCAUCUCUUAGUCUUUUUGUUAGCGGAUUAUAAUAAUAGCUGCAUGCUUGAAGAAGUGCCCAUGGGGGGCAGGUCAAAAUUUUCAAUGGUCAAAGUAAGAGAAGAGGAAGUUGUUUCCUUCCUUUUUUUUUUAAUUCGAAAGUUAUACUGGCGUUUUCUUACUCUUACUUUUUUUCCCCCUUUCUUUCUUUCUUCUUUUUGUGCAUAUGGUAGUUUGUUUUAUAGGCGUUUUUGGCCUAUAAAACAAAAGAAUUUUUAAAAGUUGUGGAUCGUUUUUUCUCUGGACCCAUUAAUUAUUUCUCCAACUUGUACUUGCCCACCUAAAUCUCCGUCCAAAUUUUCAUUGGAUAAGCAACUUCCUCUUCUCUUACUUUGACCAUUGAAAAUUUUGACCUGCCCCCCAUGAGCACUUCUUCAUGCAUGCAGCUAUUAUUAUAAUCCGCUAACAAAAAGACUAAGAGAUGCAUUGUAAAUAAAUUAACUCUUGCAAAACAAAAAGCAGCCUAUCCCUAUAGCAUCCAAUCAUGCACAAUCUAUUCUAAUACUGAACAGAAAAAUGAAAUUAAAUAAAAUUGCUCAAAAUCAAAAUCAAUAAAAUUCAUAAAUUUCAAAAGAAUAUAAAACUUUGAAAUAAUUUGCAAAAAGGUCCUCAUUGUACUAACUUUUGUACCCACUUUUGUGAGAAUAUCAUUGUUGUUUUUUGUAAGGUAACACUCGCCAAUAAGAAAACAAAGUUAAAAACGUUGAUAGAAUGUACCUUGUGGUCAAAUGUCAGACCUGACUUCUUCGAACGAAUUAAAGGCCAACAAUAAAAAUUUCACAUAAAAACAACCAGAAUACCUAUAAAACAGCUUAAAUUAAAAGUUUUCUAACCCGUUCAGUAGGGUUGGCAAUCAAGUCGGAGUCGGACUCGAUCACACAAACAAAGUGCCCGAAUCCAAAAAAACCCUGACUGUUUCACAUUCGGAUCAAGCUAGGGUCAAGGUUGGGCUAAGACUUUCCUGAGCCCAACCAAUUUUUUUUUUUAAUUUUUUAAUAUUUAAAUAAUUUAAAUUUAUAUCCCCUAAUACCAUGGUGGUGGCUGGCACGGCAGCAAGUGGUGCCGAUGAUGGAAGUUGCAACAAUGGCUGUCGUGGGCUCGUGAACUGAGUCGCAAUUUCGGUCAAUUUGGUGGCGGGUUGGUGGCAUGAUGGAAGUUGCAGCAAAGGCCGGAGGCUGACUUCUCUUGCAUUAGGAAUUAGAAUGGGAUAUGUGUUCGUGUGGUGUGAGUCGUAUGAAUGUGAAUAUGUGAUACUGUGAUCAUGUGAUGUGAGUGUGUGUGUGUGUUGUGUGUUCAUGUGCACUGUGCAGACAUCAUGCGUGCGUGAGAUUUUUUUUUUAAAUUUGUUAACUAAUUGGGUUGGGUUGACCCUUAAACUGAAUUUGAUCAGGCUUUUUAAGCCUAAGCCUGAAUUUUGACUCUUAAAUUCAAGUCAAAUCUCAAAAAAUUUGGGUUAUGUCAAUCGGGCCAAAAUUCGAUAUGGGAUUUUUUACUAUCUCUCUCGUUCAGAGAGAUGCCAACAAUUUUGGAAACUUUUUGUUGGACCUUACAUUUAUUUUUUUUUUGGUGUAUUAAAUCAUCUGGUAUUCGAAGGUUUCAUUGGGCCCCGACUAAUCCAGAUUCGAGUUGAGUAGGACCACUAGAGUGGCAAAACUCUCUCAGUAAGUAUUUAACGCAGCUGCAAGUCUCGAACUGAAGAUCUUUGUUAAGUUAGAACAACCUCAUGCUAGUUGAUCUACGCGCUUAUUAGACCUCACGUUUAUACUAUAUCAUAACUUCCUCCACCAAUCUGACAACAUCACAGAAAACAAGCAACACCACAUUUAAUUGUCCUUUUAAGCUAUGAAAAAGCUUCAAGUUUUGCAGGUGCCAGGAUAUAAUGCGAAGGACCACUAGAGUGGCAAAACUCUCUCAGUAAAUCUUUAACGCAGCUGCAAGUCUCGAACUGAAGAUUUUUGUUAAGUUAGAACAACCUCAUGCCAGUUGAUCUACGCGCUUGUUAGACCUCACGUUUAUAAUAUAUCAUAACUUCCUCCACCAAUCUGACAACAUCACAGAAAACUCUCUCACCACAUUUAAUUGUCCUUUUAAGUUAUGAAAAAGCUUCAAGUUUUGCAAGUGCCAGGAUAUAAUGCGAAACCAAUCAUAGAAAAUGUCAUAAGCAAGGGCACAAGCAGAGCAAAGAUCUUCAGUGCCUUAGUGUGAUGAUAAUAAUCAUGAAACAAUAUCAACAGAUGUGAUUUAGGGAUACAUCUCAUAAAAGCAAUAGAUCGAUAUAAAAUAAAUAACUUCAUAACAAAAGAGUUUACAUUGGGAAAAGAAAAAAAAAAUACUGAGGUUAAAGGUUGCGCUCUGGUUAUUGUACUUUCAUUCGUAUGUAAAGUCUCCCAAAUUCUUUAGUCAUGGUGUAAUAGAUUUUCUUAUAUAUAUAAUGAAUAAUGCGGUUGAAAGUAGCCCCUGAACUUAGAAUUACUUCCACUUGUUUAAAAUCUUAGUUAUAAUAGGGCAAGAAUGAGCUUUGGUAUAUUUAAUGAGAUACAGAAAGGUAUUUACACUAUUUUAGCUUGCAAAUUCAACACCUGGUAAGUCUCUCGCAAAACCGGUAUUUAGACGAAUGGACUUCAAAUGAAAGAAUUUUCUUACAAAAGCUAAAAAAAAUGCAACGGCAUAGUCAAAAUUGGAAAAUGAAAAUAUAAAGCAAAAGAAAAAGAUUCCAUCUGAUAAGACAAAUACAAAAAAUCUAAGUUCUAAUUUUGCCAUGCAAUAUUAUUCAUGCAGAAUUACUCUAAUUUAUUUUUCAGUUGUGGAUAGUAACAAUUUAUCUGUAAAUAUCUGUAAAUUUAUCUGCAAUCCAGAUCAGGGAAUCAAACUAUCAUGAGAUAAAUGAUUAAUAUGAAGUAAGAAUCUGAUAAGUAUUUUUUACUGGGUUCCUGCAUUUUUGCCUCAAACCCUGUUUGAUAAAUAAUUAAAAGAGCUUACUCAGUGCUUUCAGAACCAGCCAUGUCAACAAGCCUCAGCCAUCCUCCCGCUGCUGAGAGUUGGGACAGUGAGGAUUUUGUGUGAAAUUCCUCAUUCUAGUGCCUUAUAUAAUUAACAGUUUGGGAGCAAUGCUAGAAUAUUGCACUGUAAUUGAGAUCAACGCAUGUAUCCAGCAAGCAUUCAUUUAGGAGACAAUUACUUUAAGAAACGACAUUAAAAUUCAAGUAGACAGACUUAAAUACCUAAGUAAGUAACAAGGUUCCACGGAUGACAAGAAAGACAAUUUCUAAACAGUGCAAAUGAAAUGACAGUCUAAAACAUGCAUUCAUGCACAACCCAUUAUGUAAUACUACAGAGAAUGCAACUUCACUUUAACUUCAACAUCAUUUAAAAGAUAAUCCAAACCAAAUAAUUUAUACCCCUUCAAUAUUCCAAUAACAUACGGAAUGGAAGACCUGCAGACAGAGAAGGUAUGGCUGUUAAAAGAAUUUAAGAACCCGUAGAUGCAUUAAGUAAUUCUCCUAAAGCUAAUAAUGAAACAAAACAACUUCAUGAAACUAUCAAUAUGCCAUUAGAGGAAUAAAUCCAUAUGUCAAAUCCACCGCCACCUUAAGGUUGGUUCAAAUUGAAUGUUAUUGCAAUGAAUCAGACGGCAGGACAUAGGAGGCAACUCUCCGAGUAAGUUCUGGGCCUUUUCCCUCUUGGACUUCUCUCCAUUUUCAAAUUGAGUGUUGCUAUUAACACCACUUCACUUAUGAAAUUACACUUUUUAGAAACUCUUAUAAUUCUAAUUAAACUCAUCUAUUGUUUCUCUUUCUUUUAACAAAUCCACGCAUUCUAUUAUUUGUUUUUUCGGCAAACUCCUUCAAUACAUUAACAUGUCAAUUUCUAUUCUUUUUUAUGUUUGUAAUUCCUCAUCUAUCCAAUAUUCUGUUGAAAUAACUUGUUUCUUUUAUUUUCCUUACAAAUUCAUUAUUCUCAUACUUGUAAAAAAAAAUUAUCCUCAUACUUAUACGCAACUUCUAAACUAAAGCUUAAAUAUGCUUAUUUUGAAUCAGAAUUAUCACCUAGAAAAAUUAUUUGUGUAGAGGGUAGAGAAUAAGAUUGCUAGAGAAGAUAGAUUUCAUUUUAUUUUAGGGGGGAAAAAUAUUUUAAGUAUAUUUUUGGUAUUAAAACAAGUGUGAUUGACAUGGGGUCGUAAGGAAUGUAGAGGCGUCUUAGAAGCUCCACUCUUUAAACUAAUACUUUUUCAUUUGUUGUGGACCUGCUGGUCUUCUUUCGGCCCGAGCUUGCUGUAAUUUAAUCAAUUGUAAGAGGGAAAUUAUCUCUGAACGUAUGACAAACGAAUUACCAGCUCUAUUUUUUUUAUAAAAAAAAACAACCAUAAGGUGGGGGGUUAGGCAGGACCCCUACCUGUAAUAUAAAUAAGAAACUGAAAUGUACAAAUAAGGAGGGGGAUAUAGACCAUGACCUCCAUAGUAAAUGAAAACACAUGAAAAACCAAGAAUAAAUGGAAGAGAAAGCUAUCAAUGCUAGCGCCUAACAUGAGGGAUAGCCUGAGCAUCUAAAUGGAGAAUAUCCAAUAAGCCGACAAGAAGAUCUUGGGGAGAAGAAAAACGCCUACUGACACACCGAGAACAUGCCCAAUUAGCCAGAAAAUCAGCAGUAGAGGUAGCCUCGUGAAACACAUGUCGGACCAGAAUAGUCGAAGAGGAUAUGAGAGAGCACACCCAACGCAACAAGUGUACUCCCAACGAACAAGACCCUGGGAAUGGAUCCAAGAAACGAUCGUAGCCGAAUCCAACUCCACCUCAAGCGUGAGAUAACCCAUAUGAGCAACAAGCUCCAACCCCUCGCACACAGCCAUGAGCUCAACAUAAAGAAUCGGUUGGCGGCCAAGAAAGGAGCCAAAGGCAGCCAAAACCACACCUCGAUAAUCUCGCAAAAUACCUCCUCAGACAACCAUCCCAGGAUUACCCCUAAAACAUCUGUCCACAGUUAGCUUCAACACCCCAGGAGGCAGCCUCAUCUAUGAAACCAAUCGAAUCAGCCUCUCAGGAGGAGUCAUAACAUGCAAACCCUUCGCAAUCCGAGAACCUAAGACUUCCCUCAGAGCGGAAGGCUUAAAGCCAAAAGUAGAACUAGCUAACCUGAGAUCUGAAUCCAUUUGAAAAAUGAUCGCCUCAAUAGAGAAAGACUACAAACUAAACCGAAAAGCAUUGCGGGCCUUCCGAACUUGCCACAAAAUAAAGCAAGGCAGGAGGACCCGAAUAUGAUGCUGAGAAGGAGCACAUCUCCGCCAAUGAAAAAGCAAAGCAUGAGAAGUAAGAAACCUAAGAGCUCGCAUAUCAAAAAUCCGCUGGAAAUGAUCCCAAACCUAAUGAACCUACUGUCAAUCAACAAAUAAAUGCCUAAGGAUUUACAUAUGACAAAUGAAAUGUCAUUCAACAAUCAACAUAGUCACAGUUCAGUACGAUCCCACGUCUACGAACAUACAUCAAAAUUGAUUAACCGAUUAUUUACUACAAGUAGACAAUGGAUUAAAAUUACAGUAUUCUCAAAUUAUGAGGAAAAAAAAUAACUGAACGAAAAAAAUUUGAGACAAGUGAUACAAUAAAGGUGUAUUUGUCACACUGUAAUGCAUUACAAUGUAUUACAUUAUUUAAUGUAAGCUAAACUAUAUUAUUAUUGUAUUAUAUUAAUACUGAAUAGUAUUUAGCAUUACAUUGUAUUAUAUUAUAUAUAAUCAUAUUUUAUAUAAUUAUUUGUACAAAUUAAUAUGAUUUUGAUUUAUUAAUAUUUUAAAUUUCAUAUUGUUAAUUAUAUAAAAUUUAAUAUUAUUAAUUAUUUCAAAUUUUAUAUGUAAAAAUAAAAUUACUCAAUGCAUUAAUUUAAUAAAUAAAUAUAAAUAAAUAAAAUAUCAUUAAUUGAUUAAACCAAAAAAAGGAAAAUUUACGAAAAUAACCAUAAAAUUUUUGCUAUUUUCACAAUUAACCCUCUCAACUUUUUUCUAUCAAUAUUAGUCAAACACACGCUUUUCUCCCCAAAUUACCCUUCUUUACAGACCAAAAGCAACUUUCUUUCUCCCAUAUCGUCAAACCAAAGGUAGCUUUCCACUCUUGAAUCAUCAACCAACGGCGACGGCAAAAGACAACGAUAAAAGUGAAAUCCGAUCAUAAUCUAUCCGGAUCCAACACUAAUCGGCAUCACUUAGUGGUAUGAGUUAUUUUCUGAACUUGCUCGAGAGUUUCAGUGAAUUGAGUCGUGGGUGAAUCUGGCGACAGCCUUGGUGCGAUAGGCUGGAGAUUCAUUAAAACUGUAUUAAUUUGAUAGGGCUCAAAUAUUUUUUUUUUAUAAUUUUAGGCUUAAUGGAUUCAGUUGUACUUGAUUUGUGUUACGAUGGUUGUGGGAGACAUUAGAGGAUGGCCGUAUGGAGUAUGUGAAUGGUAAAAAUCGAGCUUUUUUGGUUGGGAAAAAUUUUCUGUUUGAUCAGUUAUUGGCAAGAGUAUACGAGGUGUUACAAAUAAACGCUAAUGAAUAUAAUAUCACAAUGAAGACAACUUUGAGGUCUAGUAACACAUUAUAUCGUAUAUGUGCACUGCCCAUGGAUAUAUUUGAUGAUGAAAUGGUGAGGGUUGUGUUGCAUGUGGCAUCCGACGUAGCCAAUUUUGGAUGCAUUCCUAUAUUCGUGACCACAUCACCUCGAGUUCCGAGCGAAGCUAUUGAACCACAUGUCGAUACAGAAACUUCGUUUAGAGCAAAUAUGUUUGGCCCCGAUAAUGAAGAAGAGGUGUUGCCAAGGACAAUAUUGCUACAGCAAUAUUACUCUCCAAUCCACGACAAUUAUGACAACAUUGAUGAUAACGGCGUUACAUUACAGGAUGUUGGAGCAACGGUAUUUCCAAUAACGACGUCGUUGGAGUAAUGGUAUUCUCCGUAUUACAACAAUGAUUUUCGGGACAAUGAUGAUUUUCAUGAUGAGACAGAAGGGGAUAAUGUUUAUGCAGAACCUUCUAAUAAUACUAGGGGCACUUAUUUCAAUAAUGAUGGUGAUGAUGGAGGAGCCGGUCCUUUGAAUGUUCUGUCGUUUCAGUAUGAGGAUGAGUGUGAAGACAAUACUCUUGUGAAUAACAGAGGCAAUAGACCUAUUCCUUCUAUGGUUCGGUUGAGAAGGAGAAUUGACCCUUACAAGUCUUGCUUCAACUUUGCCUUCGAACAUGGUUGCUCCAAGCUUUGUUAGCAGUUGUGACUCAGAUGAUAUAAGUGUGGGUAAGCUAUUUGCUGAGAAGAAUGAGUUUAUAUUACAACUACGCAAGGUUGCCUUUAGGGAUAAGUUUGAUUUCAAGAUUGCGCGGUCUACUAUGACACGUUUCGAGGCUCACUGUUGUUCAGAAUAAUGUAAAUGACGUAUUCGAGCAACUAGAUGUUCGAACGAGCAAAAUGUUCCUUGGGCGGUGCAGAGAAUUGACAAUGUACACACUUGUCAUAAUGAGGUAUUGGUUGAUAGACGUCAUCAAGUAAGGAGCCGGGUUGUCGAUCAUAUUAUCAUAGAAAAAUAUAUUCAAGAUAAGAGGAUUUAUACCCCGAAUGACAUAAGAGCAGAUAUACAAUAAGAAUACGGUGUUCAGUUAACAUACCAGCAGGCAUAUCGGGCGAGAGAAGUUGGUCUUGAAAUAGUUCGAGGCAACGCUAUAGAGUCAUACAACUUGCUCCCUAAAUACUCUCACAUAGUAACUACAACGAAUGAGGGUACAAUUACUCACCUCGAGUAUGAUGGAGAUGGUAAUUUCUUGUACUAUUUUGUAGCACUCGGAUCUUCCAUCAAGGGUUUUAUGCAAUAUAUUCGGCCUGUCAUUGCUGUAGAUGGUACUUAUCUGAAGGGACUAUAUCGUGGAAGCAUGUUCGUGGCAACAUGUCUUGAUGAUAACAAUCAAUUGUAUCCGUUAACCAUUGGGAUCAUGGAUUCAAAAAACAAUGAUGCUUGGGAAUGGUUUAUGAUGAAGUUACACGGAGUGAUUGGCGAUAGACCUGAGUUGGUAAUUAUCUCUGAUCGAUGCACUGCCAUAAGGAGAGUCGUUCUUAAAGUAUUUCACAAUGCAACUCAUGGCAUUUGUUUUUACCACAUCAAAGGUAACAUUAAGUCAUAGUUUAAAAUGUCCAAAGCUCUUUGGGAUGAAUUUGAGCCUCCCUUUAUUAAUGCAGUAAAAGCAUAUGGCCACGAGGAAUUUAAGAGACAACUUGAAGGGUUGUGGAUUAUCCACUCGGGUGCAGCUGAUUACCUAGAAAAUAAUGUCGGUACGUGUAAUUGGGUAAGGUCUCAGUUUGAAGGUAGGAGGUAUAGCAUACUUACCACCAACAUCGCGGAGAGUGCUAAUUCUUUGAUGAGGGAACCUCAAAAAUUUUCUGUUACUCAUCUUGUUGAUCACUUUAGGAAAACAUUGCAGCAAUGGUUUUAUGAUAAAAAAAUUGUGGCUGAAUCAAUGACUACUUGGCUAACAACAUGGGCGAAUGAAAUAGUCACUGAGAGGAGAACUAUAGCUGAAAGAAUGAUAGUUCGGCCGGUGUCUCUGCAUCGAUUUCAAGUUAUAGGUGGUGGGCUUAAGGAAGGUUUGGUUGACUUGCAAAAAAAAACUUGCUCCUGCAGAGUGUUUCAGCUUUAUCAGCUUGUAUGUGCUCAUGCAAUUGCGGCGUGUCUAACACACCGGGUGGAUUUUAUUAACCUUUACUCGGACUUUUACACUACAGAAUUGUUGGCGAUGGCUUAUGCAUAACCAAUGGAGCCAGUUGGUGAUGUGGCUGAUUGGGAAGUUCCAGAUGAAAUUCAGGAUAUGCAAGUAUACCCACCAGUUGAGGCACCACCACCUGGCCGUCGUAAAGAGCUCAAAAUACCCUCGGCUGGCGAGGACGUUAAUCGGCGGACUGUAAGAUGCGGGCGGUGUCAUGAACUGGACCAUAAUCAUAAGCGAUGUAAGAAUCUCAUUGUGUCGACUCGAAGUUAGUUGUAUUAUUUCAAUGAUUCGUUGGUUAAAAUUGUUGUUGUUUUUUGUGUUUCGUUGGUUAAAACUGUUAUUGUUUUUUGUACAUUGUACACUUAUAUGUCAUAAAACUUUAUUUUAUUUUAAAUAUUAAAAUGUGAGCAUUAAAAUUAUAUAAACUUAAGUGCGCAAAUUAAAAUAAAAAUUCAAGUUUCAACAUUCAAAUUACUACAACUGUUUACAAUAUAAUAUCGUCAUUAAAUAUAUCAACCGCAAUCUUCUUUCUAAAGUACUCGACAUGACUAUCGUUAAACUCCAAUCUAAGCCUGAACAUUAAAUACAUCGUAACCAUCAAUACAAAAACACCGCAAUUACCAGUUCCGGACUCUUGUUGUGGCGCGCUCUUAACUGUGAUAACUUUCCAGGGGUCUGCACUCCGCAACUCAGGUCGGAUGUUGUAGAAGCCAACAUAUUCCAACCAUCGAGGGAAUAUAACUUCAAGUAGCUUGAAUUUCAACUUGUACCUUUUGUCAUCGCGAGAUGUGAGUAAUGAGUCAUAAAUCCAGACUUUAUUUUUCCGAAAGUCAACUCGUGCUACUACCCAAUGCGCGUCGUCCAAGUUAACAGGGAUGAGUAACUGUAUAUAAAAAUUGAAAAAUAUGUUCGUAAUAUAUGAAAUUAAAAUACAACUAAGAAAAAGCGACAACUUGGAUAUUUUCCUUAUGGAGUAUGUGAAAUGCAAUAAAAAACAUACCAUAUCGACAUCCGUCAUUGAUUUGGACAUUGUGUGUUGUCGCCCACAAAGAUAACUAUUCAAGCGGUCGUCGAAUACUAAUGAAUCGACCGCACAAUCCCUGUUGCUUCAUAACUGAUUCAAGAACACCUAGUACAUAGAUAACCAAGAAAUGUAUAAAUUAACAAAACUUAAAGGCAAUAAUUAAAAAAAUAAAUAGUAUUUAUAAGUUUUGUCGGCACGUUACCCAAAAAACAUGUAUCAGUAUGUUUGACACGUUGAAUUAAGGCAUUCAGAUACAGCCGUUGUUUCUCACUAAUCAAGCGGAGAUACUCGUGAAUAUGCUGUAGAGAAACAAAAACAUUACGAUUUAAAAGAUAAAAUUUAUAAACAAAUCCACAACACUCAAAAAACUUCAAAAAUAUAAUUACCUUAUCGCCUAGCCAUCCCAUCAAAGUUAAACCCAAAAGUAUUUGAAAGAAUGACUGCGGGUACUGGACUCUCCAAACCACUGUCAUAUCACCAGCGAACCAUCGAUCAAACUCAGCAAACAGACUAGAAUCCUCCAAUCCUCUCAUUGGAUUUAUAUCUACACUCGUAUUCAUAUCUUGGGUAUGGUCCAUGAUUUGGGGUCGAGGUAUAGGUCGGGCGUUCUUUCCUCGCCUGAGUGGAGGAAUCAUGUAAGGACUAUUAUAAACAUACGACGGUAUGUACGCGCGGCCGAACUCACUAAUGCCCGAAGGCACCUCGGAGAACACCUGCACGCUCUCCCCACUAACAUCCCCGUAGAAACUAUACAAUGACGUGGGCGUAGACAAAUUUUGAUUGCCCACGUCAGUAUACACUCCAUAGUCAUCCGGGGUCUGUCCAUUCGCCAAGAUGAACAUAUUAGACAACUAUUAAAUUAAAAGUUAAAUGAACAUAAUUAUUAAAUUUAAUUAUGCUCACCGCAUACGAGCGUCCGGUGGGAGAAUCUUUAUUUGGACGUGUAGAAAAUGUGUCAAUAAAGCCAACCAUGGUUUCUUUAAAAUAGUAUAUCCGACUUCAAUUCAUACACGUUCCAAUCAAUCUUAUCCAGCCGUCGUCGCACGUAAUCAUUAAACUGCUUUGUCCUCGACUAUUACAAAAGAAAAUAAGUAAAAAUUUAGCAUAACAAUAAAACAAUAAUGAUUAAUAAAAGAAGAAUAUCGUAUAUUAUUUAUAACCUCAAAAUCAUGUGCGUCAUCAGAGUCGGCAUGUGUCUGCUCCUGGUGGUCAUCAACAGCCACCUCAUCCUCAGAAGUGUCAUGACACUGCUCUGGUGUUGGGUUUUGUAUGUUGUCAUGCUCGUCUGAUUGCCUUGAAACUGACGGCAUCGCAUUAAUUGAUGGUUGGUGGUGUAUAAAGUAUCAUUUAAAACUAAUAAAUGAAAAGUCAAAAAUUUUGAUUAAAUAUAAUUUAUAGUACUUAGAUUUAUAACCGACCUUAUGAACCCAAUCUGGAAUGCUUGGCAUGUAAUCUUUCAUAGUGAGCCAGUAUUUUCUGCUACUCUCCUUUGAAUUUGGCUCAAGGGUUUGUAAAACAUCCACUUGCCAUAAAUUCAAUUGAAACUUUUAAGUAUACAUAACUUAAAUUUAGUAAAGUUAAAAAAAUAACUAAUACAUAUUACUUACAAUACAAGAUUUGUCGUUGAAGAACGAAUAAACCUCAGCAAAGUUGAUUCUCGAAGACGCCAUGGGCUUCCAUUUGACGAUGCGGGGAAUCUUGUUCUUCGUUUUCAUGACCCAUGUUGACGGCAAACCUCCGAUCGCUUCGUAAAUCCAAGCCUGCAACAACCAAAGUAAAAAACCUAUUAACACAUCUAUCAAAUAUUUAAUACUAUAAAACUUAUUAAUAAACAAAAAAAUAACGCACUUGAACCCCGGACGUAAAGCCGUAAAGAUUUUACUUUUCAAUGUUAUGAUCUGGGUUUUUCAACCGAGUCGUCUUAAAUUUCUCGUCUUUCUCGAACAGUGUAUCGUCAAGACUAUCGUAUACCAUUUCCCACGACACACGACCCCAUGGACGGUUUCGGAAGUACUGUAUAUCAUCAACUUCGUUAAGCCAAUCGAAAUUGAUUUGACAGUGAUUUUUUCUUACAUUUAGUACUCUGUCCGCAAAAUAAAAGAGCGCAAUCUUUAAUGAGUCCAUAUCAUCCAUUUCCUCGAAUUUCAACUCCUUAAAUAAUGCAUCGAAUUCCUUAACAUUGAUCUUGCGAUGCACACCACCAAAGUACGUUUUCCAUAGCCUAUCUAUUUUUUUGUCAUCUCUUAGUUCGGUAUCAACACCAUAUGAAAGUCCAGUAACCAGGCACCACUUUACAAUUGACAAGCGAAUCAAAUGCUCACUAAUUUGAAACCAUAACUGAUCCUCACGGCUAUCUUCUUCAUGGGCCACUUGCCUCAGUAAAAGAUUGUGCAAAAUUACCCCACUAAAUGGAAAACUUCGACACUCCAAGAAAUGCCCAAAUAUAUCCUUCUUGAACAUAUUCAACUACCGCUUUGUUAAUUUUUCAUCGAUGGCCUUUACGACCGAAGAUAAAUUAUACAUACUCGAAAUUCGACCCGGAAAGUGAUCGGCAUAACGAAAAUACAUCCUGCCUACUUCAAUAUCAGACGAUUCUGAUUUCGUCAUGUAUCUGUAAUAAUUAUAACAUUAUUACAUUGUAUUUACAACAAAAACAAAAUAAAUUGACUUGACGAAAAAAAAAUUAUAAAGCCACUGUAAUUUGGUGCAACAGGCGCGGUUGUCACACCAUUUUUGAUGUGACAGGCCGCGCCUGUCGCACCAAAUUGGUGUGACAGUACCCAUGUGCGCGCGUGCCCAGUAAUGGGUACGCGCGCGUGCCCAGCAAUGGGUACGCGCGCGCACUGCUGCCCAGCGAUGGGCGCGAGCUAGCGCCCGUCACUUGGGCGAGCGGCACGCGCUCUAGCGCCCUUCGCUGGGCAGCGAUUCCCUCCUUAAGAAACACUCCCAAAUUGAGAAAGAAACACUCCCAAAACAACAAUAACCACCACAAUCACCACCACCACCAUUAUUCUCAAACUACAAACAUUAUUAUUCUAAAAUUUCAAUUUAAAUUAAUGAAAAUAAAAAAAAAUAGCUAACUUAGGUUUUGUUGAAGACUGUAGAUGGUAGAUCGAACGCCGAAGAGGAAUGAAGCCGCUGCCGAUGAUGGGAGUUUGUUCGGUUUGGGAGAGAUGGGUGAAAGAGAGUGUUGGGGGAGAGAUGAGAGAGAGGGGUAUUUUGGUCUAAAAGGGUCUUUUAUGACUAAUGUUGAUAGAAAUUUGUUUGGGGGGUUAAAAUGAAAAAAGCCAAAAUUAUUAUGAUUAUUGGUGUAAAUUUCUUCAAAAAAAAGGGCUUUAAAAAAUAAUUUAAUGCAUACCGCGGUGGGGAACGGUGUUUCAUUUUUGCAGAAAACCCGCAUAAAGCUUUUAAUUAAUGAGGUACAAUGCGUCUCAUUUAUUUCGCCAAACACUUCAGUUAAUGUAGGACCUACUAAUAAUACCAUCCAAUGCAUCAUGCCAAACAUGGCUGAAUUCGAACGGUGUCGGUAUGUCAAUUUGCCAAUAAAAGAGAUGCAUUUAACAAAAUAGAACUAAUCGGGAGGUAUAACUCUUUCUAAUUAUCCUCCACCUUUAGAUUUGUUCCACUGAUAUAUGAAUAUAGUAUUGGCAAAGGAACACACCAAACCUAAACUAUAAUUGCGCGUAAUUAAGCUAAAUUUUUUUACUAUCAGUUUGACCAAAAUAAGAUUAUGUACAACAAAUAUAACUAUAGGAACUAAGCGAUAUUAUUAUAAUGCGGACCAUAUUAUAAUAAUAUGAGAGCGGAAGGAAUCAGACUUUUUUAAAAAUAAAACAUUAAAGAUUAAAGAUUUUCUUUAAUGUAUCAGCAGCAACCAUCAAGAUUUUCGUUCGUUCAUGUCAGCUACCACACGAGCAGAAAGGCAAACAGUAUGUGAUUAUCAAUCUCAAUAUAGAUGCAAUGAUUUUCAGCAACUUGCAUUACCAAAGUCAUUCUCUCAAUUUUCUCUAUGCUUUAAGUCAUCAAUUUAUCCCUUACUUACCGACUAAUAUUUUAUUUUUUAUUUUUUAUUUUUUUAAUUUGGAGUCUAAUAAAGAAGAAAGAAUCUUGAAAACUCCUUUAUUUACAACAACAGUUCAAAGCCCUAAGGGGUAGGUGACACAAAAUGUGAACUGUUUUCAUCUAUACUAGAGAGACGUGGUCUUCUCUUUUAUCUUCAAAAUUAAUGCAAAUUAAAGUCUAGAAAAAUUGUGCAGCCAAAGACUCCAAAAUCUUCAUGCAUGUAAGUGACUAUGCCAUUGUGUUGGACUUGAGGAAGGAAUCAAAGAAAAACAUAACCAUUAAAUUCUACAUGAAAUUAUCUUGAAAUCUUACACAUAUAAAAAUUCUUUGGUCAUCUUCAACUGCUAGUUCUUCAUUAUUAACUGGCACAUCUGUUUUCUCGAUAAUUUUAUCUUGCACAUCAUGAAUAGUAUAUAUCUCACCUCAAGAAAUUUCCCAGUUAAUGGAGAUCAAUUUAUACAUCCACAAGUAGGGGCGGAGACAACAUAUUGAUUAACUGGAGGUUUAUUCAACGGCGAUAUAAAAAAAUUCAAAAAGUAAUAAAUAUAUAAAUUUGAAAGAUUUAUCCUACUUCAAUAUAUGUUUAAAAUUGUUCUUUACGAGUUUUCAUACAUUGAUAACGUUGUAUUAUAACUUCAUUAUCAAUAUUAUUAAAUAAGUCUUUUUCUAGGUAAACAAUCAAACUAUCAUUCAUCCAUUACUCUUCCAUUUGGUUUCAUAAUUGAUUCUUCAAAAUCUUCAUGACUGAAAAUGCUCUCUCUACACUAGCAGUGGCAACAGGUAAAGUCAAUGCUAAUAUUUUAAUAAGUAAACCAAUAGACAUACCUUAUGUCUCUUAGUCUCGACCAUUUGCUUUGCAAGAUCAUUAAUAUCUUUUAAUUGUGAAAACUCACCACUAGUGUGCAUAUCCAAAAUAUAUGUAUCAAGUUGAAUUCCAAGAGCCAUGAUAUCAAUUGCAGAGAACUCAUCUGGAUACAACUGAGCUAGCCGUAAUAGGUUCUGCUUGUUGAAAGAAAUUAAAUCAUCUGGAUAAAUUAUUCUAAUUCUAAUUCCUCAUUUAGAUUCUAGAUAUUUCGAUUCUAACUCAUUAUGUUUUCAAUUAAUUUUGAUUCCUGUGCUAGUGAAUGCAUCUUAAAAUUCAUAAUACUUAUAAAAAAUUGUAAAUAAUAUAAAGCGGUCUAAUUGAAUAUAAAGUGAUUUACAGUUUUAUAGUGCAUUCACUAAACAGGAAUCGAAAUUAGCUGGAAACAUAAUGAGUUAGAAUUAGAAUAGCUAUAAUUAAAAUGAAGAAUUGGAAUCAAAAUAAUUAAUUUACUUGAACUGUAGAAAUCGUAAAUAGAAUAAACUGUAUUACUAUAUAUGUGUUUACUUUGUCUUAGAAUAAAUAUCGAAAUGAGUCAAAUUGUAACAAAUUACUAUAAAUACUUAAUUAAUUUUAUUAUAAUUAUUAUUUUGUAUUUUAAUUAUUGUUAUUGGUAUUAUUAUUAUUGACAUUUUAACUAAAAAUUAUUAUUAAUUAUUGUUAAUAGAUUAAUUAAUUAUAAUAUUUUUUAUUCUUGUUGUUAAUAAUAAUAAUCCAUUUAAAAUUUAUAAUUACAUUUAUAAUUAUAAUAAAAUAAUUAUUAUAAUUAUAAUCUAUUUAAUUAUUAAUAUAUUUUUUAAUUAAAUGGAGGGUCUGGACAAAUUGGUACUCUAAGGGUUUCAAUAAAAUAAAACAGAGUAUAAGGGGCUCAACAAAAUUUUACAAUACAAAAAGUUGUAUAAUACUUAUGAAUAAAUUAUAAAUAAUAUAGAGUAUAGGGGUUUGAAUGAUAUUGUUCAGGUCAGCCGUAAGUUACGUUAAAUGUAACGUAGACGGACCCCGUUAACAAUAUAAGCUUUCGCACACGAUCCAAGGUCUUGACGAUUGACCAGCGUACGUAUCUGUCUUGAUGAAAACUUUUUCUGAAUGAUGGAUUUGAUGCUAGGACGCAUCACUACAUUACCCUUCGCAAUACGCUACAUGGUUUUAUCAUUUGAUGGUGAGACUUAGCUACAAUAUAACAAUGGUACGAUACCACUUCUUUUAUUUUUUGUGGCAGCACUCCUGUAAAUUUACAUAUAACCCCUUUUACUCAUUUUUAUUUAAACUUUACUUCAUAAAUAUUAAGUUAAUUUCUACUGCAUCCAUAUAAAGUAUAAACAUUUUAAUUAACACCUUGUACUAUUUACUAUUUACUAUUUACUAUUUACUAUUUACAAAUUUUUUUCUAUAUUGCACCAGUAUCACAAUACCCUAUCUCUUUACUAUUUUGAGAUUAAAUAAUUAAAAUGUUUAAUAUAGAACCUUACAUUUUUUUUUAAUAUUAGGAUUUUUUUUAAAUCCAUUAUCAAAUUUCAUUUAACACUCUACACUCUUUCUAUUAUAAAUUUUUAAUAAAUAUUCUAGUACAUUUUACUUACAUGCAUAAUAAAUUAUGUAAUCUCAAUAGUCUUAUUACAAAAAAGUUUAUAAUUUAGCACUCAUUUAAUUUACUGUUGUAAAUUUUUUUCUCCUUUAAUUUAUUGUUAUAAACAAUAGUUCAUCAUCUUUAAAUGAGUGCUAAAGUAAUUUUAUGUAACAUGGAUUGACAUUAUAUUAUUAAAGAAUUUUAUUACUAUAUAUGAAGGAUAAAUUUUUUUUUAGGAAAUUAUCAUUCAUAUACCCUAUAUUUAUUCUGUUAUCAAAAAUACUACAAUAUUUUAAGGGUGUAUCAAUCGUCCACCCUUAGUUGACAAAAUGUAUCAGCCGACCACCAAACCGUUAGUUGCCGUUUGAAAGUUAACGAAGUUACAGUGAAUUGACGAUUUUACCCUUGAAAAUUAUCACUUGUAUACCCUUAAAUUCUCUUUUUAUCACUUGUAUCAUAUGAAAAGACCAAAUUACCUUUCUGACGUCAUCAUACUUAAACGGCAAGUAACGGUUUGGUGGUUAGCUGAUGCAUUUUGUCAACUUAGGGUGGACGAUUGAUAUACUCUCAAAGUGUUGUAGUAUUUUUUAUAAUGGAGUAAACUAAAGGUAUACAAAUGAUAAUUUCCCAAUUUUUUUUAUGGAAUUAUAGUAAAAGCAGCUCCCUUUAAGGAGAAAAAUUUCAGAGCAAAAAUAUGAAUAACCGUACAAAAACAUGGAAAGUUCCACCAAACAGUGCAGUUUACUGAUGUGAGAAGACAGAGUCAAUCAAUUUCCCUGACUUCCAACCUUCAACUUAAUGCAAUCAAAGUCAUUACCCUCCUAUCCUCACAAUAGGAUAAGAUUUUCCAUUUAUUGCGUAUUUAACUACAGUUCUAGACUAUAGUGUUAUAGAGAUUGUUGGCAAAAGAAAAACAGAUCAUUCUUGUUAAUUUCCCUAGAUGAUCAGUAUGCUCUCAAUCUCUAUUAGGGGUGUUCAGAAUCUAAUUCAAUCCGUCUUAUCUGUAGAAAUUCGAUUCGUGGAUUGGUGGAUUGGAUUAGAUUGAAAAUUUAAUAAUUCGCAAUCGGUGGAUUGGAUAUGAAUCUACUUCUAUAAAUCCGUAAAUAUCCGCGAAUCUGCAAAAAAAAAUAAAAAUUAAGGAAAUUAUCAACCAUAUUCCCUUAAAUGACAUCAGUAUCAAACAUGCUACAACACUUUUCAAGUAUAUCACUCGUAUACCCUAAGUUGACAAAACACUUCUGCCGUCCACCAAUCUGUUAGCUGCCGUUUGCAAGUGCUGACAUCAUAAGGGUAAUAUAAUCUUUUUAGAAAAAUGACAUGUCAUCCCAUUUAUCGGAUAAUUAUUAAUAAUUGCUAAAAUAAAAAAAGCUACUUUACAACUGAAUCUACUCCUCCAAAAUUUAAUCUAAAUUUUUGAAGAUCUAUUCCUCCAAACUUCAACUGAAAUUUUUUAUGGUAUAAUAUGUAUAAUUGUAAAUUAUAUGUUGUUAAUAAUUUUUUAUGACAUAAUAUGAAUAUGUUUUACGGAUAAUUGUUAAUAAUAUGUACCAUUAAUAAUUCAUAUUUUUUUAAUAAAAAAUAUAUUGUUAAUAACAAAAUAAAAAAAUUGUGUAUUGAAAAUUUACAUUAAUUUUUAAGGUAAAUUUAUUUUUUUACCUCAUUUUGAGUUUCAAGGGCGAAAUAGUCAAUUUGCCACAAUUCUGUUAACUUUCUAACGGAAGUUAACGGAUUGAUGGACGGCAGAAGUGUUUUGUCAACUUAGAGUAUACGAGUGAUACACUUGAAAAAUAUUGUAGCACGUUUGAUACUGAUGUCAUUUAAGGGUAUAUGGCUAAUAAUUUUCCUAAAAAUUAUUUAUUUAAUUAAAAAAUAAAACUUGUAAAUAUGGCAUUAGUACUUUCUAGUAAAUAAAUAAGUUAAAAUAUAGUUACAUUAACACUAUAUUAUAUCUUAUCAGAUAAUAAUAUAAAAUAAACAAUAACUAAAUAAACAAAUAUAGAUUUCUAAAUAGUUAAUUUCCAUGUACUGAUCUAAACAAAUGUGUUUUUUUUUUUGAUGUGUUAUAUUUUCAAACUUUAAAUGUAUUUUCUAACCUUAUUUAAACAAUUGAUUUAUUUAAACCUUAUUUAAUUUUAAAUUUGAUUGUAAUAAAAUUAUUUUUAUAUUAAAAAUUUUUAUUUAGUUAGUUCGUGGAUUGGAUAAAAUUAAAAAAUUUCGGUCUGCAAACCAAUCCGCAAAAUGGUGGAUUAGAUAUGGAUUGGGUCAAAUCCGCAUCUUAUCCGCAGAUGUACGGAUUGGAUUUGGAUUUGGAUUGAAUUUCACCAAUCCGUGUAUUGGAUUGGAUUGAAAAUUUAUAAUCUGCAAAAUCGUAGAUUGGGUAUGGAUUGAUGUCUAAUUCGUAAAAUCCGAUCCACGAACACCUCUAAUCUCUAUGCUUAGUCAUAGAUAUACAACCAUGUCAAAAGCUAGCCCCUCCCAACAAAGUCCAAACUGAUGACAAAAAGUGAACAUUGUCCCACUGACAAGAAACUUGGUCUUCCCUCUUAUCUUCAAAAAUGCAAUCUUGCCUAGGAAUGGCAAAAGGUCGGGUCGAGUUGGGCUCGGGCUUGACCAAGCCCGAACCCGACCCGAUUAAAAAAAUUUGAAACCCGACCCUAAAAAAACCCGAACAUUUUAUAGUUAGGGUCAAGUCCGACCCGACCCGAAUCGAGUCAACGUCGGGUCAGGCCCAACCCGACCCUACUGAAAUAAUUUUCAUAUUAUUUUAAUAUUAAACUAUUUUUUUAAUGUUUUGUUUUAUAUUCAUGUUAUUUUAAUAUUUUCUUCUAUACAUGCACCUUAAUUCAAUAAUUUAGCAACUCAAAUUUGUAAAUAUCUUGUAAUUUUAUGACCACAUCCCAAAUUCAUUCAUGUUACUUUUUAAUUUUUGUUCUCUUUCUAGUUAUAAUACCAUGAAUAUAAAACAAAAAUAAUAAUUUUUCUAAUUUAAAAUAAUUAACAAGACAAAGGCAAAAUAUACAAUAUAAUUAAUCACAAAAUAAUUCACAAAACAACCAAUUAAUAGGAAUAAUUUUUUAAAUUUAAUUCCAUAAUCCAACUUUAAACACACACAAUGCGAUUAAAUUAAUAAAAAAAACACAAUUCAAUUCCACAACCAUUUCAACCACACACACAAAUCAAUUCCAAAAUGAAAAACAUGAAAAACACACAAUGCAAUUAAAUUAAAAACACACAUGUAAUUCCAUAACCAUUUUAGCCAUACACAAUUCAAUUCAACAACCCAACAUAAAAAAUAAAAAAUAAAAAACAAAAAACUCACGUCUUAUACAAAUAAAAACACACAAUUUAAUUCUACAACCCAACAUUAAAAAAAAAAUCUUAUACAAAUAAAAACUCAUAUUUCGGGUUGGGUGAUGUUGUGAUGUGUGGGUGUGUAAAACUUGUGUUAGCUUUUCUUUUUCUUUUUUUUUUUUAAAUAGGGUUGGGUCGGGCCGGGUCAGCUUAAAGCCCGACCCCGACCCAAAAUUUGUUAGGGCCUAAAAAAUUUGACCCUAACCUGAUCUGAGACCUGAAAAUUCAAGUCAAAACCCUAAAAAUUAAGGUCGGAUCAGUCGGACAAAAAACAAGGUCGGGCCAAAUUGCCAAGCCUAAUCUUGCCGAGUAACCCAAAAAGGAGCUAGAGCCUAAGAACCUUAGCUUUCUAUCCUUGCCCAAAAGCAAAAACAUUUUUCAUUAGCAAAGAGCUACAAGAACUUGGAGCAUCCUAAAACCAAUAACAUAAUUGAGAAUCAAUGCAUGUAUCCGUAAGCAUUUAUUUAGUACCAAAACCAAUUUUAAAUAUCUGAUAGGCUUACUUAAUUGCCCAAAUUCUACCAAGCUUUUCAGUUAACCUGCUCAAAAUAAAAUCCACAGGUACAUUUAAAUAAAUUGGGUUAUUUAACGCCUAUAAUCUUUGAAACCUCAUCAAAUUGCUACCAGAAGUAAUCCAUACCAAACAAUCAACACAUGAAAUACUAAAUACUUCUCUUAUUACUACUCAUGGCACAAAACAACAUCAAAAUAGGCUCAAUAUACCAUUAAAAUAAUAAAUCCAUACCAAUGACAAGCUAAAUAUGACAUCUUUCUAGAAUUAAUAAUUCUGCAACCAAAAAAGCACAAUAAUUAUCUACAUUCUAAAUAAUCCUAAAAACAGGACAAUGACUUAUUUAUGUCAUAAAAAGGACCUACAGACACUUAUCUUUUAAUCUAUUUUAUUUCCCAGCAAAAUCAAUAUUCUUCUAUUCUUUCUUCAACAGGAAAACAGGUUAUGUUACGGUAGUCGUUAGGCAGUAGGCAAAACACUUGAUAACUAAAUAUAUAAAAAGAAAUAAAAAAGAGUUAAAAAAAUUACAAAAGUUAAAAUCGAAAAUACAAAAAGAUUAAAAACGAAACUGCUUGUGAAAAAUGAAAAUAUCAAACCCCUUCUUCAGAACAAUUCAAAGAGGGAGUUGCUGGUUCUUAAUGCAACAGUAAGUAACAUGCCACUGAAACCCCAACCUUUAAACAUAGAACUUGAACUCAGGAAGAGAUAAAAGAAAAAGACAACGAUGACUGAAAGAGUCAGACUGAGAGAGAGUCACCAAUAUACGGCACUGGUCAGCUCCCAGUUGAAUUUGCAAGUUUGGGUUCGAGUCCCAGUCCCACAGGUAGUGAAAGUAGGUAGUUAUCUUAAGUUCCUAACCAGCUGAAGUAUCAAAACCUGUUUGUAUAAGCCUGCACAAUACAAGUUAACCAUCAGCAAACGAGGGGGCUGCAGCAAGAAACACACAUCAUGUACUAAUUAUAAAACAUGCAAAAUUAACCUAUUUUAUCAGUCACAAAACCCUUUUUCUUUAGAGAUAAUAUCCCCAUAGCAACUAUAAAUAUGGAAAAAAAAAAUGACCACAAAGUAGAACAGUCUCCUCCUUUUCUCCAAACAAAUACAACCAUUUCAGUUCACACCUAAGCUGAGAACCAUUCUAGUUUCAAUUUUCAACCAAUGAAACAACCAUAGUAUUCUUAUAAAAAAAAUGAAAUAACCAUAGAAUAAAAUAAUUAUACUCUAAUUCAAAUAUUGCUUCAGAACUUAGACUCAAUUGGUCAAACCUAUGGAAUUGGAAUGACGCAUUUAUUUAACCCAAAAGGUGAAAGUCAAGCUUAAGGUUCUUACAUAUCGAAAUGAUCAAAUUUCAUCCAUUCUGAACACGAGAUGCAACUUUUCAAGUUAUUCCAAGAAGCAUUAAAAGAAAUUUGUCCGUCCUACAUGGGCUAAGUAGUAUACUUUAGCUAGUAUCAUGCAUCAUCGGUUAAAUCAUUUGGAUUAUUAACAUUGAUACUUUUUAUUAGCUGAAUUGAUAACUUUUGCACCCUAACUUAAGGGCAUAUGUGAUAAGAAAAUUUUAUCUACAUCAGGUGCAAGUAUAAGCUUUUAACAAUUAAGCUGUGACUGUUUGCUUUCAGGAUCAAACGUAUACUAAUAGAGAUGAAUAAAACCCAGCACUUCAAGAAAAUUUUGACAUUAUAUCCCCUAAAUGUGGAUAUUAUCCAAUAUAUCAAACCAGCAAUUUUUAUACCCGGCUGCUUAAAACUUCAAAAAUAAAAAAAGAUAAAACAGAACCUUCUCAAGUCAACACUACUAUGAGCAUUGGUUAAUACGACAUUUGGGGCCUCUGGUACCCUAUUACUAUAACACUAACAGAUAUAAGUGCAUCCUACUAACGUAGCUUAGUCAUUCUAAAUACAUGUAUUAAAAAGCAUAAUAUCUACAAAAAGGUAGCUUACUAAGUUUACUAGGCCAGCAAUGCCAAAGCACAACCAGAACAGUAACAAAAAUAGAUGAAGACGGUUCUUCAUUACAAAACACAACUUUCAAAAGAUGUAAUCUCCAUGUUAAACCCCAAAUCGAAAUCAAUCCUCCACUCACCACAAUAUUUUUCACCAUCAUUGCCCAAACCUGAAAAGUAAGGGGUGAGCUAACGCACAGUUUGUAGUUACACACAACAAAGGAUCUUUUUUUUUUUAAACACCCAAAUAAUUCGCACAACUUCGGUACAUUUCUAACAUAAACCAUUUAUAUGUAUAUAAAUAUAUAUAAAAUAUUAAUUUCUUAAACUUUUUAAGUUUGAAAGUUGGUAUUCAACAGAAAUGUCAUAAGACAAGAUCAUAGCAACAUACACACAUACAAAUAUAGUGUUGCUCAUGCUUUCGGUAGUUAUGCAUAAAGAAAUCCUAAAAUUACUCUUUCAAUUAUACAAAAUAAAAACAUGCCUGACAAGUCCGUAAGCUGUAAAUCCUCAGCAAACAUUUUCCCCCAAUAUUAAUUUUGAAAAGAAAUACCUCACAUACUUUUGGGGCAUUAUUCGCAGGGCCACCACCCAUGAUUUCUUUUGUGGACUUUCACCGCGGGAUAGAAAUCUGACAAAGGUCAAUCCAGCAUAGCGUACUUUUGGGGCAAUAUUCCCAGGGGCCAUCGCCCAUAAUUUCUUUUGCGGACUUCACCUCGGGACAGGAAUCUGCCUAUCACCUAUCAACCUUCUCAAACCUCAACUUAAAUAAAAGGAAUAAAAAUUAUUAUUUCAGUUUCCUUACAAUGACACACCAGACCCAUGAUACUUCUCAAUAACAAUAGUUAUAGAUAACAGAACCUCAUCACAUCCCCAGUUUAACAACACAUCCACAAACUUAAACCGCAAACAUAGCACCAUAUCAUUGCAGGAUACAUAAACACAAUUCAGCUACACUUCCUUAUGAACGGAUUUGUUCUUGGGACGCCCAUACACCCCAAAACGCGUCUUGCCAAUUAAGGUGUGGAUCACCCCUUAUAAACCCAGCAUCUCUCCCGUGCUUUGCCGAUGUGGGAUUCGCCUAGGGUGUUACAUACACCCCCCCUUGGGGACUCAGCGUCCUCGCUGAGGUUUGCCCCACCAUCGCUCAAGAGGACACGCGGAGCCGCUCUGAUACCACAAUGUCAUGACCCAACCCAGACCUGGCAAGAUAUUGUCCGCUUUGGGCCUUAACAAGGCCCGCACGGAUUUGUUCUUGGGGCGCCCAUACACCCCAAAACGCGUCUUGCUAAUUAAGGUGUGGAUCACCCCUUAUAAACCCAGCAUCUCUCCCGUGCUUUGCCGAUGUGGGAUUCGCCUAGGGUGUUACACCAACAAUUUCCAAAACUUUUUGUUGGACCUCACAUUUAUAAAUUCUCAAAACUUCCUCCACCAAUCUGACAACAUCACAGAAAACAAGCAACACCACAUUUAAUUCUCUUUAAGUUGAUGUGAGGAUAUAAUGAGAAACCAAUCAUAGAACAUGUCAUGAGCAAGGGCACAACCAGAGGAAAGAUCUUCAAUGCCUCAGUGUGAUGAUAAUCAUCAUGAAAAAACAUCAACAGAUGUGAUUUAGGGAUACAUCUCAUAUAACAACCUUCAAAUGAUCUUAAUAUACAGCGAUUGAUAUAAAAUAAAGAAAGAGUUUACAUUUUUUUUUUGGGGGGGGGAAGGGGGGGAAUUACUGAAGUAAAGGCUGAGCUUUGGUUACCGUUCUUUCAUUUGUAUGUAAAGUCUCUCAAAUUCUUUAGUCAUGGCGUAAUAGAUUCUCCUCUAUACAUAAUGAAUAAUGCUGUUAAAAGAAGCCCCUGAACUUAGAAUUACUUCCACCUCUUUAUAUUCUUACUUAUAAUAAGGCAUGAGUGAGUUUUGGUGUAUUUAACGGGAUUUUGAAUGGUAUUUACCCCCAUUUUAUUUUGCAAUUACAAAACCUCGAAAGCCUCUUGCAAAACCUGAAUUUAGAUGAAUGGACUUCAAAUGAAAGGAUUUUCAUGCAAAAGCUACAAAAUACAAUGGCAUAGUGAAAAUGGAAAAAAGAAAAUAUAAAGCAAAAGAAAAAGUUUCCAUCUGAUAAAACAAAUACAAAAAAUCCAAGUUUCUUAUUUGCCAUGCCAAUAUUAUUCAUGAAGAACUAAUCUAAUUUCUUUUCCAGAACUAAACCAACUUGGUUACUACGACAUUACUCUUUCGCUUCUACGACAUUAAUCUAAUCAUCUUUUCUGGUUAAGUGAUUUCGUCAGCAAAUAAGACAAAAUAGAAAUUCUGAAAUAAACCUAGGGUUUCUAGCUUUGGGAAUUUACCUAAUGAGAAAUCAGUCUCACUGUUUCUAGAUUUGUAACCUCAGUAUCAUGGCGGCGCGACCUCGAUCAGCUGAGAUAAUCAGAUUUCGUACCGGCGACGAUGCAAAUGUUUGGGUUUGGGUUUGACGAUGGACGAAGGAAUGUUGGGGUUUUGGGUGGUUUAAGGAUUUUAUUUUAUUCAAGCAAAGUGACCAAAUUAACCUUUCAAAAUAAUUAAAGUAUCUCUAGGUUGUUAUACACUGAGAGGGGUAAAGAGUCUUAACUGUGACUACACCCUGAAUUUAAAUUAAUCGAGACCAAUGCGGUCGUCGAAAAUCGGGUGGUUUAAAUAAAAAUAAAUAAAUAAAUUUCUGCUCGUGUAUUUAUGGUACACGUGAGUUCGUGUGGAGAAAAACGAAAACGGGAUAAAAGAAAAAUUCGACGCAAAUUUUUAUUAGUAUGCAUAUGUAAGUACAUUAUCGAAUAUGCCUUAAACAACUGCCUUUUUUCCUGGGACAAUAAAAAUAAAAGGGGCGGAUGCAGCACAUGACCAGUGGGGGCUUGAGCCCCCACUGGCCAAAAAAAUUUAAAAAAAUAAAGGAGAACAAAUUUUAAAAAAUAAAAUAAUUAAGCCCAUUAAAUUUAUUAAAAUAGUCACUAUCAAAUAUAAACCCAAUAAAAUUUAAGUUUUGACUUUUAAGAAAUAUAAAAAUUUAUAUUUUAAUUAAAAAUAAUGAUAAUCUACCAGUUAAAAUAUUUUAUAUUUUAAAAAAUAUGAUUAAUUCUUCCAGUUUAUAUAAUAAUAGUGAAAUGAAUAUUUUCAGUAACAAAACUCAUGAAGAAUCAUCUUUGCAAUCAGAUGAGAUAAGUGAUAGUUUAAUUAUUUAUAUAAGAAAUAAUAAAUUUAAUAAUAUUAAUAAUGAGUUUAUUACAUAACAUUUUUAAAAUAUAAAAAUGCAUAGAGACUAAUUAUAAAUGUAUUAAUAAAUAUUUUAUAUAUUCAAAUUUUUAAUUUUUUAUAUUUUACUAUUAUCUAAUUUAGUUCUCGAUAAAUUAUUUUUCUAGAUCCGCUUAUCAAAUUAUAUAUAACAAAUAAUACAACAAAAGAAUAGAAGUACAAGUAGAAAGGCAGUAUCUAGGUUGUCUGCUACUCGGCUUCUAGUUCCACCCAAGAUACAUCUUCGUUCCGGUAACCAAGCACAGACUCUGUUACUGCUAUAACUAAUUUAUCACAUGACUAUAAUUUCCAGAACACCUUGCGCUUGUCCAAUGGGUUGUUCAACUUGAGGAGGAGCUAGCAGAUGUGCGUUGACAGAGGUGACAAUGAAGACAGCGAGUCGUCGAAGCCAGUAGAAGAAGUGCUGAAACAGAGAAGCGAACAUUGCAUAACAGAGUGAUAAGACUAUGAGGCACAAAUACGCUACCAAGAACAGAGACGGAGCCAAAAUGACAGAGGCCACUGCCGAGACAGCCAACAGAACAGAGAGUUCUCCACAACUCACGGAAAUGGGUCGGCUCACUUUGAGAGGAACUCUGAUGGGUGUGAGGAGGAAGAGCAGUAAUGGGAUGACGACGACAGGAAUCAGGAACCAGAACUGAAGCUUUAAAAUUGGAUACAGAAGUAUCUUACUUGUACCAUCUUGGACGUUCCAAGAGUUGCCAUCCUGAGACUUGAGGAACAGAAAAAAGAUUAUAAGAUUCAGCAAUGGAAGAAAUAGAAACCUCAAAUCGAUUGAUAAGUCCAUGCCUGUGAAUCAGAUUUGGCAGAGAUGAUUGAGUUUAAUUAUUAUGAAUAAGAUUUGGCAAUGGCGGAGUUGAAUGAAUAUGCUGGAGUUGAAGCUCCAUGAUACUACGAGGAAAUACUUAUAGAGCUAAUUUGAGGGUAAGAAACAAAGCAAGUCAAAACGAUUUGGUGCCGCCCUCUGUAGAUCGUUAAGACAACGUGUCCUCUUUCCUCAGAGGAAUUUAUAAGUUUAGUAUCUUUCUCAUUUUACUAAGUUAAUAAUUUAAUUAUUUAUUCAUUUUACUAUUUCAGAAAUUAUAAAAUAAUAAAUUGGUGCGGGAAGUAUUAGGAUAUAACAUUUUACACCAUAUAAUACUUCAGGAAUUGUUGAAUAUCCUCAAGAAACCUCACAUUUUACUACAAUUCUGUUAAUUAAAAUUGACUUGUAAAAUACCAAUUUUUCAUGGUAAAAACUAUAAAUUAAUUAAAAUAUCUCGUUGUUUGUAUAUACCAAUAUAUGAAAUUAAUUUUGAGAAUCGGUUCUCUCUAGUUUUCAAUUAAUUACUGAGUUUAAAUUUUUCCACUUGCUUCUUGUUUAAUAAUGCAUGCAUGGAUAUGUAUAUUGAUAUAAUAAUGCACAUAACACGUAUAUCAUGAUCCGAUGGAUAUGAUUCAAAAUGAUUAAACUACCAAGCCCAUUGAAAUUGUUGAUGCGAAAAUAUGAGAUGAGUGGUGUGUAAUUGACAACUACUUGAGUUGGAUUGUAGCCUAUGCCUAUCAACAGUUGUUUUUUCAAUGGAAGUGUCUCUUUUACAAAAGUCAGAAGCAAUUGAACGAGGAAUAUAGGAGACAAUAAAUUAAUGUACGCAUCGACGGUCAUUUUUUAAUUUAUUGACUUGGCAAACUCGACAGUCCUUUUUCUUACAUUUAUAUAAGUUCAUCAGAUUAACUCGACUCAUAAGCUAGCUCAAAUACUAAGGAUUAUCUCGAACUUAUAUUAUUAACCUAAUAACUCGGCGAAUGUAUGAUAAUGUCUUCAAUAAUAAUCUCAUAAAACGGUGCCGUUAAGCGACGAUACAUGUAAUGGUAGGCAAUCUGUGUGGCUGAAUCCAGUACCGUCGCCUUAAGGUUGGCUCAAAUUAAAUGUUGAUGCUGCAAUGAAUCUGACGGCUGGGAUAGCCGGACUUAGGAGACAUCUCUCUUAUUAGGUUUCAGGCCUAUUCCCUUCUUGGGCUUCUCUCCGUCUUCAAACUAGGGUAAUGAUAUUGACACCCCUUCAUUAUCCUCAUUGCACCCUUUUCUUAGAAAUUACAAUUUUAGACAAUCAUACAAUUCUAAUUAAACUCAUUUAAUGUUUCUCUCUCUCUUCUAAGAAACCCACACAUUCUAUUACUUAUUUUAUCUGCAAAGUCCUUCAUUACAUCAACAUGUCAUUUUCUUUUCUUUUUAAUGUUUGUGACUCGUCAUCUAUCCGAUAUUUUAUCGAAAUAACCUUUGUUUCUUUUCUUUUAUUACAAUUUAUUAUUCUCAUGUUUUUUCAAAAAAUAAUUAUUCUCAUACUUAAAGAACACUUUUAAACUAAGGAAAAUUCAAAUAUAUUUAUUUUAGAUCAAAGUUAUCACCCAAAAAUAUUAUUUGUGUAGAGGUAGAGAAUAGGAUUGUAAGAGAAGAAAUACUCCAUUUUAUUUUAGGAGUGAGAAAACCCAAAAAAAAAAAAAACCAACAACAACAAACAAACAAACAAACGAAAUAGGGUUUAAGAAUAAAAGUGUAUUUUUAGUAUUAAAACUAGUAAAAUUGGAAAUGGUUUCAUCAGGAAUUUUAAAGGGCGGUAGAAGCUCCACUCUUAAAACUAGUUGUUUUUCAUUGGUUAUGGACCUUUUCGUCUUCUUCCGGGGCUGCUUGUAAUUUUCUUUCAUGCCGGGUUUAACCAAUUGUAAUAAAAUGAAAUGCCAUUCAAGAGAGUGAGAUUUCAAUACGAUCCCACAUCUACAAACAUGCAUCAAAAUUGAUUAACAUAUUAUUUAUUACAAGUAGACAAUGGAUUAGAUUAAGGUAUUUUUAAAUGAGUAGACACAUUCUAAAUUUUUUUAUCUCGAAAAAUUAUCUCAAAUGAUGUGACAUUUAUUAAUUAGUUAGUGAAACAAACAAUCAAUUCACUUAGAUCUUAUAAACAUUUACUAACCACUCAUAAAUGCUACAUCAUUAGAAUGAAAUUUUGUAUAAAAAAUUUGGGAUGCCCAUCAUUACUCUUUUUAAAUAUGACAAAAAAUACGAUUGUGUAUAAAAAUAUAUAUAAACCAGUGAUACACAAAAGAUAUACGAAUGAAUGAUUCAUUUUCCAACAAAAUGGAUGCAUAUAACAAAUGAGAACUAAUCAGGAGAUAAAACUCUCUAAUUAUCCUUCAUCUUCAGAUUUGUUCCAGUGGUACAUGAAUAGUAGUGUUGAGAAAGGAACAUACCAAAAAUAAACUUCAAUAAUGCGUAAUUAAGCUACAUUUUUUUCUCUAUCAGCGUGAUCAAAAUGAGAGUAUGUACAACAACAUAACUAUAGGAACUAAGUGGUAUUAUUAUUAUGCAAAUAUGCUUUCCAUGGCGAUAUAAAUAUACUCUCCAUGACAAUAUCACUAGUCGCAUGACCAAAAAUACCGUCAUUCACAAUAACCUCUCAGAGCCCGUUCAGAAGAAAUCAUUCAGUGUGGAGAUACGAGACAUGAAGCAAUCAAACGUCUCUAACAAUAUAAAUAUGCUUAGUCAUCAAUUUACCCCUUACUUACCCCCUUACUUACCAACUAACAUUUUUUCUUUUUUUAGUUUGGAGAUUAAUAAAGAAGAAAGAAUCUUGAAAACUCCUUCAUUUGCUACGAAACGCGAACUGUUUUCAACUAUACGAGAGAGACUUGAUCUUCUCUUUUAUCUCCAAAAUUACAACGAUUCAUUUCUUUAAUUUGCCUAGUAACAAAAAAAAAAGAGGUAGAACGUCAUCAUACUGCCCAGGAACCUUACUAGCUUUCUUUCCUUGCCCAAUAGGAAAAAUAUUAUUCUCCAUUAACAAACAGCUACAAAGCUUGGAACAUCCCGAAACAUUGUUCUCCAUUUCCCCAUCUUUUUAUUAUUCAUGGUAACAUUGCACUCUAAUUGAGAUAAAUGCAUGUAUCCGCAACUAUAUUAAUUGAGGAGACAAAUUAAAAUUUCCCAGGCAUGAUGAAUCAAUUAUCCACAGGUACAAUUAAAAUUUCAAAUGGACAUAUUUAUGUAAUUCCUAAAGCCUACCAAGCUUCUUAGUUAAUCUGCUCAAAAUAGAAUAUUCUAUAGCCACAUUUUGAUAAAUUGGGGUUGUUCAAGUCCUAUAUUCUUUGAAUGCUGAUUCUUGGAAUUGGUUGCUGAGUUUCCAAUUAUUAAUUGAACUAUAGUGAUUAACACACACACAUAUUUAUGAUUAAGGUACAGUCAGAUGUAAUCUUUCGUUUACUAAUAAACUACAACAUGUUUCUUUUGCUAGCUAGCUAGUUGGUUUUUAAACAUAUAUAUGAAUUAUCUAACAGUAUAUAACAAUACGCAUAAUCCAGGUUAAACUAGAUUAAAUUAAACCGAAGAAUUAUGAAGCUUAAAAGUCACAAAGUAGGCUUUUCUAUUACAGUACUGCAAAGAAUGCAAAUUCAAUUUACCUUCUCAGAUCUCGUAAAGCUAUAUCAUUAAUUGGACCUUAAUAAAUACCCGAAGAAGGAAGUAUAAGAACCCAUAGAUGUAUUAAGUACUUCUCCCCCGAAAGCUUAUAUUAAUGGAACAAAGCAACUUGAGACACUUCCCAAUAAGCCAAUAGAGGAACAAAUCCACAAGUCAACAAGAUUUUCCUUUUUCAGGAAUUAAUAGGUCUACCAUUACUCAACAUGCAUUAUAAAUCAUCCAAAAACUAGGAUAAGUAUGGAAAGAAAAAAGAGAGAGAGAGAGAGAGUGUGUGUGUGUGUGUGUGUGUGUGUGUGUGUGUGUGUGUGUGUGUGUGUGUGUGUGUGUGUGUGUGUGAGAGAGAGAGAGAGAGAGAGAGAGACACUACUAGAAAAAUGGGCUACCAUGACAGAGAAUAUCUGUCAUCCGACCCCUCCUAUGACAGAGUUUCCAUCUGUCAUUGUAGCCCGUCUCACAAAUCUGUGACAACAUUUUAUCUAUCACAUGUUCCCAUGACAGUGUAUAUUUAUCACACAUGUGUCACGAACCAAGCGACGUCAUUUCGAAAGACUUUCGAGAAUUAAUUGGAAAUUUUAGCGGGUUAUUUAAAUUAUUUUGAAUUUGAUGGGUUUCUUCAAAAGCUGUCAUAUAUCAAUGAUUCACAUUCUCUGUCAUGAGAUUUAAGGUUUAAAAAAGAAUAAAAUUAUUAUUUUUAAUUUUGAAAUUAUAAUAAUAUUAAUUAUUAUUAUUAUUUAAAUUCCAGAAUUUUGAAAUAAAAACCACAUUUAAAACUUGAAUUAAUUGAAAUAAAAAUUACAUUCAAAUUCAUAAAAACUAUCAAAUACCAAAUUGUGUGAUGCGCUAAAAAUUUCAAUCACUUGAAACUUCCAACAAAUAGCAUCACAAAAUAUAUGGUGAAUCAAAUCCGUAUACAAUAUCUAAUAAAUCCUUUACAAUAUCCAAUCACCAACACAUCACUAGAAAAACAAUUAAUCCAUAAAAAAAACACUCUUAGAAAAUUCCCGAAAGCCACCAACAUCACCUGAAACAUAGGUUACAAUAAAAUGAGUGCCAAAAAAAUACAUAUUAAUAUAUUGCCCACUUACAAUUAAUCAAAUUCAUAAUAAAAUUCAUCAGUGUCUAAUUGAUUUAAUCAGCUUUGAUACUAAAGGGAAAAUGAGAAUAAACAACCCAAGAGAAAAUAGAAAAUCACAUUCGACAAUUGACAUAAUGAAGCAGUAAGCUCACAAGCUGUAAAAGAGAAAAAGGGAAGAAAAUAAAAAUGAUGAUAAAGCAGUAUAACCUGAAUGCUUAUGUAGCAGUGACAGUUGACUAGGUCUUCCUAAGAGUUGCUGGAUUAUAAAAGAUUAAGUAUAAACAAAAUAUUUUGCAACAUAGUACAUAGUAAAGAGAAAUAUAAAACCAAGUGCAAUUAAUGCCAAAGACGAGAAGAGAACUUUUAGUCUAGCCUUCUACAGAUUUCAAUUCUAAAUUUCUAGAUGAAUUUUUUUAAAGAGUAGUUUUUCAAGACUACAAUUUAAUUAAUGCACAACAUCUAACCUUCCAUAUAUAAUUAAAUAAAAUCCAUCAAAAUCAAGCUAAUAAAAAGAAAGGAAAAAGUUCUAAAAAUACAAAAGAUAAAGAGAAAAUGUAGAAAAUUCUGGAAUCACCAGAAUCUCCUCAAUCUACCAACUUUAAUACCAUGAUUGUAGGCUUGCCAAUCUAAGCCCAAAGCGUAAAGCAUAAUCUAAAGUUUCCAGUGGGUGAAGAAAUGAUGAUCUCUCAAUCAAUUCAAAAGGCAAAGACAUUGUCGAGCGCAUAAAUUGUUAGCUUCUCUUCUACCACAUCAGAUCCUUGAUGCAAAAUUCAAUGGGCAAGUAAAGGGACACAUUGAGAUAAAUAUUGGUCAAUUUAAGAAUUGAAAAUGGUGGAAAGAAGUUUAAAUAUUAGGACAGUCCAGACCAGGGGUUAACAUGAUAAUGAAAAAUUAUAAAUCUCAUGAGUUAUAUAUAUACAAAAACCAAAAAAAGAUAGAUAGGCUGGAAUCUCUUGGUUCUUAGGAGCAAAAGUAUCAUUAUUUAUGGACCAGCUGUUUCAAUUUUUCCAAAAUUACAUCUUCAAUUUAGCUUUACAAGACCAUUCUUUGCUCUGCUAGUUUACCUAGUCACCAACUCUGAUUGUCCAUUUAGGAUUGAAUCUAUAUACUCUUAUAUAAUGUCUCUUCUGGAGGAAAUAAGCAGAAAAAAUAUUCUAACUAGAUGAGACCCUUUAGUGUGAUGAUGCUACGCAAUGGAUGCUUUAAAUGCAUCCAAUUUAAUUUAUGAUGCUAAAGGACCACCGAGUACUGAGGACUAGUAAGUGCAACAUGGACCACAAACCAAAACAUUUCCAAUUAACAUAGCACAAUAUGUGACAAAUCAAAUUGAAAAAAAAAAUCUUCCAAAAAGUUCAACAUGUCAAUUAAGAGAAAAAUAAUAGGAUGCACAUUAAUACAUCCAUAAACAGCCUAGUUUCUCUAUCAACAAGUUAGUCAUAAGCACGAGUCAAAAUAAAUCAUUUGACUGAAAUGGUAGAAGACCAAGCAAAUAAAUGCAAGUACCACCACACAAAGCAUUUGCAUUUCCAAAAGUGAAUUUCAUAAAUUUUUUGCAGAAGAUAUCUUUCUAAUAAAAAAAAUAAACACAAGUACCAGUCAAUUGUAAUGGGUUUGAGAACCACAUAUACCUCUAAAUUUGAUUAAAACCUUGAAGUCACAGAGGAAAUUUUUCAGUGUGUUAACAACAUUGAUAUUCAGCAAGGCUUUGUGUAUGAGAUUCAGCUUGUGCAGCUUGGGCAGUGACCUGUGCUAGGGCCUGCUAGUGCUUCAUUCUAAAGGCUCCCUAGGUUGCAUCCAAUGAAUCAGGGAAAUUAGUAAUAGAUGAACGCAAAAUUUGGAUACCCAAGUAACAUAAUGCCAGUGAGGCAUGACAUACAAAGCAAUAUAGACAAUACAAGUUAUCACUCACUCAUUCAAGCUCUGGUCAUCAAAUUAUAACCGGAAGCUAAUACUCUUUCAUUCUUGGUUGCUAAUAAAGUUGUGACUAGAUUGGAGAAUUUCUCACAUAUUUGGCUUAAAGCUACAUAAAGAUCUCUAUAUCUUAGAUAUGGGAGUUAAAAGUGUUCACUGUUUACAUGAAGACAAUUGGAUCUCCAACACUAGUAAUACCAAGAGCUUUUCUUUCAUUAAUUGUUUGCAUUAACCAUAUGCUUCAUCUAAAAAGGGAUGAAACUAAAAUCAGGAAAGAAAAAUGCCCGAUUACCAUUAAAACUUGACCUGGAUAGCCUACUAUCCAGUCCAUUUGGAUAUUUAGAAUACCAAAACAAGAUGAGAUUAUCUCAGCAAUGCACAAUCACAUUACAACAUUGCUCAAAAUGUUCUUCUUUCAGAUUAAUUAAGUCAAGAGUUUUUAUCCCAAUUACAGGGCACAUUUAUAAAUUCUAUAGUAAACGGUUCAGCAAGCUCUAAUUCAAAAUUCCAUAGUAAAUGCUUCAGCAAGCUCUAAUUCAAAAUUCCAACCGACUGCUAACAAAUCAAGGCAAUGAAGAAAAUUCUCCAUCCCUCCAAAAAAAAAAAUCAAAAUUCAAACCCAAGGAUUAUUAGAAUUUAAAUGCGAAACCCAAUAAAAAUGAAAGCUUUCCUAAACAAGCUAAAAUCUAAUGAAUAAAUGAAGAAACUUUAAGUCUGACAAAGUUAAAUUGAAUUACCUGUGUAGGCGAAAGCAAACUGAAAUUUAGCGAGUCAAGCAGAAUUGCGGGGCUCAACCUGGGCGGCACCUCAAAAAUCGACGGCGGUUGAGCAAUCACCAGACCAGCCGAUAUAUUCUGAUCAGAAAACCCCAAACCCUAGUGUACAAAUGAAGGAACCCAUCAGCUUACUUCUCACAAAAGAAGACAGUAACAGCAACUCGAACUCGAAGAAAAUCUAAAUUAAGAAGACAUUAGCUAUAGCUCGGAGUUGAAGAAGGUAGCAGGCUAACGGCAACAACCAUUAAGUUGCGAAACAAAAGGAAAUGGGAAUAGCCAGCAAGCUAGAGAUCGGGGAUGAGGACGAAGACGAAGACGAAGAGCAGCAAUUUGUUGUCGGCAAGCAGCACAGCAGAUGACCAAAUCUGUGUAGGCAGCGUGAUUGUGUGUUUGUGUGUGAUUAGGUUUGGAUUAAGAAAUUAGGGCUUGCCAUGUGAAGCCGAAGGGGAGUCCAACACUUAAAUUUUUUUUAUUGGUAUCAAGAUACGGUGUCGUUCCAUGCCCAAAUUGGCCCAUUAUAAAUUCAAUGUUUCAUUAAAUAUUAAUAUGCUAUCAUGUGUAUUUGAUAGAUAAAUAAACUAUCACAAAUCUAUCAUGUCUUUACGAUAUAUGAACAUUCUAUCACAUGUCUGUCAUAUUUUUAUGAUAAAUGAUUAAUUUUUUAAAAUCUAUCACAAAAAUUCUAUCAUAGUAGCCUAUUUUUCUAGUAGUGAGAGAGAGAGAGUUAAAAGGAAUCUGCAUUCAAAAAAGGAAAAAGGGAGAAAAUAUCGAUCAAACCUCUUCUUUAGGUGAUUUCAAACGGGGGCAUUGGUUUUUGAUCUAAAGAUGACUCCAUGGACAAUUAAUUUACUGAAACACCAACACACUAUUUGAAUAUUUAUUUAUUUAUUUAUUGGUUAUGUAAGAAUUAUUUUCAAUAAAAGAACUCGAAUUGGGGAAGAGAAAGCUAGGAGACGACACAGAUAAGAGAGUGACUUACAGUCCUUAUGUGCAAUAUGGUCCAAUUCUUCUCAAUGAAGAAAACGUACGACUCUUGUUAUCUUCAAGAAUUAUGGACCAACUUAAACGUGUUAACUGUCACAUGCAUGCGGAGCCCUUUUUUUUAUAUAACACUGUUAUGCCAAUGAUAUUAUAAAUUAAUAAUUUGCUAAAAUAUUAAUGUAAUUGUUAUGAUAAUUUAUUUAAUAAAAUAUGGUAAUAUUAUUAUUUUUUUCUUGAAACUUAAAUAUAGUUGAAUUCCUUAUUUAAUUUUCUUAUUGCAUCUAGAAGUUUUGGGAUUGAACUCUCAAAGUAAAAAUUUUGAAUUUAUUUUUUGAAUAAUUUAAUACAUAUUUAGUCGAUUAAUCCAUAUUUAAUGGAAUAGAUUGGUAAAUAUAAUAGAUUUCUAGUUAAUUAAAUACAUGUUUAUUGACUUGCAAAUACAUCAAUUAACUAUUACUUUUUUAAUUAAUAGAUUUUAUAUGUUUCAACACGUUUUACUGCGUUACUGACUGUCGCCGGGGUGCUGGAUAAAAAUGAAAAACAGAAAAAAUCUGAAGAAAAAUUUUAUUAAUAUACCGGUCUCCAUAUCAUAGCCAAUUGAAACAACCGCUGCUUUCUUGGAAAAUCAUAAACAUUGCAUUUUAAGAAAUAAGUGAAUAAUUAUUGAAAGAACUAAGAAGUACAUGAAAGCAGACAGUGUAUCAUCGUUUUGCUUAUAGAAAGGUGCUUUUCAACUCUUUUCUUCAAAUCAAGCCGAAAUAGUAACUGACAAAAACUGCGAAAUAGAAACCUUUCCUUUUUUUCUUUUUUCUUUUUUGUUGUUUGUAUUCCACGUUGUCGUUAUUAACUAUGAAAAGGAAAGAUAACAUGAAACUCACAAUUCAAUAUUUGGUUGCCCUAAUAGAUACUAGGAGCUUUGCAGUGGCACCAGCUAAACGGAAUAUUUAAUAUCAAAUGACGACCACAACUUCCAGAUUAUCUUCAGACUUUGAACUUGGCUGCAGGUAAUUUUGAAUCUUGUUAGUUUACUGCUAUUAAAAUGUUACACAAGAAAAUAAAAUAAGCAAACAGGUUGUGGUUACGUACCUUAUUUAUAAUUACACUCGAAUAAUGUUCACUUCAACUUGGGAAGGAGCUGGUUUGACAGUACAGGCGAUGAAGAUAGUUGGAAUGGAUGUUAUUACGGUGCUCGUGAGACGUAGAAACCAGUCGAAGCAGCGCUUUCACGGAGAGGCUAACACUGAAUAACAGAGUGAUAAGAUUAUGAGACACAAAUACGCCACCAAGAAAAGAGAUGGAGCCAAAAUGAGAGAGGCAAGUGUUGAUAUUGCCAAGAGAACGGAUAGUUUUCCACAGCGUACAGAAAGUUGGCGACGGAUCCUGAGGUGGAGUUUGACGGAUAUGAAGAGGUAGAUCAAUAGUAACAGCAGGACAAGAAUCUGAGAGAAGAAGGGGAGCUUCAAAAUGGGAUAUAAAAGAAUCUCACUGGUACCAUCCUGGACGGCCCAAGAAUUGCCAUCUUGAGAUUUCAGGAACGUAAAGAAGAUUAUAAGAUUUAGUAAUGGCAGAAAUAAAUACCUCAAAUCAAUAGAAAAUUUCAUGCUUAUGGUGAUGCUCAAGUUUUCUAGGGGAAGAUGUAUUUAAUUUACAAAAAUGCUAAAUGUUAAGAGAAGAAUGAGAGAAAGGUGAGAGAAGAAGGCAUGUGCUGAGAGAAGAGACAGAGAGAGAAGCAAAACGGCAGACUCACUUUUCUCUCAUUCUUCAAUUUAUAGUGAGCUUUUUAUGUCAUGAAAAAUUGGAAAUUGCGUGGCAAAUUCUUUUGACCAGUUGCACAUGCUGUCCUGUUGAUUGGCUGGUUUUUGGAAACUCGAUCAUCACCGUUUGUUCAAGCAAAGACCCAAAUGGUGAACUAACGGUGAUGAUCGAGUUCAAAAAGAGAAAAAGAAAAAGAAGUAAACAGUGAUGUCUUCAAACUUUUUUUCCCCCCUGAGAAAAAGGCUUUUAAUACAGUUCUUUUCUUUUUCCACAGAUUGGUAUUAUUUCUCAGUAUUUGCUUAAUUUACUGCAAUAAAUUUUCAAAAAGUGUUCAAUCAUAAUGAAUUUUCAACCAUUAUCCUAUACGAAUCAUUAAAUUAUAAAUACUGAUGUUAAUCAAAUAUCAAGUAGAAUUUGUUUUUAAUAGAUCAAUUAGUUAAAGUACAUUUGAUACACUAUUUAGAACUUAUUUUUAUCUAAAAAUUGAUAAUAGGACCAAAUUAAGUAAAUUGUAUUGUUCAUGUCACUGAUACAAUAAAUAAAUGAUGUAAUGCUAUUUGUUCAUGUAUUUUGAAAAAGUAACAUAUAAGUAGUAAUUAUAUUAAAUUAUAUUUCUCAUGUCACAUAUUCAAUAAUUUAUUAUAUUACCUCUAGAUUUUCUCAUUCUCAAUAUAUGCUUAAUUGUAAUAAUUUUUUAACAACUGUUCAAAGAUAGCUUUGCUCCGGCUGUGUGUGUGAUUGACAAAUAUAUUAUUAAAUUGUACAACAACGAAAAAGACGCGAGUUGAAAUUGUUUCAACGACGUCAAAUGUUGACCACAUCAUUUUUUGGGCUUUCUCUCAUGGGCUAUUUCUUUCUUCUUCUUUUUUGAAAAAUCUCAUGUGGUAUUCAUUAGUGCUUUUAUUUAUAUUUUUAGUUAGUCAAUCUACUUUUAUUGAACUGGGAAACAAAUUGUAGUGUAAGGAAUAAAUUUAUGUUUAAAAAAAUCAAAACAAAAAAAUGAUAAUAAGAAUAAAUUUAUAUUAAAAAAUCAAAAUUAAAAUAUGGAUGGAUAAGAUUUGGCAGAGAUGAUUGAGUUUAAUUAUUAUGAAUAAGAUUUGGCAAUGGCAGAGUUGAAUAAUUGUGGUGAAGUUUAAGCUCCAUGAUACCAUGACGAAAUAAAUAUUUACAGUACCCUUUACAAAAUUUUGGUUGCCUCUAUUUAAUUUAACCCAUGCUCAGUUAAUUUCACUCUUUUUUAUUUAACUCUUAUUAAAUCCUUCUUAUUUAAAUCAAAAGGAUUAAACCUCAACGAGUGUUUCCCCGUAGGCUGUAUCUCCUCAUAAGUGACUUAACAAGUGUUUUGUGAAUGAAAAACUAUGUAAUCAAAAAGAAAGGAGAAAAACUAACUACUAUACAAUACAAGUGACUUAAACAAAAACGUCAUACACAAAAUAGAAUCCCGAUCCAGGAUUACCUCUGAUGUCAAAGUUAAUUUAUGGCAAAGGUAUUCUGGAAUUUGUGCAUGAAGGUUGUGGUCACCUCUUAGCUUAUAUGUUAUGUGAAUUUUGUGUUCUAAUUACUAAUUUGUCUUGACUUUGUGUUCAAACGUCAUUUCACAGUUCACACGCUUGGGCAUGUCCAGUGCUAUCAUUUUUAAUUUCCCAAUGGCAGGGCCUUGAGUUUUGAUUUAUUUAUUUUCUCCCCUUUUUUUGUUUUCUUGACUUUCUUUCUCUCUGCCGGGACCGGGGAGCUUGAGCUUGAGUUUUGAGCUUUAAUUAGAUUUAUAGUCUAUAGUUUACGGCAUUCACAAAUGUGACACAUUGCAAAUGUUUGAAUUAACAUUUGAGAAUACAAUAUGUCACAUCUGUGAAAUGUCUGAAUUGACAUUGGAGAAUAUAACAAAAGCCGAGCCCCACAUUUGUGAAUUCAGACAUUUCAAUCGGGAUCGCCUUCUACCACGUGGCUGCCGAUGGAAGAAGUUUUAAUCAUUUUGUGAAAUCUUGGCCCUUGGGCGUCCUGCGUCCAUGUCCUGUCCAAGGGCCAAGAGUUAAUAAUCAGCUUAUAAUCAGCUGAUUCCUAUUAUAAAUUUGAAGUGCAAAAUAUGAAGUCUAAUGAAGGGCAAAAGAGACUUUAUUGAAAUGAAAGAAAGAGAUUUAAUCAUUUUGAGGUGGGAUUUGCAGGAAAGUACCUGGAAAUACCCUGAAGUGCAUAAUAUGAAGUCGUAUGAAGGGCAAGAGAGACUUUAUAUAAAAGAAAGAAAGAGAUUUAAUCAUUUUGUGAAAUCUUCUGGUCGUCAAGCAAAGAAAUAACCCGCGGAUUAGUACCCUUUAUUCGCACUAUCUUGGUAGACGUCAACAAGACGCAACCUAACACCGGCCAUUUUAUUUUACAACAUUAUAUGUAAUGUCGAAGUAAUUGUUACUAGUUGGGGCGCAUUUUUAUUGGAUAAAAUUGUGGCAUUUUCUUAUACAAUAAAACCCAAGGCGCACCACAUUUUGAAAUCAAAGUAAUUGUUAUUAUUAUUUUUUUAAUUUUUUUUUUUUACAAAAUUUUAUCCAACAUAUUAUUCUUGGUUAUUCAGAAUUACUUUUAAUAAGAUGUAGAACAGCAGAAGUUAGACCAAAUUAUCUUUAAUAAAUGUAUGAAACUAUGAUCUAAUUGUAAACCAUUUACUAAUAAAACCAAAAUAGGCAGGCGUUUUCAAAUUGAUAUUGUUUUAUUAGCAGGUUGCCCACACUUGUCUUCUUUGAUUCCAUUUCUUUACAUCCGUUGGAUUAAAGUUUUGAUAUAUAUUUUCCUUUUUCUUUCUUUCUUUUUCUCUGCUGAUAAAGUUGUAGGUUGAAGAUGCCAGGAGCUUUGAGUUUGAAGAGGAUUUAUAUAGCUUUGAGGUUGUGUAUGCAAUUAAAAUAAAGAUAGAUAGACAACGUUGUCUAUCUAUCUAUCUUUUUAUUUCUUAAUUGUCUAUCUAUUCAUCUUUUCAUUAAGGAAAUGCUUACCGGUAAAUUUCUUAUGUAAAUUAAAUAGACGAUUGGUUACGGAGAAAAAGAGGAUGGAAUCAUAUUAAAACGAGUGGUUAUGGAGAAAAAAGAGAAUGGAUGGAAUCACAUUCAUAUGCAUGAGAAGCGCAUAUAGCUAUUCCAAUCAACAUCACAUUAAUUUCCUUUGACUCUACGAAAGCCUUCCCAAUUAAAUAGAAAUCACUCAAAACUCAAUUAAACAGAAAUUACUUUGAUUUUUCAAACAAUUAUUUAGUCUCCUGUCCAAUUGAAAAGUCAAGAACACUAUGUAAGCUUAAUUAUAUGGAAACAAUCAUUCCACCAUAAUCAUAAUCCUUAAGCGCUCGUAGGGAAAAAAAACAAAUAUAUAUAUAUAUAUAUAUAUAUAUAUAUAUAUAUAUAUAUAUAUAUAUAUAUAUAUAUAUAUAUAUAUAUAUAUAUAUAUAUAUAUAUAUAUAUCUUUGAAACUAUGAAUAUAUUGUUUCUUUUUAUCAUUACAAACAUGAUUUUAAAGACUUCAAAUUUUUUCAUAAUCUCGGCAAAUGUAAUUUGGUGCAGACUUUUAUUAUUUAUAAUGUAUGAUUAAGAUAUAAUUAAUUUGUAUACUGUUAUCCACUGAUUUGUUAAAGCAAAUUUAUAUAAGAGAGAUUUUAAUAUUUCUUUGGAGAUUUAUUAAUUGAUGAUUGAUAAAAAUAAAAAUCAUAAAAUAAAAAUCUAAAUCAUGCAUGAUUAAUAACAUAUAAUAUCAAAAAAUUGUUAAAUGGCAAGUAAAAUCUAUAAACAAAGGUUGUAGAUUUUGUUUUUGUUGUUUUAUUUAAAAUCUAAAUGUUUCUUAAGUUUGAAUACCAAUAUUUGAAAAAUAAGUUUGUUUUUCUUUUUCUAACAUUUGAAUAUAAGUGACAUCUUAUUUAUUUUUAUAAAUAAAAAAAAAUUCUCAACAUUAUUUGACAAUUAUAUCCUUAUAAAUAAAAAAAAUGAUUAGGUUUUAUAAUUUAGAAAAUGAGUAUAUUUAAUAUGUAUAUUUUUAAAAUAUAUUAUUUACUUCUCAUUCGGAUAAAAAUUAUAAAAUUUUUUUUAUAAAAAUUAUAAUUUUUUUUUUAUUCAAAUGUAAAUGUCUAAAAAGAAUGAGGGCAAAGCAAAUAACCCAUUCUCAUUACAAUCGGGACACCUCAGGGCAGCAACCUUCCCAUGCAGUUGCAUAUUGACGAUCAAUUUACAGCUGCCAUUGCAGCGAAAACAGGGGAAAAACCUGACAUCAGCACAGCCUUGACACACACAUUUGAGCUUCCUGAUGGAUAUGCCUUCAAUCAAUUCAUCAUACCAACCCUAUUCAACAUCAAAUUAUCAGGAAAUAAAAAUGAAACUAAUAUGAUUUUUUUUCUUUUUUGAUAAAAAGGUCUCCCUUUUAAACAUUCAACUAGUGAAUAAUAUAUAAAAGGUGGGCUGGAUUGUUAUUCACCCAAAAUACAAUUUCAGAUUGCUCCAAGGCUACAUUCCUGGCUUUUGGAGUACAUCGAAUUGAUUAUGUUGUUGCCUUUUAAUACAAGAUUUCAAAUCAGAUAUAACCCAAAAAAUUUCAGCUCUUGUGCUUUUCUUGUUCAGAACCAGGUCUACAACCUCCCGUGAAUCAGUUUCUAUGAUUAGUGGCCAACAUCUCACCUUUUCUGCAAUUUUAACACCAAGUCUUGCAGCUUCUGCUUCUGCAUAACCUACCUCCAACUGAAAAGAAGAAGGUUUCGUAGCUGCUGCUAUCACUUUGCCUCUAGAAUCUCUAAUCACAGCACCCUAAUUACCAACUCUUUUCUGCUCAACCGCAACUAAUGCAUCCACAUUUACCUUAAAACAACCUGCUGGUGGGGGUCUCCACUUGUUAUCUACAUUAGACUUUUCCCUCAACGAUGUCUGCAAUUGUGACAGCUGGAUCUUUUUGUAUGAAUGCACAACUGCAUCUGCUUUAGCUGCUGAUAAUUGGGAAUCUAUGUAUGUAUGUAUGUAUGAUAUUGCUGGUGCCACUGUAAGGUCCUAGUACCUAUUAGAGUAACAAAGUGUAGAAUUAUAAAACAUAUGUCAUCUUUUCAUCUUUCCAUUUUGUAAUUAAAUAAGUCAUCUCUCCAUUUUGUACCUAUUAGUCUGUUGUUACCCGACCAAGUUUUAGUUGCUAUCUUCGGCUUUUUCUUAAAGUACUUUUAGCGGUAGCGGACGCAGCUAGAUUCUCUUUUUUUUUGGGCAUUACUGUCCACUUGAUCAACGGUAUAUUUGACAAAAUUCCGUGUCUAAAUUUUUAUGCUAAAGAAAAAUUAACCGUUUAACUACCCUGAGCAUUAAAUGUGUAACGACUUUUAUAGAUAUAUAUUAUUGCUUGCAACUUUUGCAUGGCUGCUGGUUAAAAAUUAUUAUAUAGCAGAUUUCUAAUUAAAUUAGAAAAAUACUAAAGCAAGCACAGCAGCUUGAAUCGAUCACUGCUAGGCUUCGAGUCUUUGAAACUGACCCCCGAAACUGCUAGCUGCUUGAACAUUCAUAGUGACGACAACAAUAUACAUACAUACAUACAUACAUACAUGUAAAUUAAUUGGUUUAUUAAAAAUAAUUAGCGAAUGAAACCAUGAUAGUGAAACGUCGAUAAAAGUUGAAGCAGAGCUUAAACAGAGAAGCUAACAUGGCAUAACAGAGUGUUAAGAUUUUGAACCACGAGUAGGCCACCAAGAAAAGUGAUGGAGCCAAAAUGAGAAUCAAAUGUUGAUAUUAUACAAAAGAAUCUGAUUAGUACCAUAACUUCCCAGGAUUACUAAUCGAAAACUAAUACACAAAUAUUUUGUCUGAAAAAGCCAAUUAAAGAGCAAUAUAAAAAAAGCCAAUAAUUAAUGCAAAUUAAAUUCUAGAAAAAUUGUUCAGCCAAAGACUGCAAAAUCUUCAUGCAUGUGACUAAUUGACUAUGCCAUUGUGCUGCAUUUGAGGAAGGAACCAAAGAAACACAUAACCGUUAAAUUCUACAUGAAAUUAUGUUGAAAUCUUACACGCAUAAAAAUUCAUUGGUCAUCUUCAACUACUAGAUCUUCAUUAUUAACUGGCACAUCUGUUUUCUCGAUAAUUUUGUCUUGCACAUCACGAAUGGUAUAUAUCCACCGGUGUCACCUCAGGAAAUUUCUCAGUUACUGGAGAUCAAUUUAUACAUCCACAAGCACUGAUUUACACAACAAUUAUCUCCCAAAACCUAAUGUAAAUUUCAAAAAGACUAAUUUGAUUGCCUAAACCAUAACAAAUUUCUCAACAAUCUGCUCCAAAUAGGAUCCAAAUGUUUCGAUAUGCGUGCACCGAAAAACGGUCUUAGAAAGAGUGAUUUUGAUUUUUCAUUCAACAAGAGUGAGAGUGAUACAAACAGAUUGUUUUUACUGAAACAUAGAACGAAAUGAGAAGGAAAUAGAAUAUAGAAGAGUGAAAAUAGAUCAAUUUGAGGGAGUUUAUGCCGUCAAAAUAAAUAUGCAGUGUUCUAGAAACCAAUAAACUUCCAAAUUCAACUUAAUUUGCACUAAAAUUAUAAUCAUUCCAUGCUGUAUCUUAAUCCAACUAUAUUUAAAAGUAAGGGACUUCAUAACUGAUAACUCCCUCAUCUCAAAUUUCCUAUAGACAAGUGGAACUUUUACUGUCUUUUGGCAUCUCAAAUUAAGAUUAGCUCUAUAUAAACAUGAGAAGUGUUUACAUUGGCUGAGGAAGCUCCUUCUUGUUUCCACAAAGGUAAAUAUAUUUGGAAUUCUUGACCUUCUGGAGGACUCUAUACCUUCAGGCUUAUGAGGGGAAGAUGCCAGCAGUCUUCAGCUAACCCAAUUGAACACACCCUCCUCUCCUCUAUUGACAAAAAAGAUUGCACUGCGGGGAUCUCGUAAUCAGGCUUUGGUGUGGGGCUGAAUCCAAUUAAGGCUUUAGAUUUAUAGAAACCCAUGGUCUAAUUCAACCCAAGAACUAGUUUACAAAUAGAAAAUUUCUCAAAUUCAUACAGUUAGCCUAGUUAUUAUUCUCUUCCAACGUGAGAUAAUAUCCUCAACAAGAUUCCCAUCUUACGGCGCUGUUCAGAUAUGGUACAUAUAAUGGUAGGCAAUCUGUGUGUGGGGCUGAAUCCAAUUUAGUGUAAAUCAUUUUUUGGCCACUCACCACAACACCAUCAAGGCAAAUUUUGAGGUAACUUGGGUCCUGCAUGUCUAUGGUGCAAGUCAUUUCUCUUAACAAAUUGUCUACCUAUACUAUUUACUUUGAAGUAAAUUGAAGUUUGAUUCAACAUAGAGAGAUUUGAGUACCAUCGUAUAUCUACUGCAAACACGCAUCAAAAUUGAUUAACAGAUUAUUUAUUACAAGUAGACAACGGAUGAAAUUAUUUUAUUUUCAAAUUACGAGAGGAAAAAAGACUAUUUAUGAAUGCAAUGUAUAUUCAUUCUUCUCUUAAUCCACAGGUAAUUAAAGUUUCAAAUAGAUGUGCACAUGUACUGGCCUAAAGUCUACCAAGCUUCUAAGUUAGUCUACUCAAAACAAACUUUUCAACAUUCACAUUUUGAUAAAUUGGUUACUGAGUUUCCAAUUAGUAAUUGACCUGUGGUCAUUAAUACACGCACCCGCUUAUAUGCUUGUGGUACAGUCACACCGAAUCUGUUAUAGACUAAUUAAAUACAAUAUGUUUCUUUUACUAGCUAAAUGAUUGGAUCUUCAUUAAUGACCGAAGAAGAAAUUAUAACAACCCAUGCAAGUAUUAGCACUUCUCCUAAAGCUAAUAUUAAUGAAACAAAACAACUUCAGGUAUUUCCCAAUAAGCCACUAGAUCAGGAUCACGUCCACAAUUCAAUAUUCCACAUGAUUUUUCCAUUUCAUGAAUUAGUAGGUCUGCAAUUACUAGAUUAAAAGGUAAUAAAAUUAAUUACUUAACAUGCAUUCUAAAUCAUCCUUAAAUUUGAUAUGUUGGGUUCCAGCUGUAGGCAAAACUUUGGAUAAGUACAGAAAAAUAAAAUAAAAAAGAGUAAAAACGAAAAAGGAAGAAAAUAUCGAUCAAACCUCUUGUUGAGGAGAAAUCAAACGGAGGGGCGGCGCUGGUUUUUUUAUCUAACCCUUGAAGCCCCGACGCGCUAUUUUUUUUUUUUGGGUUACGUAUGAAUUAUUUUCCACAAAGAACUUAAACUCGGGAAGAGAAAGACCAGGAGACAUACAUAGCCAAAGGCAUCGACUCAAAGUCCUGGUGCCGCAACGUGAUCCAAUCCUUGUCCCUGAUGAUAUAACGUAGUCACACUUGUCAUCUCAAGAAUCAUUGGACAAGGCAUACUAACCGUCAUAUACAUGUGGGGUCCAUUUUGAAAACAUUAGGUGGAGUAUGUUAUUUUUUUUUUAUUUUAAAUUUAUAAAUGUAAAAUCUUAAUUUAUAAAGCUGAAUGGGUAUUACAAAUGGGGAUCUGGAUACCUUGCCACAGUUGUAAGGGUGUGUUUGAAAUUAAGGUUGGGCAGCUGUAUUUUAAAAAUUAUAAUACUAAAGUGUUUGGUAAACACUAACUCAUGUAGUUUGGAAAAUACAUUAAAAUAUAAUAAUUUUGUCAAAAUUAUUAUUUUAAAUUUAUAUUUAUUACAUAUUAUUAACUUUUAUUUCAUAAUUACAGUUUUUUUCCUACAGCAGUUGUAAUUUAAAAGGUACAUCGCCUCAAUUCUAAACACAUCCUAAGGUGCCACUAAUUUUUUCUUUUGUGACAUUAAAUUUCAUUUGACCACUUAUAUUAUUUUUUAUUUAUAAGUUUUUGUUCUUUGGCUGGUGACCUUUUAAAUUGUAGUUUUAUUUAUUUAAGAUUAUUUAAUUUUUUAAAAGAAUAAUAUAAUAAUAAGCAAAUGACUAAAUAAUAUUUAUUUUUUUAAGACUCACUACUAAUUAAACAAUAUAAAUUUGAAACAAUCUGAGCUUAUGUGUUUACGAUUUUAACUCUUCAUUUUUUUUGAGUUUUUGAUAAAUAUUAGAGAGUAUAAUGUUAAUAAUCAAUUAGACAAAUCUUUACGGUUGAGACUAUUUUUUUCAUUAAAUCUGACGAUGAAUACCUGAAAUAAUUUAUAAAAAAAAAUUGGUGGUACCUUAUAACUAUUGUAAGGUAGCUAGAUCUAGGUAUAUGAAUAGAAAACAAUCAAUCUAGCUACUAAGAAAAAAGGGUGGGCAAACUCAAUCUAACCUAAUGGACCCAACCCAACCCAAUCGAACCCAACUUAAUUUUUACAGGUUGAGUGAGUUAUUAUGAGUUAAUUGGGUCAAUUUUUUUUAACCCAAUUAACAAUUGGGUCGGGUUCGGUUAAUUAGUGGGUUGUGUUAGUUAUGAUGAUCACAUUUAACCCAACCCAACCCAACCCAUAUAAAUAAUAAUAAUAAUAAUAAUUCUCAAUUUACAAAAUCCUAAAAAUCUAAAUGACUAAUCUAUUUUUAUCCUCUUUUUAUUCUUUUAUAAAAAAGACUAUUUUUUUCUUGAAUUUACUAUCGACUCUACUAUCAAAACUAAAAUCACUCUCUUAAAUCUUAAUUCUCAGUCAACUAAGGUAUUUCUCUGAUUUAUUCAUUCUAUAUUCUUUACUUUUUUCAAACAGUAGACCAUGAAUAGAAUUUUCAUGCGAUAAUAUAUUUAUAUUUGAUUUCAAUAAGUUUUAUUAAAAGUUUCAUAUCCUUUUCUUUAUUUAAUUUUUAAUUUUGAUUCAAUUUUCAAAUCUUCAACCCAACCCAACCCAGCUCGAUGAUUUAAGGGUUGGGUUGGUUGAGUUGAAUAUGUUUUAUUUAAUGAGUAGAGCUAUUGGCACCCCCUACAUUAUUCUUACAAAACUCCACUUCAAAUAAAAUUACAAUUAAGGACAAUUGAAAUUUAAACACAUAUAUAUUUUUUUUCUAGCAAAUUACUUAAUUCAUAAUCAAUCUUUUCAAAAAAAAAUUCUUUAUGUUACUUCCUAUUUAACUAAAAUAAAUUGUACAAAUUUAGAAUAAUAUAUUGUUUUCUUUUGAUUUCUUAUUGAUUAAAUAUUUUUAUACUUAAAAUUGCUUUGCAAUUAUAAUUUCAAAUAUGUGUUAUUUCAGUUAAUGAUUAAUACUAAAAAACUUAUCACCUAUAUAACUUUUUAAUUUGUGUGUAGAUUAAUAGUAAAAUUAAAAAUAAUUAAAAAUAGCACAGUAAUACUUUAAGUUUUAAUAAUCGAACAAAUGAAAUGAAAAUUGAGAACUUAAAAAAGUGUAUCUAAAAAAAAAGACAUUUUCGAAAAUAAAAUGAAUAUAACUAAAAAAGGAGUUUAUGAGGAGAUAAGAGGGGUGCCAAUAGUCCAACUCUUAGUUAAUUGGGUUGGAUUAUUUUUAUUUCAACUCAAUCAAUAAUGGGUUGGGUUGGGUUUUCAUAAACCAUAUCCAACUCAACCCAUGCCCACCCCUAGUACUAAGAAGUAAAGUGGGUCUACAUUUGGCUAUUAAUAAUUUGUUCAUUACUCUUGCCAUAAGCCAAUUCUCAAUAUUUAUAUAAAAUUUUAAUGGCUAUUAGUGAGUGUACGAUCCUGGAGUCCGAAUAUAUAAAAAUGAAAAGGCCAUGGCUAAUUUAAAUCAACUCCAACAUAGAGCACAAAUCACAACCACACACGCAAAGUGAUAAAUAUUUAAAAAAAUACAUUAUAACUUUAAUCAUGUGACUAUGAAAACAUGUUAUACCUUAAAACGGUUUCAACAUAACGAAACCCUAUAAAUUUAAUGCAAAUUUUUAUUUAAUAUACUGUUCUCAAAAUCAUAACUAAUUAAACCAUCGGUUCUUUUUUGGAAAAUCAUAAAUUACUACAAUGAAAAAGACAAAAAUAAACGAAUCUGGAAAUAAGUACAAGAAGCGCUAUAUAUCUAUCAUUGGUUUGCUCCCAGAAUCUGGGGAGUGCUUUUCAAGUCUUUUCUUCAAUAAAGCCGACAAUAGUUAGCAGCUAAACUAAAAGGACAUAGAUACCUGCCAUUUCAUGAUAUCCACGGACAUUAACCAUGCAGAACCAAACACUUUCCAAACGAAAAAGGCUUGGAUUCCACUUUAUCAAUAGCAAUUACAAUUAUUACAUGAAAAAUGCUUGGUGCAGAGAGAUGUGAAAAAAAAAUGAGAGAAAUAAAGAAGAAAAGGGAAGAGAGAGAGUGGGAGAUAGAGAGAAAGACAAACUUCUCUCAUUUUUCUCUCAUCUUUCCUUACACUAAUCACAACUCUUAAGAUAAAAUAAGUUUCUUUAAAACAUCACAAUUAGAAGCAUCUAUCCUUUGUUAUUUUAGAAGGGACAUAUACGUUGUCAUAUGCAUAAAUAAAACAACUCAUUUUUACGUUUUUUUUUUAAACAGAGGCACUUAAGCAUAUAUAUAUGCCCUAAGCAGUUGCAUGGAAUAUCAAGUCCCAAGUAAAAUCACACCAGAUCCUCCGUCGGACUUGGCUGCAGGUCUUGGAUGAGCCGAUCACCUUCAACUCCAACGUCAACUUCAACUUCAACUUGAUCAUCAGGAGGAGUUGCCACGGCAGUGCGUCGCUUGCAGCAGCGCUUAAACAGAGAAAUUAACAUUACGUGAAAAAGUGAUAGGAUUAUGAGACACAAAUAAACCACCAAGAAAAGGAAAGGAGCCAAAAUGAGAGAGGCGAUUGUGGAUAUUGCCAGCAGACAAGGGAGAUGGUCUCCACAACUCACGGACAGAGGGCUGCUUACACUGAGAGGAACUCUGAUGGCUGUGAGGAGAAAGAGCAGUAAUAUCAGGACGGCAAGACCUAGGAAGGGGAAUUGGAGCUUUAAAAUUGGGUACAAAAGUAUGUGGUUGGCUCCAUCCUGGAGGGACCAAGACUGACCAUCUUGAGAUUUCAGGAAGAAAAAGAAAACUACAAGAUUCAUUAAUGGUGGAAACAAAAAUCUCACAUCGACAGGACAAUUCAUUUCUGGAAGUUUAAUGUCGAAAGAAAAUUUCAUACUUUUGCAAUGGAAGAAGAUUUGAGUGCUCAGCUAACCGUUAGAAAGGGCUGCUAGUUGAGCUCUUGGGGGAUUUAUGGGAUGGCAACAUUCCUCACGGCCUCAUUUUCAUAAAACAAAGGGGAUAGUAAAAACAAGGAAAAGACAAAAGAGAUGAUCAAAUCUCUGAGACACACUCACACACACAAUUGCCUUUCAACCAAGUCAACUAAUUUCAAAUUGUCCCACAAGACCAAAACCCUUCUGAAACUGAAAUUCCAGAUCUACCCCUUUGAUUAAACUUUAGAAUUUACUUUUAAAAGACGCUUAGCAAAACGCAUGAUCAACUUUUUUAAAAAAAAGAAAAAGUUCAAUUGGUCAUGAACUUAUACAUAAGAGUGUUGAUACAAGUCUUUUUUUAAAAAAAAAGCACCAAAAAAAUUAAAAAAAGAAAAGUGGGAGUGCUGAUACAACACAAGGGAAUACAAAACCAUUAGAUGAUGGGGAAAAAAAAAUGUUUGUCCUCACGAGAUAGAGGGUAAUUCUGGCAUUUUGAAAAUUAACGAAGUUGCGCAGAAGUUUCUUGUAUCUCGGGGAUCGUUGCUCUCUUGCUUAAGCUUUGAAAAACAAAGAAGCAUUGUAAUUAGUAGUUUGUUAAUUUUUUUAUAUUGAGGCAAAGUUUUCCUUUUUGUUUGAAAAAAUUUCCAAUAGCCCCCACCAUCGUCCUUGUAAUUUUCUUGCAUGUUAUAAGCGCCAAAUUAAUGUUAUUAUUUUUGUGGAAAUAAAAUUAAUAUUCCAUUCAUUCGAUGGAAGCUUUGGCACUGGCGAGCAGUAAUAAAACAUAAUCUCGGAUUCUUAAUAAUUUUUUUUCUUUCAAUUUUUAAUUUCUUCUUCACUCUAAAAGAUUAAAUUUUCAAAAAAAAAUAUUAAAUUUUAAAAAUUUCAAAGAAACAUUACUUUAAGUGAGCUUUAAAAUUUUAAACUAUAUGAGAAAGGAAUUAGUUGUUGGUUAAGGCCUUUGCAAUGAGAUAUCUCAUUAGUUUAGAUCCAGCAUUGACGAGAGUUGUGUUGAUCAUUUUAAAGAUCUUUUAUUAUGUAUUUAUUUAUUAUAUUAGAUGGGUAUGAGUUAAUUACAAUAUAUGUCAUGAAAAUCAUUUUUACCCAUAAAGGGUCUUCCGCCAUAGUUCUUUCUUUCUUUGGCGUUAUAAACAUUCAGAAAUCCAUUUGUGAUAUUCAUGGAUAAAGAAAAUGCAUAUUAUUUGAUCCAAUUAAUUAAAAGAGCAUACUUUUCAUAUUCGUGCACUAAGGGGGAACGUUUGAUCUAAUUUGUUGAUCUAUAAAAAUUCACGGUCUAACUAAACCCAAAAACUAGCCUAAAAAUUAAAAAUUCUUCAAAUUACUAUUCUCUCUCAAUGUGAGAUAAUAUCCUCAACAAGAUUCCCUCUUAGGGUGUCGUUCGGAGAUGAUACACGUAGUGGUAGGCAAUUGUGGGGCUGAAUCCAAUUUUGUUACCGCCACUUUCAGGCUGGUUCAGAUUGGAUAUAUUGAUGCAGCAAUGAAUCCGACGGUUGGGAUAGCAGAGCUGAGGAGACAGCCAGAUGCUGGACCUAUUACCUUGCUGGGCUUCUCUCCCAUUUUAAACUAGUAGCUUCAUAGACAUAUUUGUAAUGGAAAUGUUGGUCUUCUUAAUUAAGCCAGACCUUGCUCCUAGUUUUUCUAGUCCAAGUUAUAGCAAGAAAUGACAGGAGUCGCUCUAACCCAUCCCAAUCCUACACAAGAGAAAAUAAAAGAUAAAUUAAUAAUAAAGGAGCGAUGAUAUGCUUACUUAGUUGAGAUAUUUAUUUUGUAUUCUAACUAAUGUGUCACCAAUAGAAAUGUAUUGUUUAGAUUAAAAAUAAUAAAAUUUAAUAAUUAUCUGUCACUUGAAUCAAUCAGACAGUGACAUAUCAUUUCCCAUAUCAGUUGAAAUAUAAAUUAAGUAUUUCAAUUAAAUAAGUGUAGUAUUGUUGAUAACAAAGUUGUCUCAAAUAUUGAAGGGUUCAUCGGUGGGGUGCAAAUCAUUUUUCAUAAUCAAUUGUCUACUUUACUAAUUACUUCAAAACAAGUUGAAAUUUUAUUCAUCAUAGAGAGAUUUGAGUACGAUCGUACAUGUACUAUAAACACACAUCAAAAUUGAUUAAUUGAUUAUGUAUUACAAGCAGAUUAUUGUAUUUUUAAAUUAUGAGAGGAAAAAAGAAAACCUAUGCACAAAAGAUAUAUAAAUGAAUGAUACAUCUUCCAAUAAAGAGAUGCAUGUAACGAAUUAGAACUACUUAUGAGACACAAAAUCUUUUUAAUUAUCCUUCACGGUUAGAUUUAUUCCACAUCUUCCUUUUUUUUCAUUGUACUUCUAUUUUUAUUUAUUUAAUGUAGAUUUUAAUUCUCCAAUGGUGGGGACAGAUACUCCAUAAGUGACUUGUUGAUACUUUUUUUCGUACAUGAGUCAAUCAAGCGCAAAAGAUAGAGAUGUACCUGCAUACACAAUAAUAAACAAAUAAAACAGUGAGAUAGGACUAGAAAAAUUGGCUUUCGAGGAUCCCACUUUGAUACUUAAGUCAAUGAGGUGUCUUUUUAAUUAAAAUCCGAGAGGUUUUUUUUAAUUUUCUCAAGUUCUCAUACCGUUUUUUAAUUCACUUCCUCCUUUGAGAUCCUAACCCCCUCAAGAUGGUAAAAGUAACUAAAUCCAUAUCAACACACGAGUCAACAAGCUUUUGGUAAAAAUAUAGACAAGACGCCCAAAAGCUGAGGUGUCAAAAAGAGAUAGGAAAAAGGUCUCGUCUUUCAAUUUUUCUCCUUGUAACUUCCUGUCUCUUUUUUUUUUAUUUGCCUCGAAAGGAAAAAACUGGUCAUGGUUAAAUGGUGAAUACACGAACGUUUUUUGAGGGACUCAGCUUGAUCUGAAUUCAUUCUUCUGUAAUUUUUACUUUUUAUUUGCAUAAUAGGAUCGCCUGAGUUCACGCUGGUUAAAUGUAGCAGCGUGGCAACAAAAUUUGGCACGGAUGCAUCCUGCUUUUAUGAAUAAAUGAUACUAUACUAAAAUUAAUGAACAAAAUAUUAAAAAUUUUUAUUUAAUAAUUUUUAAACAACAUUAAAAGAAAAGCAAAAAAAAAAAAAUUACUCUUUUUGUGGUAGUCGACUGUUGACGUGAAGGACCGAAAAUCUUGAUGUUUGCCGCCAGAAGAUGAUGCGAAAGUCCGUUAAUCUGACGUGACGUCAUCGUUUUUGUGAUGCCACGUAAUCACCCAUGUUGUUUUGUGCGGACCUCAGAGCUGAGCUUGUCUUUCAUCUCCUCAAUAAGGCAAACGUGAUCAACUGUCACGUGCAUGCGGGGUCCAUUAGAAGAAGAAGAAGAGCGUGGUUCUUCUUCCAGUUCUGAUUUUUGAUUAUGUACGACAAAUAUAAUUAUAUGGAACGAUGAAUUUUUUUCAGUUAUGAUAUUCUCACUUUAAUAAAAUAAAAAUAUUAUAAAAAAUAAAAACUUUAAUAUAUUAAAAAUUAUAUUUUUUAAUUUAUUAAAAUUUGUUUGAUUUUUUAAGUGACAAUAUUUUUAUUAAAAAAUAAUGAAUAAAACUAAUAUUUUGAUAUGACAAAUAUAAUAAUAAAUGCGAACCAUAUUAUAGGGAAAAAUUAUGUUAUAACAGUGGUACAAUAUUACUGUUACAACUAGCCAUUAAAUUUAUAAUUAUGUAGUUAUAUUAGUAAAAUUUAAUAAGCUAAAAACAACAGUGAUACUGUAUCACUGUUGCAAGGCACCAUAUUAUAUGUACAGGCUCUCCAAUGACAGCGUCGAUAAUGGCAUGACUGAGAACACCGGCCCACGUAAACUGACAAUCAAUAGUUAGUUCUUCAAUUGUCAAAAGUAAUUCACAUAUAGGGACCUGUCUAUGGUACAGAUUCUGUAACAAACAUCUCCCGUCAUCCCACCAUCCGAUUUUCUAUUGUUUAGUUUCUCACUCCACAUCCAACGGCUGAUGCUGCAGUCUGUAGCUUACAGAAGCUGUAAGCUAGUCGAGUCCCACAAAUAGGUUAUUGUAACGCGUGUCGUUCUAAUAUCCCUCGUCCCACUAGAGCUCUAUCGUUCAUCAAUUUCGAAAAAGUAUGUUGAUGCUCAAUUAGCGGAGACUUCAAAUGAUCGAAUUUUGAAAAUUUAAUAUUCACAAUCCACAGUAGGGACAUCAUCUUGCGAACAGGAGUCAAAAAUGGACGGCAAAAAUGAACAUUGAUUACAUGUCCCCCGGACUGACUUACAAGAUUUCGAGUACAUUAUGAAGAUUAAAAGAUUUGAUAUUGGGGAAAUAAAAAUCUCAAAUCAAAAAGGUUCAUAAUGAAUGUUGUUAAGUCAUCCUGGUUAAGGUCUUCUCGGGAUUGGGAAGCCCCAUACGACUUUUAUAUAAAGCCCAUUGGAGCCGCCUGCUAAACAAAGUAAUGCCCGUAUUCAAGCAAAAACACACACACACAAAAAAAAAAAAAAAAGGGGGGGUUAAGAGUACGAAAGCACCAUUAUGAUUUAUGCCUUUCCCCGCCCCUCACACCAUUCAUGUAGCAUUUGGAUCAUUUCACAUUUGAGCAUUGUUUAUGAUUAAUGGCUAAGAUUUGUCCCUCCUAUGUCUUUAAUUUGUUGACCAUUUUACCAAUAAGGUGCCCCACGUGAUGAGAGGAGAUAAAAGAGAUGAAUUGUAAAUUAAUUAAAGCUUGCGAAAUAAUUAAAACAAGUCUAAAGCAUAAAAUCAUGCACAAUCAAUUCUAACAUCGAGAAUAGAAAAUGCAACUUUGAUUCAACCCUUGUUUUUAAUUAUAUAAAUUAUGUACUGUCAAAAGGGCAAAACUAACGUGGGUUCUUUCUUUUUUUCUUUUUCAAGAUCAAUUACAAUGGAAUCUUAUUAUUUGUUAUAAAAACAAAAAAAUUAAAAAUUUUUAAAUUUUUACACAUUAGUCCUAUACCCAAAAAUUUUCAAAUGCAUUAAUGCUUUUGGAAGCCACGAUUUGUUUAGAAUUCAAACUCCUAUAAAUUCAAGCACUUACUCUCUUUAUACACGCAAACAUCAGUAAAUUAAAAGAAAAGGUUUUUGAGUUGUGUGAUUGAAUUUGAGGCGCAAUAACUUUAAUAGGAAAUAAAGGCAAUUGUUUGCUUUCUUUUCUGUUUUGUAAAACUCCUAAUUUAAUAACCCGGUUAUGACACAAUUAAUUAUUCUAAUUGACUUAUAUUUUAAUUCAUAGAUAUGUGCUGAAUUGGCAUCUCUAUUGUUUUGCAUGUACGAUAUUAGCCAGAGAGAAUAAAGAAUAGAAAAUAUUUAUUUUUUAGUUUAUUUUUUCUAAGAAAAUAUUUAAAUUAUUUUCAAAUAGAGUAAUUGUUUGGAAUUUUUUAGUUUUGUAAAACUCCUAAUUUAAUAACCCGGUUAUGACACAAUUAAUUAUACUAAUUGACUUAUAUUUUAAUUCAUAGAUAUGUGUUGAAUUGGCAUCUCUAUUGUUGUGCAUGUACGAUAUUAGCCAGAGAGAAUAAAAAAUAGAAAAUAUUUAUUUUUUAGUUUAUUUUUACUAAGAAAAUAUUUAAAUUAUUUUCAAAUAGAGUAACUGUUUAGAAUUUUUUUUUACCCUUCUCUUCAUUAAGUUAAUGAAAGAUCUCAAUCGUAUGGAUGUAUGCUAAUGACUAUUUAAACUACUGGGGUGAAGUAGCAAAUAUCAAUUUAUUUAAGUGUGCAAUUAAAUUGAUUAUUUUUAUUUAAAGACAAAAACUCAACCAAAAAUAAAAACCCUAUUUUUUUUCUUAAUUCAUGAAUGCUAUAAUCAAGAAGAGAUUGAAAGUGGUUUGGAAUGGGAGAAGGGGUAGAGAGAGCACUUAACAAUUUUUUUUUUUAAAGUAUCGAUGCAGGGGUUUAUUAAGAAAGUACAACAAAUUAGGAUUAUUUUAGGAAUUAAGAAGAGUAUGUAGAGAAAAGGGGUUUAAAAAGAAUGUUAGAGGUGUGCCAAUAGUCCAUGUUAAAUAAAUUUUAUGUUACGAAAAAAAAUUAACUACAUAGAAUAUCAAAUUAAAUUUAUUUUCUUAUUUUGUACAUUACAUUUACUUGAGAUAGUAAAAUCUCGUGUUGGAAUAAAAAAGGUUAUGAGAUUUGAACCUUAGUCACAUGGGUGAGAAGAAAAUUAGUUGUCGUUAUGUUAAAUUAAAAAAAAUUAUAUUAUAUUUAUCAUUAAUUAUGGUUCGUAAAUAAUAUACAUAGUUUAACUAUAUAAUAAAUUAGUUAAUUUUUUAAUUAAUAAGUAAAUUUAUUAAUUUAAAUAGAUAUUAAUAAAUGUAAGAAUAAGUCAUUUAAUUAGAAAUCUAGUUCAAUAAUGUAAAAAAAAUUAGAAUAUUAGGGAUUUAUAUAUCGUAAUUUUAAAACUCCUGAUAUUUCUUAUUUUUUUAUGAAAAAAAGAGCUUUUAAUGUUAAUAACUUAAAAUCACAUCUAAGCCUUUAUAAAACUCCUCGUUACAUCUAAAGGUGAAUUUGAAGAAGACAAUAAAUGGGGCACAAACCCAUGGGUGACGUAGCCGGACCCCUGUAAAAAAAAAAAAAACAGCCUGCUUUCAUCGCAAUUACGUCAAGGGAGCAGAUUAUCUUAUCCGCAAGAAAUUUUAGUCAAGAAUAAGUAAUAUUCUACAUUUCUACUAGGUAUAAGAGUGGGAUCUCUUUCAGAGGAACAGAACAGCACUUACUCAUUACAAAAUUCAAACCAAAUCAAUAUAUCUGUCACCAUUUCACGUAAUGUGUGCAAAUCAGUGCUUUCACUUUUGUAGACAUCAAUUCGGAUUAUCGGGGUCGACACUAUAUAUCACUUUUUCUAGGUUUAGAAUUAUUCGCUCAAUUUUGAAGGACCUUUAGAACAAAAAUGAUGUUAAAAUCAAAAAGAGAAAUGUAGAAUAGAAGUAUCCUUUUAUAUGACAUCGCGGACCCGCACGUGAGUUACUCUUUGAACUCUUUUGGAUGCGUGUCAGCUUUUGAUUAAUUUCUACAACGCAUCAGCUUUAAAUAAUAUUGGAAAUUGCCUUAUCAUCUUUGUAUUUUGUCGUGAGUUUGUGGCAAAAAUGUCAUAAACUAAGCUACGAGCAUGCGUAAGGCCUUAGGGGUACCCUUUUAUCCUAUCAAUGUGACCGCAAUAAUCUCUCGGAACCUUUAAAUCAGUGUGGGGACAAAUGAGAUACGAAGGAAUUAAGCAUCUUUGAAAGAAAAUAUAUAUAUAUAUAUAUUUGAUGUAUUAAUUCUUUUGGAUUUUUAGCAACUUGCAUUGCCCAAAUCAUUAUCUCAAUUUUCUCAUCAAUUUACCCCCCUCGUUAACAAUAUAAGCUUUCGCACACGGUCCAAGUUAUUGAUGAUUGACCAGCAUACAUAUCUGUUUUCUUGAAAACUUUUUCUGAAUGAUGGAUUUGAUCCUACAACGCAUCAGUUCAUUACCCUUCCCCAUAAGCUACAUGGUUUUAUCAUUUGAUGAUGACAUUUUAAUAUGUAAUUUCGUCCAAGACAUUCCUUUGCGACUGAUACUACACAAUCCCUAAUUGUAUUCCCAUCAUACAAGGGUCACCCACCCUUAAAAGAGAAAGAAAAAGGGAAAAAAAUAUUAUGAAACUUAUUAAGAAGUUUACUAGUAGAAAAUCUCGGGGAAAAUACUUCGAAAAGCAUGAAUUCUUUUGCAAGCGCAGCUCAUAUAACAACUUUAAAACAUUUUAAGGAGAACAAUUUCCUUGCAAAAAAUAUGAAUGACCGUACAGAAACAUGGAAAGUUCCACCAAACAGUGCAAUUUACUGAUGUUAGAAGAUGCAAUCAAUCAAUUUCCCUGACUUCCAAGUUAUUAAUGGAGGAGACAAAUUAAAAUUUCACAUGCAUAAUAAACCAAUUAUUCCACAGGAACAAUUAAAAUUUCAAAUAGAUGUAUUUAUGAAAAUGCAUAGAGCCUACCAAACUUCUUAAUUAAUCUGCUCAAAUUGGAACAUUUGACAGCCACUUUUUGAUAAAUUGGGUUAAUUCAAAUUCAAUUACAAUCCCUUUACUAUUAAAAAGAUUCUCCUACUUUCAACGCAUUUUUUUUCUCUUAGAAUUGAUACACACACACAUAUAUAUAUAAACACAUAUUAUCCUCACGGGAUGGAGGGAAAUCCUACGCUUAAUCCUAACUUCCAAACAUAAUCUUAAUGACUAAGAUUUGUCUUUGUUGACCUCUGAUUCAGUGUUAACCAAUAAGGCUUCCCACAUGAUGAAAGGGGAUAAAAGAGAUUAAUUGUAAAUAAAUAAAAGCUUGCAUAUUAAAAAGCUGUCCAAAACAUCCGAUAAAAGAGAUAAGGUUCAGAAUGUCUCAAUUAAAUAGAAAUGACUCAAAACUCAAUUAAAUAGAAAUGACUUUGAUUUGUCUAACAAUUAUUUAGCCUUCUGUCCAGUUGAAAAGUCAAGAACACUAUGUAAGCUUAAUUAUAUGGAGACAAUCAUCCCACCAUACUCAUAAUCCUUAAGCGCGUGUAGAGAAAAAAUAUAUAAAAAUCUUUGAAAUUAUGAAUGCAUUGUUUCUUUUUAUUAUUACAAACAUGAUUUUAAAGACUUAAAUUUUUUUUCAUAAUCUUGGCAAUCUUAAUUUGGUGCAGACUUUUAUUAUUUAUAAUGUAUGAUUAAGGUAUAAUUAUUUGUAUAUUGUUAUCUACUGAUUUGUUAAAAUUAACAAAUUUAUAUGAGAGAGAUUUUAAUAUUUCUUUGGAGAUUUAUCAAUUGAUGAUUGAUAAAAAUAAAAAUCAUAAAAUAAUAAUCUAAAUCAUGCAUGACUAAUAAUAUAUAAUAUCACAAAAUUGUUAAACGGCAAGUAAAAUCUAUAAACAAAGAUUGUAGAUUUUGAGGUAGCUNNNNNNNNNNNNNNNNNNNNNNNNNNNNNNNNNNNNNNNNNNNNNNNNNNNNNNNNNNNNNNNNNNNNNNNNNNNNNNNNNNNNNNNNNNNNNNNNNNNNNNNNNNNNNNNNNNNNNNNNNNNNNNNNNNNNNNNNNNACAUAGUUAUUUGAUAUUUAUAUCCCUAUAAAUAAAAAAAUGAUUAUGUUUUAUAAUUUAGAAAAUAAGUAUAUUUACUAUGGAUAUUUUUAAAAUAUCUUAUUUACUUCUCAUUCGGAUAAAAAUUAUAAAAUUUACUUUUCUAUUUAAAUAUAAAUGUCUAAAAUAAAGAGGGCAAAGCACUAAUCCAUGGAAAUACAAAACCAGUAGAUGGUGGGGAAAUAUAUAUAUAUAUAUAUAUAUAUAUAUAUAUAUAUAUAUAAUCCUCACGAGAUGGAGGGUAAUUCUGGCAUUUUGAAAAUUAAGGAAGUUGCACAGAAGUUUCAUGUCUCUCGAGGAUUGAGAAAGCAACUUAUAUUAUUAGCUAAUUAAUUUUAUGAGUCAGUUUAACAAUUUACGGCACAAAUAAAAUAGUUUUUUAAGCACUACAUAAAUAUAUAUGUUGUAAUUUCAUCUCAAAGCAACAUGCGCAUGAAGUGGUAACGAAAUACAACCAAAAAAGUUGUUAAGCGAUAAUUCUCAUGUUGAAAUUAGAAUUUGUUAAUUGGCCUAAGCACUGUUUAAUAUUUACUUUUAAAAAGGAUAUGGCAUUAAAUUCACUUGCUAAGAUAUUGGAGUAGUGUUGAUGCAAUUUUCUGUCAUGCCUGCAGAUUCAACUCGCUAAGAUUUCGGUUAUGCCUUCAGGUUCAAGUAUUGUUGCUGAUUUAUGCGAGCUGUUGGGAUAAUUGAGCAUGGCUUUAGAUUCAAUUUGAGCAAAUAUAUUUUACAGAUAAUCAUUUUUAUUUAACACAGGUGAACAUUUCAGUAACGCGUACGUGGCUUUCUAAUUCUACACGUCCCUUCUUAUAUUAUAAAUAAUUACAGUUAUAAACCAAAAAAAAAAAAAAUGCAUGUACAGCAACUACAAAUACGUAUUAGACGCCCGCAUUAUUAUUAAUAUUUUAAUGGGGGAAAAAAUGACAUGCAGAGAAGAGGCAGCCGCCUAAUACUUUUGACUUGAAAACAAAUCUCGUGCACACCGUGACAUAUCUGUUGCAUUUCAAUCUAAGGAAUAAUUCAAUAUGCACACCGUGAAUCAUCGCAAAAAUAAUUCAAUAAAUAUGCUUUCGAUGGCUAAAAAAUACCGACAUUCACAUUAAUCUCUGAGGGCCCAGCUUUAAGAAGAAAUCUGAUUAGUGUGGAAAUAUGAGACGUGAAGGAAUCAAACGUAUUUCAAAAUAAAACAUUUAAAGGGACACGUCAUGAGAGAGCCAAGUAACAUAGAAAAGAGCUAUAACAUCAAAUGUCCCCAAAACCUUAUUAACUUUCUUUCCUUGCCCAGAAGCAAAAACAUUAUUCUCCUUUAACAAACAGCUACAAGAACUUGGAACAUCCCAAAACAUUAUUCUCUAUUUCCUCAUCUUUUUAUUAUUCCUGGUAACAUUGCACUAUAAAUGAGAUAAAUGCAUUUAUCCGCACACAUAUUAAUGGAGGAGACAAAUUAAAAUUUCCCAUGCAUAAUAAACUAAUUACCCACAGGUACAAUUAAAGUUUCAAAUAGACAUAUUUAUGAAAAUGCCUAGAGCCUACCAAACUUCUUAGUUAAUCUGCUCACAAUAGAACAUUUGACAACCACUUUUUGAUCAAUUGGGUUAUUAAUCGCCUUUGUGUUCUUUGAAACCUCAUUCUUGGAUUUGGUUGCUGAGUUUCCAAUUAUUAAUUGAACUCUAGUCAUUGAUACAUAUGAAUGCUUAUGGUACCGUAAGAUGGAAUCUGUCAUAGACUGAUUAAUUAUUUCAUGUUUCUUUUACUGGCUAAUUGGUUUUUUAAACAUAUAUAUAUAUAUAUAAAUUAUCUAACACUAUGGAAGAAGAGUAUCACAAAAAAACUCUUUAGAUUUUAUUUUUUAAAUAUCUAUUUACUUACCUAUGCGGUAAAUAGAAAAGUGAAAAAAUAAACUCUCCCCUAAAAAACUCUUCAAAUAAUGCAAGAUAAUAUUAUUUUAAUUAAAUCUUUUUCUUUACCACAUUUAAUUACUCUUCAUUUUAUCACUCCAACUAUUUUAGUCAAAUCUUUACUGCUAAGUAAUUUUAUGUUGAUUUUAAAUGUCGUUGUCAUUGUUGUUGUUAUAUUUUAAAUAUGUUUAUCUUUUAGUAAUUCUAUUGAUAUGCCCUUAAUAUGUUUUUAGAUUUUAUGUUGAUUUCACACUCCUGUAAGGUCCAUUUUGAAAAUUUUUUACUACGUUUGUGACCAUUAUUAUUAGGUUGAAUAUGUCAUUUUUUUAAUCUUAAAUUUUAAAAAUAAACGCAAAAUCUGAAUGCACAAAGCUGAUGGAUUUGGCGCAUAUAGAAAUUAGUUUUUCGAUAUUUUGGCUGUGUUUUAUUCUUAUAGAUAAAUAAUCAAAUCCUACAUGUAUAUUGGUCAAUUUGGCUUUAGUUACAUGACAUAAUUUUUUUUUUUUAAUAUAUAUGGAGUUGAACUAAGAAGAAAGAAUCUAUUUGCGAAUAUUCAAAUGCCACGUGCUGGUUCAUUGGUCCAUUUAGCUUUAGUUCAUCGUCCGUGGGUAGGUGACAUACUUGUUACUUACCUGCAUGCACCCCAAAAUCGCUAAAUCGUACCAAUUUUUUUUCCAUGUAUCCAUUUGCGAGUAGGAAACAGUUAAUCUCACAACCGAUAAUUAAAGUGGGUCUGCAUUUAGCACACGCUUUAAGCUCUUUCUAUUAUUUUGUUAAUUUUUUUAUAAUUAAUACUUAGUUCAUUGGUCCUGCCAUAAGAUUUUUGCAUUGGUACAGCGCGCGAUUGACUUUAAGCUCUUUCUAGUUUGUUUUUUUUUUUUUUUUUGUUUUUUGUUUUAAUGAAACAAAAUCAAAAUCAAAAUAAUGAAAGAGGUAAAGGCCAUUGGACUCGUUGCCGAGAGCAAAUGGCGCAUUUCAACGUCAUUCACGCGUACAGCAACAUUAUUGAAGAGCUUUUGGAUAAAACUGCGCCCUUCUUGUACUUCAAAAAUCCUUUGAUCAAGUUAGCCUUGCUUUAAUUUGGCUAUUGAUUACAUAUUAUUUCCAAUUUCUUCUAGAAAACCGUUGGUUUUCGGCAUAGUUAAGAGAUUAGAAAACGAAAAUCAAAAUUUGGAUGGAUGGAUGAUAGGAGAUUUCUUGGCUCGUUCCCGAAAGUAAAGGGAAUGCUGUGAAAGUCAUAAGUAGUCACUUUCACUCGUUUAUCAAUUUGAUUCAAUUUCUCAAAAGUAAUCCACAAAGAGAUUGUAAUACGUUUUGUCAUAAUCUCUCGUCUCACUAAUUGUUCAUGGUUACUGAUGGAAUUUUCACAAUUCCACUCAUACAGACUUCCCGUGGAAGACAUCAACUUGCAAACAGGAAAUAAUAAUAAUAAUAAUAAGAAUAAUAAUGAAUUAGAGUAAGAACGCAUUGCAAACAUUAAAAUAAAAAUUAAUAAUAUGUGAUAAAUAUAAAUUUUAAAUAAUAAUUUUGACAAAAUUAUUAAAAAGAUAAUAGAUUUUCUAUCAUACAAAUGAAAAAUUGUAGCAACAUAUUUUCUUAACUACAGCAAUUAGUAUUUAUUAAACAUUUUAGUGUUGGGAAAAAUUUAAUUAGUAGAAAAUCUUGGGAAAAAUACUUCAAAAUCCAUCAAUUGUGCAUGAAAAGAAACAACCAUUUUUAAUCUUUUGCAAGCAUAGCUCGUAUAUCAACUUUAAACAUUUAAGGAAAACAUUUUCCUUGCAAAAAUAUAAGCGACUCUACAAAAGCCUGAAGAGUUCCCCUAAUCAGUGCAGCUUACUGAUGUUAAGAGACACAUUCAAUCAAUUUUCCUGACUUCCAACCUUCAAUUUAAUGCAAUCACGGUCAUUAGCCUCCUAUCCUUACCUUAGGGUAAGAAUUUCUAUUUAUUGUAUAUUUAACAGCAGAGCUAGACUCUAUCGUUAAAAAAUAAUUAUUUUCAUACUAAAGACUAGUUUUAAACUAAAGCUGAAAUCUGUUUAUUUUAAAUAUAUCUUUUAUGGACCUUUUGGUCUUCUUUAAGCGUGAGCUUUAUUUGCAACAGAAGUCCAUGAUUGAAAAAAACCAAACUGUAUGUGAUUUAUUUUUACUGUUCUUUCACUACCACAUGAUUUAUUUGCAUCUCAAUAUAGAUGCAAUGUUUUUCAGCAUUACCCAAGUCAUUCUCUCAAUUUUCUUGGUCCAUUUGGCUUUAGUUACAUGACAUAAUUUUUUAGAUAUGGAGUUUAAUUAAGAAGAAAGAAUCUAUUUGCGAAUAUUCAAAUGCUACGUGCUAGUUCAUUGCUCCAUUUGGCAAAUGGAUACAUGGAAAAAAAUUGGUACGAUUCAGCGAUUUGGAGAUCAGUGCUUUACUUUUGAAGACAUCAAAGUUAAAAGAAUAAAUAUAAUAAUAAGUCUAUGACUAAAUAAUAUUAAAUAAAAUAAAUAAAUAAUAUUUAUUUUUUAAGAUUCACUACUGAUUAUUUUAUUUUAUUUGAUAUUAUUUAAUUUUUUAAAAAAUAAUAUAAUAAUAAGUAAAUGACUAAAUAAUGCUAAAUAAUAUUUUUUUUAAGACUCAUUAUUGAUUAAACGAUAUAAAUUUGAAACAAAUCAAACUUAUAUGUUUAAGAUUUUAACUCUUUUAACUUUUUUGAGUUUUCAAUAAAUAUUAGGGAGUAUAAUCUUAAUAAUCAAUAAGACAAAUCUUUACCAUUGAAAUUAUUUUUCAUUAAAUCCAACGGUGAAUGUCUAAAAUAAUUAAAAAAAUUUGAUAGUAACUGACAUCUAUUGUAAGGUAGCUAGAUCCAGGUAUAUGAAUAUAAAACAGCCAAUCCGACUACCCAGAGGUAAAGUGAGUCUGCAUUUGGCUAUUAAUAAUUUGUUUAUUACUAUUGCCAUAUGCCAAUUCUCAAUAUUUAUAUAAAAUUUUAAUGGCUAUUAGUAAGAGUAAGGUACUAGAGACUAGAGCUGGCAAAAUUUAACACGACCCGAUUACCCAACACGGACACGACAUAAAUAAAUGGGUAUGAGUAGUCAAAUUUAAUACGAUUAUUAAAUGGGUCGGGUCCGGGUCAACACGAUUUUUUUCCGUGUCGGGUUUGGGUUAAAAUUCUUAACCCAUUUACCCGAUCAAUGACCCGAUUAUAUUUUCUAUUUUAAAAUAAUUUACAUAUUCUUAUAAUUAAAACUCAAAUAUUAGAGAUGAUUUUCUUUUUUUUUCUUUAAAAGGGUGAAUAUAAACACAGUGUUUUAUUUAUAAAAUUUUACAUACAUUUAGAGUUUCAAUAGUGUAAAUGUGUAAUAUAUUGGUAGAUAUGUAUAUUUUAUAAUAUUGAUAAAUUAUGUAUGUAUGUAUGUAAGUAUGUAGUUAUGUACAUACGUAUGUAUGAUAGUGUGUAAAUAUUUGAUGUAACUUUUGUUCAAUAUAUAUAUAUUAAACGGGUUAUUGGGUAACCCGAUUAUUUUUCCGUGUCGGGUUUGGGUCUCAAUAUUUUGACACGAUUAUUAAAUGGGUCGGGUUUGGGUCGAUCUAAAUUUAACACGACACGAAUACGACUCGAUGACCCGUUUUGUCAGCUCUACUAGAGACUGGAUAUAUAAAAAUGAAAAACAGAAUAAAUCUGACACAAAAUUUUAUUUAAUAUAAUAUACCCCUGUCCAUAUCAUAACCAAUUAAAUCACCGCUUCUUUUUUGGAAAAUUAUAAAUAUUAAAAUUAAAAAGACAAGAAUAAACAAAUCUAGAAAAAAGCACAAAGAAGCACUACGUAUCUAACAUUGGAUUGACCCCCGGAUUCAGAGAAGUGCUUUUCAAGUCUUUUCUGUGAUGAAGCCACCAAUAGUUGAGCAGCUAAACUAAAAGGACAAAAGAUACCUGCCAGUUCAUGAUAUCCACGGACAUUGGCCAUGCAAAACCAAUCUCUUUCCAGACGAAAAAGACUUAGAUUCCACUUUAUAAAUAGUAAUUAUAAAUAUUACAUUUAAUAUGAGGGUUUUGAUAGAUAUUUAUCAAAACAGCUUCAGGUUCCCAAUAAGCCACCAGAGGAACAAAUCCACAAGCCAAUAUUCCAAAAGAUUUUUGCUUUUCAUGAAUUAAUACUAUUAAUUUAAUGGGUCUGCCAUCGCUCCCUUAUCUAUGUCUUAAUUAUAAUUAUGUGACUAGAACUUGAACAAAGAUUGACUUGUCGAUGUGUUGUCCGGCCGAAUCCACUUGUUGGGCAGUGAGGGUAAUUGCUUCCGGUGGAAAAAGAAAAAAAAAGCUUAAAUUUAAUGUUAAUUUUGGGAUAAUUAAUUUCAGGAGUAAUUUUUUAAAGAGAUGAAUCAAUUUUAUAAAUUGUCUUUUUGCAGUGGGGAUAAAUUAAUAUUUUCUAUUAAUUAUUUUAAAUCAGAGUCAUCACCUAGAAAAAUUAUUCUGUAGAGGAUAAAGAAUAAGAACAAGAUUGCAAGAGAAGAAAGACUCCAUUUUAUUUUAGGAGUGAGAAAACUGAAAAAAAAAAACCAGAAAAACAAAACAAGACAACAGAGUAAGUGGGUUCAAGAAGCAUUUUUUUUUUCUAUACGACAUUGUCCACACGAACUUGAGGACCCUUUGAACUCUUUUAAUGCGUGCCAGCUUUUGCUUGAUUUGUAUACCGAAUUUCUAAAACGUCAUCAGCUUUAAAUAAUAUUAAAAAGAAGAAGGUACCAUUUGCCUUAUCGUCUUUGUAAUUAGUUGUGGGUUUGUAACAAAUUUAAACUACGAGUAUGCGUGAGGGCAAUAAUCUCCGCACCAUUUAAUCACUGUGGAGAUACAUGAGAUGUGAAGGAAGGAAUUAAGUAUCUUCAAGAGAAAAUAUUUACUGUUUUGAUUCUUUUGGAUUUUCAGCCACUUGCAUUACCAAAAUCAUUAUCUCAAUUUCUCAUCAAUUGACCCCUUUGUUAAGAAUAAGGUUAUUAAGAAUUAAAUUAGUAGAAAAAUCUUGGGAAAAAUACUUCAAAAUCCAUCAAUUGCGUAUGAAAAGAAACAACCAUGUUUAAUCUUUUGCAAGCAUAGCUCAUAUAACGAUUUUAAACAUUUAAGCAAAACAUUUUCCUUGCAAAAUAUAUGGAUGACUCUACAAAAACCUCAAAACCAUCAAGAUUUUCGCUGUUUCACUACCACAUGAGAAAAAAACAAAUGGUAUUUUCAAAUUAAUUAUGAAAAGAAAAAAAAGUUGUUCAGAAAAUAUAUGUGAAUAAAUUAUGCAUCUUCCAAUAAAUAGAUGCGUCUAACAAAUAUAAUUGAUAUAAUAAUGGAUACAAUCAUAUUAUAUGUAUAAGCUUUGUGUGCUAAUAUCACUAGUGUCAGUGACAAAAACGACCAACAUACACAAUAAUCUCUAUUAAAUUUAGAUGGAUCUAAAUUACCAAUUUUGUAACUUAAUUAGACCCAAUUAAUACACAUACAUACAUACAUACAUACAUAAAUAAAUAUGUAAGCUCAUAGUACAAUCGUUUUUGCGCUAUUCAUUAGUUGUUUUUAUUUAUAUUUUUAGUUAGUCAAUCUACCUUUUAUAGAACUGGGAAACAAAUUGUAGUUUAGGGAAUAAAUUUAUAUUUAAAAAAAAAUUAUUCUGUAGAGGAUAAAGAAUAAGAACAAGAUUGCAACUUGCAAGAGAAGAAAGAUUCCAUUUUAUUUUAGGAGUGAGAAAACUGAAAAAAGAAACAAAACAAGACAACAGAGUAAGUGGGUUCAAGAAGCUUUUUUUUUUCCUCUAAACGACAUGGGGCCUUUGUGAGGAUAUCCAAAAAGCAGUACGUAGGUUCUGGUGGGGGACAAAACAGGAGAAAAAGAGUAUCAUUGGGCGAGGUUGCUGCCUGCUCGUGUGGAGAUAUGAGACGUGAAGGAAUAUAACAUUAAAAAUAAAACAUUUAAGGGACACGUGAUGAAUCAUCUUGUGGCAGCAAUUCAUCAAGAUUUUCGAUCGUUCGUGCCAACUCCCACAUGAGCAAAAAAGCAAACGGUAUGUCAUUAACCAGGAGCUGGCUAGGUUACAGAUUCUGUAACAUACAGAUCCAACUUAGCCACCUCCUGAUUGGUUAGCUAGCUACCAAACAAACCAUCUCAAUAUAGAUGCAAUGAUUUUCAGCAACUUGCAUUAGCCAAGCCAUUCUCUCAAUUUUCUUUAUGCUUUUAGUGAUCAAUUUACACCUCACUUACCAACUAAGGUUUUUUUUUUCUAAUUUUCUUAAUUUGGAAUUUAAUAAAGCAGAAAGAAUCUUGAAAACUCCUUCAUUUGCAACAGAAGUCCAAAGGGGUCGGUGACACAGAAUGUGAACUAUUUUCACACGUACGAGAGAGCCAAGUUACCAAGCAAAAAGCUAUAACGUCACAGUUUAACUUUCUUUCCUUGCCCAGAAGCAAAAACAUUAUUCUCCAUUAACAAACCGCUACAAGAACUUGGAACAUCCCAAAACAUUAUUCUCUAUUUCCUCAUCCUUUUAUUAUUCAUGGUAACAUUGCACUAUAAAUGAGAUAAAUGCAUUUAUCUGCACCCAUAUCAAUUGAGGAGAGUCUGGUGGUGGGUAUGGGUUGGGUUUUAAGUCAAUUCAAACCAAACCAUAAAAAUUUAAGCUCAACUCAAACGAGUCAAACCAACCCAAAUAUUUUUAACCUGGCCCAAACUAACCUAUUUAGGUUUGGUUUGAAUUUUAUAAUAAAAAUAUUUUUAUUUUAAUAAAUUUAACUAUAUAAAAUUAUAAUUAUUAUUAAUUAUUAAAUUAAUAUUAAAAUAUGAAAAAAUAUAGCGGAUAAAAAUUAUGAAUAAUGGAUUUUACAAUAACUAUGUUCUUAAAUAUUAACCAUAUUACAACAUAAAUUCUAACAAUGUCAAUACAAAUUAAAGUAAGAUAAGAUAUCCCAACUCAAGUAUCAAAGCAAUCCAUCAAAAUUAAAUUAUUUAAUUUUAUAAAUUUAAAUCUUCUGAGAUAAAUCUAAAAUUUAAUGUAAUUAAAAAAAGCGCCAAAAUUUUAAAUGCAGUAAGAAAAAUUAAACAUGAAAUCUAAUUAGGUUUAAAUUUAAUUAAAAAAUAACAAUAGAAUCAUAUUUUAUUUGAUAAAAUCUUAUAAUCAAUUACAUUUUUAAUUUUAGUAAGUUACAAUACAAAUAGGACUAUAAAAUUAUAUUAGAGGAUUUCAUAAAAAUAUUGUUUGAGUAAUUUAUUAAAAUGUUAAUUUAGUCUUGUAACUCAAGUUGAGACUGUAAAAAAUUGUUAUAUAAUAGUGUAUAGUACAACCAAUUGCAUAUGUAUUUGCCAUGUGUAGCACUUCUAUUAUUAUUAUAUAAUAAUAAUUAGUAGUGGUAUAAUUACUAUAUAAUAAUAGUUAUUAGUAGUAUAAUUAUUAUAUAAUAAUAAUUUUAAUAAAAAAUAUUAUUAAAAUAUUGAUUUAACCUUUUAUUUUUUAAUUUAUUUUUCAUUGAUAUGUUACUUUGAAUUUGUUCAUGACCCAUGGGUAAACCAUACCCAAUCCAUUGUGAAAUGGUUUCUUGCAUAAAAACCCAAAUUUAACCCAUUACCUGAAUUAUCCAACCCAUACCAUUUUAUUUGGUUUGAGUUUAAGUAAGCCCAUGGGUUAUGGGUUGUGGGUUUAUACCCACCCCUAGAGGAGACAAAUUAAAAUUUCCCAUACAUAAUAAACCAAUUAUUCCACAGGCACAAUUAAAAUUUCAAAUAGAUGUAUUUAUGAAAAUGCCUAGAGCCUACCAAACUUCUUAAUUAAUCUGCUCAAAUUGGAACAUUUGACAGCCACUUUUUGAUAAAUUGGGUUAUUUAACGCCUAUUAUACUUUGAAACCUCACUCUUGGAAUUGGUUGCUGAGUUUCCAGUUACUAAUUGAACUAUAGUCAUUAACACACACGUAUAUUUACGCUUAUGGUACAGUCGGAUGGAAUCUGUCGUAGACUAAUUAAUUACGACAUGUUUCUUCUGCUAGCUAGUUGGUUUUUUAAACGUAUAUAUGAAUCAUCUAUAACACUAUGUAACAAUACAAAUAGGGGUGGCAAAAACGAGUAAACAAAUUGAAUUCGAAUCGAAUCGUAAACGAAUUGAACUAAAAUUCUAUUGAUUCGGAUUCGAUUCAUUUAAUAAAUGAAUCGAAAUAUCAGGAUUUGAAUUCGAUUCGUUUAUUAAAUGAACAUUCAGUUUGAUCUGUUUAAUAUAAUUAAUAAACGAAACGAAUCGAAUCUGAAUUCGUUUGCUAUUUGUUUAUUCUUAUGAAUCCAUAAUUAAUCGAAUCGGAUUUGGAUUCAUUUACAAUUCAUUUAUAAAAUACAAUAUUAACCUUCAAAUUUUUUUAAAAAAAUUAAAUAAAUUUAAAGACAAAAAGUAACUCAAUUAAACGAAUUUUAAACGAAUGGACCAUAUUCGAUUCCUUUAUGAUCCAUUUAUUAAAUGAAUCCUAAAUGAAUAAACAAAUUAAUAUUUUCAAACGAGAAUUUAAUUUAUUUAAUUAGCGAAUCAAAUCGAAUUUAUCCAUUUAUUAAAUAAAUUAAUUUUUUUAAAUCUAAAUCUAUUUAAUUUAAAUCGAAUCGAAUCGAAUAUACGAAUUCUAACCCAAAUUGCCACCCUUAAAUACAAAUAAUCGAGAUUAAACAAGAUUAAAUUAAACGGAAGACUUAUGAAGCUUGAAAGUCACAAAGCUUUUCUAUUAUAAUUAAUACUGCACAGAAGGCAAAUUCAAUUUAACUUCUUAGAUCUCCUAAAGCUGUAUGAUUGGAUUGGAUCUUAAUUAAUAAUAACUGCAGGAGGAAUUAUAAGAACCCACCCAAGACGUAUUAGAUACUUCUCACGAAGUAUUAACUAUUAAGUCUACCAACAUACAAAAGAAUAUUUCACGUGCCUGCAGCAGGGCCAUUUUUGGAAAGCUUUUAGUACGGUUAUCCGUUUGCGACCAUUAUUAUUAGGUUAAGUGUGUUAUUCUUUAUCUUAAAUUUUAAAGAUAAGAGUUAGAAUAUUGGCACCCUCCUGUUAUAGUCUUAAAACUCAUUUUUUAAAUAUACUCUAUUAAAUAAUUUGAAACAUCAGAUAACUUUUAUGGAGACCCUCUUUUAUUCCACAAAUAUCCUUAUUUCACUUUUUCUCUGAACAAACUCCAUUCAUGAUGUCUCUUUUCUUAAUUUCUUUAGGUACAUGAACAAAAAUUUAUAUAUUUAAUACUAAUUGUGCAUCUUAUAAAAAAGAUACUAGCUAAUUUCUGUUUGGGAUUGAUUAUUUUUAUGGCAGUUUGUCUAUUGUUUAACUUUACAUAGACUUAAAAUUCAAAAUAAGAAAAAAUUGAAAUUUGAAUGUCUUGAGUGCAUUUAAAUGCUUACAAUAAGUCAUGAGAUAUUUUCAUCUUCAUCUAUUUUUAUUCAAAAAAAAUUUCUAGGGUUGGACCAUUUCUUUACGCAUCAAAACAGGAUACAAUUGACAUUUUUUAAGAUAAUUAAAAAUAAUGAAUAGUCCAGUGAAAAUUAAUGGAUUUACUUUAGUUAGUGUAAAUUAGUUUUGCCAAGGGUAAAUAUAAUUCAAGCUCAUCAAACUCUUUAAAAGAGAAAGAAUAAAUCUGCAACUAUAAAUGUGGUCUUCAAAUUUCAUUUGCACUUUGGCAUUGGAUGAGGUACAUGGGGUUUUUUUUUCGAUUAGGGAUAAAUUUGCAAACAAAAAUAAGAGGGGUUUUAAGAGGAUAUUGGAGGUGUGCCAAUAGCACCACUCCAAAGAUAAAUGCAAAGUCUUCAUGCAACAGAAAUAGAAAUAAAUUUUUCGCUUUUUUUACUGUGUUUUAUUCUUAUCGAUAAAAUACCAAAUGAUUGAGUCCAAUCAUGAAUAUCCGACUAAGGUGGGCGUCAUUUUAUUCUUAUAGUGCGUGAUCGUUUUUAACCAUUUAAUGAUUAAACUACAGAGUUUUAUCAUUUAAUGCUGAAAUUUAAAUAUGUAAUUUUUUCCAUGACAUUUCUUUGCGAUUGAUAGUACACAAUCCAUAAUUGUUUUCCCAUCAUAUAAGGGUCAUCCACCCUUAUGAGAAGAAGAAAAAAAGAAAGAGUUCAGCUACGUUGGAGCAUCUCUAAAUGCAAAGCAACCCCCACAACCAUUCGAUGGAUAUUGUUACAAUUGGAAAUGCUCCAAUGUAGUCGCUGCCAAAAAGAAAUUAUGAAACUUAUUAGGAACUUAAUUAGUAGAAAAUCUUGGGGAAAAUGCUUCGAAAAGCAUAAAUUGUAUAUGAAAAGAAACAACCUUGUUUAAUCUUUUGCAAGCAUAGCUCAUAUAACGACUUUAAACAUUUAAGCAAAACAUGUUUCUUGCAAAAACAUGAAAAGUUCCACCAAACAGUGCAGUUUACUGAUGUUAAAAAACACAUUCAAUCAGUUUCCCUAACUUCCAACAUUCAAUUUAAUGAAAUCACAGUCAUUAGCCUCCUACUCUUACAAUAGGAUAAGAAUUUCUAUUUAUUGUAUAUUUAACUUCAGUGCUAGACUCUAGUGCUACAGAGAUUGUCCGCAAAAGUAAAACAGAUCAUUCUUGUUAAUUUCCCUGGAUGAUCAGUUUCUUUGGUAAAAUAACUCUAGCACUUGCAGCCCCUGGGACUUCUUAAAAGAGAAAAUACAUAAUGGUGAAGUUAGGACCAUAAAAAAUACUCUUGGAAUUGAGCAACAUCAUGACAACCACAUUGCUUUCCAUAACAAUGACUAGUGGCAUGAUCAAAACAAGAGCAUAGAAAACAAUCUCUCAGCCAUUUAUAAGUCAUCAAUCAGUGUGAAUAUAUGAGAUACGAAGGAAGCAUGCACCUUUAAGAUAACAAAAACACAUAUAUAUCUUAAUAAAUACAAUAGUUCAUUCUCAUUGGAGUUUCAGAAACUAGCAUUAUCGAGAUUAUGCUCUCAAUCUCUGUGCUUAGUCAUCGACAUACAACCAUGCCAAAAGCUAGCCCUUCCCAACUAAGUCCAAACGGAUGCCAAAAAGUGAACAUUGUCCCACAGACAAAAAGUGAAUUGCUACCAAAAGUAAUACACACCAAACAAUCAACACAUGAAAUACAGGACCUUUAGACAGGGUAAAUAGGGCUGAAGAAGAAACUAAAAACCCAUAGAAGCACUACGUUCUUCUCCUAAUACUAUUAAUGGACCAAAAAAACAUCAAAAAACACUUAAUAUACAAUUAGAGGAAGAAAUCCAUACCAAUGACAAGCUAAAUAUGACAUUUUUCUAGAAUUAAUAAUUCUGCAAACAAAAAAACACAUUAAUUAUCUGCAUUUUAAAUAAUCCUAAAAAGGAACAUAUCAUUUUCAUUUAUGUCAUAAAAAGAACAUACAAACACUGAUUUUUAAUCUAUUUUUAUUUCCAAGCAAAAACAACAUUCUUCUAUUCUUUCUCCAACAAGAAAACAAGUUAUGUUACAGUAGUCACUAGGCAGUAGGUAAAACACUUGGUAACUAAAUAUAUAGAAAUAAACCAAAAAGAGUUUUUAAAAACAAAAAAAAAUUGAAAAUAAAAAAUGAUUAAAAAAGAAAUGAAAAUAUCAAACCCCUUCUUCAGAACAAUUCAAACAGGGAGUUACUGGUUCUUAAUCCAACAGUAAGUAAUAUUCCACUGAAACCCCUCCACCAAUCUGAAAACAUCACAGAAAACGAGCAACGCCACAUUUAACUGUCUUUAAGUUGUAAAAAAGCUUCAAGCUUUGCAGAUGUGAGGAUAUAAUGAGAAACCAAUCAUAGAACAUGCCACGAGCAAGGGCACAAGCAGAGGAAAGAUCUUCAAUGCCUCAGUGUGAUGAUAAUCAUCAUGAAACAAUAUCAACAGAUGUGAUUUAGGGAUACAUCUCAUAUAACAACCUUCAAAUGAUAUUAAUAUACAGCGAUAGAUCGAUAUAAAAUAAAUAACUUCAUAAAGAAAGGGUUUACAAUAGGGGGAAUGAAAAGAAUAUUGAGGUAAAAGGCUGAGCUCUGGUUACCGUUCUUUCAUUUGUAUGUAAAGCCUCUCAAAUUCUUUAGUCACAUCGUAAUAGAUUCUCCUAUAUGCAUAAUGAAUAAUGAUGUCAAAAGAAACCCCUGAACUUAGAAUUACUUCCACCUCUUUAUCUUCUUAGUUAUAAUAAGGCAUGAGUGAGCUUUGGUAUAUUUAUCUCGCAACUCCAAAACCUGGUAAGUCUCUCGCAAAACCUGAAUUUAGAUGAAUGGACUUCAAACGAAAGGAUUUUCUUACAAAAGCUAAAAAAAUAUAACGGCAUGGUGAGAAUGGGAAAAUGAAAAUAGAAAGCAAAAGAAAAAGUUUCCAUCCGAUAAGACAAGUACAAAAUAAUCCAAGUUCUUAUUUGCCAUGCCAAUAUUAUUCAUGAAGAACUAAUCUGAUUUCUUUUCCAGAUAAGGUUAGUAACAAUUAAUCUGUAAAUAACUGAACCAACUUGGUUACUACGACAUUACUCUUUCGCUUCCGCACUCAUUUUCUGCACAGUUGCGGUUCAUCAACGGCCGCGUUCACCAAAACGAGUUCACUCUCCCCACUUCACUUAUUUCCCCACCGUUAUGUCUCUCCAAGUGCAGCAGCAAGACAUGAACUCCUAUCAUUAUAAGCAAUAUAAAAAGCCCUCCUAAAAAUCCACCACCUGUUUGGCCAGAGAAACUCCAUUACUCAUUUCCACACUCUCAAUUUUCAGCCCUUUCAUCAAACAAAAGCAUUACUUACCCAUGUUUAGACAUAACUGACUUCAGCACAUAAAUUACGACAAGCUGGUCAAUUCACGUAAACAAGGAAAAAUUAACUCAAUCAAGUGAAGUAGGCACAAAAUGACCUCAAUGAGACAUCAGAGACCUCUAAAAUCAAAUCAAAUUCAGUUAAACAAAGAAUCACUGAUCAAAGAUAAGCAAAAGAAAAAAAGCAAUGAAUAACAGAAAGAAAUUUCUUAUAAAAAUUCAAUAAAAUUAAAAAAAAAAGCUAAUCAUCUUUUCUGGUUAAGUGAUUUCGUCAGCAAAUAAGAGAAAAUAGAAAUUCUGGAAUAUAC